UAAAAUAUGGUGUCAUUAUCUGCUGGGGAAUAUCUGCCAUAUAUAUACAGAUCAUAAAAGUUUGAAGUACAUUUUUACCCAGUCAGAACUUAACAUGAGGCAGAGGAUAUGGCUUGAGCUAAUUAAGGAUUAUGAAUUAGAGAUUCACUAUCACCCAGGCAAGGCCAACGUGGUGGCAGAUGCACUAAGUCGCAAGGCUUCCUGCCAUUGUCUUACAGUAAAGACUUCUGACAUCACAUUAUGUCAAAAAAUGGAGAAAUUAAACCUGGGAAUGAUUCAACAUGGAACCUUGAACCAAUUGAAGCUUGAUUCAAUUCUUCUGUAAAAGAUUAUUGAUGCCCAAAGAAGUGAGAUAAGGGUAUGAAACAUAUUCAUGAGAAAAUAAAAGCCGGUAAAGCAAAUUGUUUCAGAAAGGAUGAUCAAGGCAUAGUAUGGUUUAAUAACCGCAUAGUUGUGCCUAAGGAUGAUGAGGCCCGCCAGCAAAUAUUGGACGAAGUUCAUCUUAGUCGAUACUCCAUUCAUCCCGGAAGCACUAAGAUGUAUCAAGAUUUAAACCAACAUUAUUGGUGGACAAAAAUGAAGAUCGAAAUUGCACGCUAUGUGGCGAGAUGUGACACCUGUAGACGUGUCAAAGCCAUACACAUGAAGACUGCUGGUCCAUUGCAAUCUUUGCCCAUCCCAACUUGGAAAUGGGAGGACAUUAGCUAGACUUCAUUGUGGGAUUAACCAGGACAACAAAAGGGUUUGAUUCUAUCUGGGUUAUAGUUGAUCGACUUACAAAAAUAGCCCAUUUUCUACCGGUCAAAACAUCCUAUCCGGUCCUCACCUAUGCCCAGGUAUAUAUUGCCCGUAGUCUUAGUUUGCACGGAGUUCCGAAGACAAUAGUGUCGGAUCGUGGAUCACAAUUUGUAUCCAAAUUCUAGGAAGAGCUCCACAAAACUUUGGGUACUAAGUUGCUCCACAGUUCGGCCUAUCAUCCCCAAACAAGUGGACAGACUGAGAGAGUGAACCAAAUACUUGAAGACAUGUUGCGGGCAUGCGUUCUAGAGUUCCCCUAGAAAUGGGAUGAAUGCUUACCAUUGACAGAGUUUUCAUAUAACAAUAGUGUCAGUACCCUGAAUCAGGGGUACCCCUUACUACAGUAUGAAGACACGGUGCCCGUGCGGCUAUCUCUAGCCGCACGGUGAACAGCACCCGACCCCAACACGUGGGCAGUCCCAAGGACGCCAUGUGGACAGGAGAGGUGAUAUACUCCAGGAUACCAUCAGUAGGUCCGGACCUCCUCAAGAAAGCGCCGGACCCUUGUACACAUAGCCCGGACCUCCGAGUACGGUCCGGGACUCCCAAGUGAGCAAGCCGGACCCCUUGGAUGAGGUCUGGACCCCUCUGAGUGAGGUCCAGGCCACCCACAGCAAGGUCCCGGGAUAGGGAAUACCCUGGCCUAGGUCUAGGACAGGCAAGGGUCCGGUACUGACACGUGCCCAGGCUUUAUCCAGUGCGCUUCCACUCCCCGCUCAGCCGGAGGCCCAAUGCUGUCACGUGGACUAUCGCCCGUGACGUAAGCCAGCGGGCGGGGCCUGACGUAAGGCCUCUGGGCCGUGCUGCCUCUACAUUUAUUGCGGAGAAGACGCGCCGCCUAUCUAUCCCGCUGACAGACGAUGUGCCCCCUCAACAUUUAAUGUGUCCUGUCCACUCCGCUGGCAGGCGGCGUGCAGGCCAUCCCGCAGGCGGCGUGCCUGUCCAGUCCAUUGUUAAACAGUACGCCUGUGCUGCGAGGUGCACUAUGUCCGUCAUCACUUAUACAUUGCCAGGGAAGCUUCCCCUGCACGCCAAUACUACACAGACCACGUAUGUCAGGGCGCAAGAAGAUCGCUCCAGCAACGAACAUUAGUUGCUCCAAGUAUUACAUCUGUUAUGUUCCUGGGCCCACAUGUCGGGGCUCAAUACCCUUGUACGUGCCCCACGUAGCUAUAAAAGGGGAGGCAUGCACCGUUACAACAGGAGGCUAACACAGGCUCACUACAAAGACAAGUAUCUGCAAAAUACAAAUUGCAGCAGUUCUACAACUCGAAAAUUCGAUUGAUAUGUUAUUAAGAGCACGUAGCACGACCACAAGCACAAUCAAGAAGUCGUCUAGCGACGGUGUGUAUGUAAUUCAUCGGAUACAGAAGAAACUAUCCGUAAGAAUCAGGUCAUGAAACACAGAGGCAAACAAAACCUGAGAACCCUAAGGGUUUGAGGCGCAAUAGCUACAGUUAAUCACCACAGAGGACCGAAUCACUACAGGCACGGGGAGGCAACAGAGUACGACUUUGACCCAGUGCUAUCACAUCAAGCAGCUCAAGAACAAAGGUUAAGAGACAUAGGAUGAGCUGAUACCUUGCAAGAGACAGGCCAAAGUGGAGGCGCAGACGACGAGUUGUGGGGAAGGCGCUAGCCUCUAGGGUUCGGGGCCUUAUAUAAUGGCGUCGGCGUACGUCGGACCAACCCAAUACAUGACUUCCGAAAUGGUGGCCCAGGGCCCAUAAAUGGAGCGAGAUAUUUAUGGGGAUGACUGAAUGACAUUGUUAUUAUCUGAACUUUGGUGCAUGCCAAAAGAGGAACACGAGAAACUCUUCAUUGCUGUCAAAAACCAGUACUAAUUAAAAGCGGAAUCCAUAGUUAGAACUAAUUAAGAAACCCUCGGGUUUCCGAGAAUCAACCCGUCGUCCCUUGAUUUCGCGUGCAGGCCCUUGGUUUCUUAUAAACGGACCCCUGGCCUUUUAAAUAAUCACAGAUUUGGACCUAAUUUUGUAUUUCAAACUUGAAAACUUGUUUAUUUCAUAUCUUCUUCAUAUGAACUCCAAAUUUAGUGAUUCAAAUUGCAUUUUAUAGAAUUAUUCUCUGUUAAAAUAAAUUAGGAUCAUUCACUAUCUGUGCAUUCUAAUUUUAUGCCUAGGCUAUAGGUUAAUUUAUGUGGUAAUUUAUUUGUUUAAAAAAGAUAAAUAAAAAGGAAACCCUAGUGGUAAAUGGAUAUUUAAUCUUGUGAGAUUAAUAAUAUGUAUUAUAUGAAUUUAUCCAUGAUUUAACUUUUACGUCUCAUUAAAAUGAGUAGAAUUAGAUUACGUAAUCAUGGAGAUAGACAACACUUAGAGAAUAACAAACUACUGAAUGUGAUUAGUUCACCUUAUAACUUAAACUCCCUUUUUGAGUUUAUACUUUUUCGUUUGAGAUGUGUUCCAUUGUUUGUACAUGAUUGGUGUGCUGUUCAUUUGUCAUUUUCCAAAUGUAUUGAAUGUAUGAUCGCUUUAAUUAGACGACAAGCAGCCCAUGGUUCCUGAGUGUGUUGCCAAAGAUCUUCCUGAGCAACAACCUGGUGAAGGCAAGUGUCCUCUUACCUAUUAUGUCCUACUUACUUUAUAAUUCACUGUCCUGCAUUAUAUAAUUGAAACCUAAGAAUUGACUAGUCUGUAUUUACCUUGUCCUUGCUUACCUUUUGGGUUAUCAUGGUUAGCCUUAUGUCAUUGGUUUAACUUAAUCAAUGAACAUGAUGUGAACAUUUAUGAUACAAUGAUGUUAUUUCGAUGAUGAUCUUGUGAUAUUUUAGGGGACUCAGGCCAUUUUUCUGAGUACCUCUCCAUAAGGACCUUUUCGUUGGGUGACCACCCUGGAUAACAGUGCAACCAUGAGGGUGGAAUGGGACGCCCUUAGCUAAAUAAUUAGAUGAACCUGGGGGUGUAGUUGGCUUUGUCGGAGGGCCAUCAAUGGGGGCCGGGGCAUAGUGCUCGCUCUGCCAAUGGGGGUGCAGAGGUUCAUUCGAUUUGGUUUUUGUUAGUCACCCACCUUGGGGAGGUGUACUGCGUUUGUACAACUGGAAAAACCUAAUGAGCAGCUAUGUACCAGGGGAGUCUUUGUAAAGGAUACAUAGUGAGACCCUGCCAGGUCACCUCGGUAGUGAUCAAUGGGGAGUCAUGAUCUCUAAGCAGAAUGGGAAGCAUGAGUCAUGGGUAAAGUAUGCAACCUAUGCAGAGUGUUAGAAAUUGGUAUAUUAGAUGAGCUCACGGUUAAGAGCGUUCUUGGGAUCCUCUUUGAUUAGAAGAACUUUGGAUACUUUUAUGAUGAUGAUGUUUAAUGAUGAUGGUUAUAAAUAUGCUCUCUGGUAUUUUCUCUUGGAGGGAGUACAUUUGGGUAAUAACCGGUUUUAUUACUAAAAUUUGGCUCUACUAUUAGUAAUAAAUACUCGACCAACUAAAAGCAACUGCUUAACCUUAACUCCACAUACAGCUAGUCCACUUUAGCCAAACGGGACAUUUGCUGAGUACGUUGAUGUGUACUCACCCUUGCUUUAAAAAUCACCCCACCCCAGUUGUCCCCACUGUAUUCAGUGCUCAGGAGAAGAUGCUGGGAACAUAGAGGACUUUGAGGAGUUCCAGGACUACAACGAGUUCUAGUUAUCUUAGUGGCAAACCCUAGUCAGCUGCCUAUGAAGGUCUUAUCUGCUAUGUUUCGUAUUCCGCACUUUGAUAAUGUUAAUGACCAUGUUAUAGACUCUGUGGAUGUCUUGGAUAUCUUGAUGUAAUAAAGUACCUUUUUGCUAUUUACUUUGAGCAAUGUGUGAUGAUGCCCAAUUAUGUAAUCACUGUGUACGUGAGUUUCUGAUCCUGGCACGUACAUAGUUCGCAUUCGGUUUGCCUUCCAAAACCAGGUGUGACAGUGAGGAAGAAUCGGUCUCGUAGUAGACCACCUUCUUCAUUUUAUUUUUCUUCUUGUCACCAUUCCUAUGUGACUUGAUGGAUCCGGUGGAUUCCUCCUUGUGCUUGUCGCCGACCUCCUUCGAUGGAGUCCUUUCUUCGUUCUUCUUUCUCGAAGCUUCGGGCUUUUCGCUGGUGACCAUUUCCCUUUUGGCAUGUUCUCCCGACAUCACUUCGAGUUGUUAAACUCUAAUGAAGCAUCAAGCUUUGAUACCAAUUGAAAGCCACCUAGAGGGGGGAGAAUAGGCGAAACCUGAAAAUUAUAAACUUUGAACACGCACUUCACCCGGGGUUAGGGUUAGAAAUAAAUAAUAUUGAGUUCAGAGUGCGGAAGAUAGUUCUUCUUGCUAUGAGUUGCUCAAUCAAUACUGAUAACUUUGGGAGCCAACUCAAAACAAUAUGAGCAAGAGAACUUUAGAUAGAGAGGAGAGGGGAGAAACAAAUCGAUUGAUGAAGAUCAACACAAAUGAACACAUUGAUUUGUUUCCCUAGGUUUGGUUCCAAAGAACCUACUCCCCGUUGAGGAGGCCACAAAGGCCGGGUCUAUUCCAACCCUUUCUCUCUCUCAAUCGGUCACUUAGACCGAUCGAGUGCUUCUUCUUAAUCACACGGGUCACUAAGACCCCACAAGGAUCACCACACAAUUAGGUGUCUCUCGCUUGCUUUAUAAAACACUUGAGAAGUUUAGAAUGAGAAGAAGAAAGCAACCAAGCAACAAGAGCAACAAAAGAAACACAAAUCACCCUCUCUCAAGUCACUAAGCACUUUUGAUCACUUGACUUGAUUUUGGAACUUGGAGAGGAUUUGAUGCUUUGAUUGUGUCUUGGAGUCUAUUGCUCUAGUAUUGAAUGAGCAUGUUGCAAUGCUUUGAUGGCUUGAAUGGUGGUGGUUGGGGGUAUUUUUAGCCCAACCACUAUUCGAGCCGUUGCUAUCGAUGGGCACACCGAUAGUCCGGUGGUGCACCGGACACUGCACUGUUCACUGUCCGGUGAGUGCCACAUCAGCCGACCGUUGGGGUUUGGAGCUGUUGACCGUUGAAGUCUUCUAUCUUCUUGUGGCACCAAAUAGUCCGGUGUGUUCUAAAUUUGCAGACUGACUUAUGACUGCUGUAGACUGCCUUGUAGUUAGCGCAGUCGACCGUUGGGUGAAGUUGACCGUUGCUCCAUUGUCUCACCGGACAGUCCGGUGGUGCACCGGACAGUCCGAUGAAUUAUACUGGACGAGCGUUUGAGAAAACCCGAGAGCGAACAGUUUGCAGAGGGCUCCAGCCUGGGCACCAGACAGUGUCCGAUGCGCCACCGCCUGCAAUAGAUCUUGUAUGCUCCAAACUUUGUAGAAUUCCCUUGAGUCAUUUUCUUGGUAUGUUUAUGUGAACUUUAUGCACCUGAGAGAAACAACGACUAGACAAACUAGUUAGUCCAUAUGGUUUGUGAUGGACGUCAAACACCAAAAUUGAUUAUAGGAAAUGUUGAGGCCAUUUCCCUUUCACCCGCCGUCUCCACUAUUAAGCUUCUGGCUGAAAAUGUCGCGCGCCUCAUUCCCUCCGGUACAAAGUGGCGGCCAUGACAUAAACAUGGUUGUCACGAUCUUGCAAGACUCUCGCCCCACUCGGUACAAUUACAACGGCUAGCGCAAGAGCCGAGGGGUUGUUUGUUUUUUUUCUAAACUCACUUAAGUAACUAGAAUCUAACUAGAGCAAGCACUAAAGCGGUCUAACUAACCUAAGCACUUCGCAAAGCACCUACGCUAAUCACCGAGUGAUUUUAUUAAGCACUUGGGUGUAUGAGCAAUUGGGAAUGUCUAAUAUAUGCCUUGGUAUGUUGCUUGGGCUCCCACACCUUGGAAUGACUGGUUCGGGUGAUAUUUAUAGGUCCCAACACAAAUCUAGUCGUUGGAGAAAAGUUGAUGCUCUCUGCGGCACACUGGACAGUCCGGUGCGCCUAGCCGUUGGACUGACGCCGCAGGUGACCGUUGGUGCUGCACGCUUUUACACCAGACAGUCUGGUGGCUUCUCUCCACCAGUGCCACCUAGAACUAGCCGCCCUAGUGCACCAGAUAGUACGACGUGUGACACCAGACAGUCCAUUGUGGCAACACAUGUCUUCGUUUUGGACUUUGCUUGAUACUUGUUGAUCUUCUUGUGAUCUUCAUAAUGUCUUCUUUUAAGGUAUUGUUUUCCUCAAUGCCUUAGUCCGAGUAACUUUAGCAUCAUGUGAACUACAAACAUAAACACUAGCAAACACAUUAGUUCAUAGGUUAUGUUGAUCAUCAAACACCAAAACCUAUUAAGCCAAAUGGUUCGGGUCCAUUUUCCUUACAAAACCCCAUAAGGAAGUACGGUAUUACGCAAUUCUAAGCGGCCCGAACCUAUAUAAAUCCGUGAGUGAUCCCAGCGUGCCUCUGCAUGAACCAUUGAGUCACGAUCAACGACGCCAUCCUACCCAAAAGCAUCACGUAGGUAACCUUGUGGUGCGCGGUCGGGUCACAAACGUCGACAACGACCGAUUGAGAUAAUCACCUAUCCAAUCGAACCAACCUAUCUACAUUACUUUAUAUUAUCAUGCCUUAGGAGUACAUGUAGUGUAGCCCUAGUUGUAGUUUCCCAAUCUCAAUCUUCACCUAGCUUCGACUCUGCAUCAUCUCGAGGCAUCAUGUGUGGCCUACAGAUCCCAAAAUAACCCUAGAUCUUUCCUCCCUAAAGGGAUCCAUCCCGAGGGGCAAGAUCUAGGUUCUAGAGGAGCUCAUCCCUAUCUUCAUAUAAAAUUAUCUACGCACGCGGAUGGUCCGGUGGCCAACCGCGGACGAUCUGGUGACCUGUCGCAGAUGGUUCGCCGCCUCGUAGAAGGGUUCCCCAAGGUCCACGCCCCCGCGAGCGUGAUCUAUGAAUAGUUGGUGUUUGGCCCCAAAAAGGUGUUAAGAUUUCUUGGAAUUAAAAACAUCGAUAGAAAUUGAUUUAGCAUUUACCUCAUUACGCUCUAAGUUACAAAAGGUUGAUGUCAUAUAACUAGGUUUAUCUUUAUCUGUUGCCCUGUUUGGCAUAACUUAAUUUACAUUUUGUUCAUAGAUUUAAAUAAAAGUUAUAUCAAACAGUAGGCAUUUGCAUCAACUUGUCAGUUCAACUGCUUCUUAGAAUGAACUAAAAAUAGGCAACAAGCAAAAGCUGGAAAACUAGCUUCUCAGAUAAGUUGCUUUUCAAUCAGCAGUAGUUGUGCCAAACAAGGUCACCAUCUCUAACAACGUCUUCUAAACUUCAUCAUUUAUAUCUUAUCUUCUACAUUUUUCCAAUCAUAUUAACAUUAGAACCUUAUUGUUUCAACAAAUAUUGUCUCAUUUACAUAUUGCAAAUCAUUUUUAAAUAUGUAUUAAUAAAUAUUUUUUAAGAACUACAAAUACCAAACAAAUUCACAGGUCAUUCUCCUCCCAUGCCCACAUAAUGCAGUGGAAAAUCUUGCUUUUCUUCCAGUCCUAGGUGUCGCGCAAUAGCUUGCUAUUGGUCGCACUCUUCGUUGGCAUUCACGAGCGGGUAGAGACAACGACACUAGAUUUACCGGACCUCCACUAUCAUAGAGGACCAUGUAGUGUUCCUUGCUGGAUAUAUAAAGGAGGGGAAACUCUAGCGUAGCGAACGCUUAGACUAUCUACACUCAUACUACUCUAAAUUAGUACUCUAAAACAAAUAUUCUAGGGGUAUCUGCUAGUCAUAUAGUGUAAAUGUGCAGCCAAUCUUCUAAGUGAAUGCAAACGAGGCCUCUCUCAUCCAUAUAUUAUUGUAUAUUUUAGGCUGGAUUGGUUCCAUGACUCUAGAGAAGUGGUUUGAUUCCCGUCGGUAGUUAGGAGGCUUCAUAAAAGAUGGAGAAAUGGUCUAACUAAUUUAACAUCAUAAAUAUAUAAUACUACAAAAUAUGUCAUUGCAACAAAAGAUGCCCUGAAUUGAAUCCAGGUCCACAACCGAACAAGACCUUACUCUAUAUCUAACUUUGUGUUGAUAAGUACUCUUUACACCUUCUAGAUGUGGAUAGCCUUAGACUGUUCCAGCAACGUCAUCUAUAUCUACCAUCUAUAUUUGUCCUUUACAAUCUCAUCUAAAAAAAUUCACCUUCUAUAUCUCCUUCCUGUCCAACAACGUUCUCUAAUUCACGUCUUCUAUAUAUCUAUACUACUCUUAAGAUGGUAGUGUAGGCGUCCACAUCCUAUGGUGCACGGUUCUGCCACCGUCUCAUCCGAGAUCCUCUACGCGACGCACGCUCGAGAUCCUCUCCGUGACGCACGCCUCCCUCUCUUCCGCCCCACCCUCCUCCCCACUCCAUCGGCGCCGCCAUCAUCGGAUCCGACCCAAGACGCCUCCGCCCCACGCGCCCGAGUCGUCGAGGCACACUCCUACCCGCCUCCGGCGUCCACGCACAUCUCCGCCUCACCUCGGUGCCAUCCUCUCGCCAUGUCGUCGCACACGUUCACGGUGGCGUCCAUCCCGACACCGGCCUCACGCACCGUCUACAACUCCCAACUCUGCUCCUCUCAGUUCUCCCUCCGCAUUUCGCCUUCUCUCCCUUCCUCUCCAAGCACCGUCCACCUCGCCUAGAUCCAUACAAGCGGCAAAUAACCUCUCCGACGGCGAGACAGAUGGAGUCGACCUUCGGCGAGGAUGCUCUGAAGCGCAACCCGCUCCUGUCCGCGCUCGUCUCCAACCUACACUCCGUGCUCGCCGCCUGUCGCCCGUCCGCAGCAGAGGUCAGCACCGCUGCCACAGCUAGCGAGGCUGAGGCCUUGGCUCAGGAAGCAGAGGCGUCCGAUUCCCUCACGAGAGAUGGGAUGCCGGCGAGGCCCAUCGUGUUGCUGACCUAUGCCGAGGGGAUCCGGACGGCGGGUCUCGCGGCGCUCAUUGACGCCCUCGUUGCCAUCGGCCGCUGCGACGUCCACGUGUGUGCCCCCAAAUCAUACGUGUUGCGACUUAGAAAACCAAGGCGUCUUAAUUUCCCCUUACAUUUGCUCUUAUGAUCGCAAAGUACUGUUUGCUUUCCAUUGGAUUUGUUGGGAGAUAAAUUAAGUAGUCCCGAUUUGGGCGCCCUGCGCCUGUUUACUCCAUUAGGGCAUGUACAGUGGAGAGACACCAAAACGGUUCUCCAAGCACAGAAGACAACUAAGAGACUCUAUUGUACAAUGGAGUGUCUAUAAACGUAGUCUAUUAAUAAAUACAGAAUUAAAUGUAUUUGUAUAACAUCAGAUCGAUAGAACAGACGACAAAUUCGUACAGUGGGAAGUGAGGCGUCUGUUGCUACUUGGUUUACGAGCCAGAGGCGUCUCUUCACGGAGAGACGGCUCUAAGAUUUUUUUGCAAAUAACCCCCUUAAACACCUUAAGAGCCUCCACAUUAAACACCACUGUACAUGCCCUUAAUGUACUAAUUUGGUUGCCAUUUCCCUAUGAUUGUGGAACCGAACUGAUUUGGGGCCCUUUGUUUAUUUGAAGGGACAAGCAAGCCUGUGGCCAUUCAAUUGCCAUCUGUGAAACCAUCAUUGCGUCAUCCGUGGAUUUCAUAGGCACUAAAGCUUUUGAGACAUCAGGUGAGGGCCAUUCGUUCAUUCAAUUGUGCACAAUUUGGGUCACACAUUGCUGAGCCUGGUGGUCCCGAUAUUUUAUCUUUGCUUACUUUAAUCAUUGAAAACUUAGGCACGCCAGUUGACUGCGUCUCGUUGGCCUUAUCUGGGAGGUUGUUUCCUUGGUCGUCUCCUGCUUUGGUACCGUGAUUGUUUAUUCUUUCGGAAUUGGAUUUCCAAGUGUUACUAUCUUGAAGGUAAUUUGAUUUGUGGUUUUAAAAAACAACAUAUUUUGUUUAUACAGGUGACCAGUGGUAUCAACACGGGAUCAAAUUGUGGAUAUGAGAAAAUUGAUCCCCCAAGCAUUAGCAGUAAAAAGGUUUCUGGAACAAAAAAUUAUAGUAUUGAUGCUAAGGAUGCUAAAUAGAGAAUUCUGAAGACGGCUUCACCGAAAGUGUGGAAACUAGAGACUAAAGAGAUCAGACCCAACUGAAAGGGAAAUAGGGUUAACUUUUUUACACAAUUAAUUUUAGUGGUUGAAUGUCCAACACAAACAAAUGGACUAACUAGUUUGCUCUAGAAUACAUGUUCUACAGGUGCAUAAAGGUUUAACACAAACCAAUAAAUAUCCAAGUUAGGGAUCCAAUUCAAAGGAGCAAAAGAAACUAAGUGUGCUGUGGUCUGGCUCACCAGACUGUCCGCUGUGCCAACGGACAGUGUCCGGUGCACCUGGACCAUAUAGAGUCCAAACAGCCACUCUCGGGUUUUCCCAGGCGCGCUUCGCUAUAAUUCACCGGACUGUCCGGUGCACCAGCGGAGCAAUGGCUAACUCACGCAACGGUCGACUCUAACAAGUGAACAGUGCGUGCCAGAAGUCAGAGCAGAAGUCAAAGGCGUACCGGACAAUGUCAGGUGCCACAAGAAGACAACAGCUCCAACGGUCGACUGCUCCCUAACCCUAACGGUUGAGUGACGUGGCGACGCACUGGACAGCCUACAGUGCCUAUCUAGUGGCGCACCGGAGCAGCCAUCCCCCAACGGCCACUUGGUGGUUGAGGGCUAUAAAUACCCCCCAACCACCACAACACCAACAACCCAAGCAUUAUGAACAUUGCAUUCAAUACAAGAGCAAUAGACUCCACUCCAAGACACAAUCAANNNNNNNNNNNNNNNNNNNNNNNNNNNNNNNNNNNNNNNNNNNNNNNNNNNNNNNNNNNNNNNNNNNNNNNNNNNNNNNNNNNNNNNNNNNNNNNNNNNNNNNNNNNNNNNNNNNNNNNNNNNNNNNNNNNNNNNNNNNNNNNNNNNNNNNNNNNNNNNNNNNNNNNNNNNNNNNNNNNNNNNNNNNNNNNNNNNNNNNNNNNNNNNNNNNNNNNNNNNNNNNNNNNNNNNNNNNNNNNNNNNNNNNNNNNNNNNNNNNNNNNNNNNNNNNNNNNNNNNNNNNNNNNNNNNNNNNNNNNNNNNNNNNNNNNNNNNNNNNNNNNNNNNNNNNNNNNNNNNNNNNNNNNNNNNNNNNNNNNNNNNNNNNNNNNNNNNNNNNNNNNNNNNNNNNNNNNNNNNNNNNNNNNNNNNNNNNNNNNNNNNNNNNNNNNNNNNNNNNNNNNNNNNNNNNNNNNNNNNNNNNNNNNNNNNNNNNNNNNNNNNNNNNNNNNNNNNNNNNNNNNNNNNNNNNNNNNNNNNNNNNNNNNNNNNNNNNNNNNNNNNNNNNNNNNNNNNNNNNNNNNNNNNNNNNNNNNNNNNNNNNNNNNNNNNNNNNNNNNNNNNNNNNNNNNNNNNNNNNNNNNNNNNNNNNNNNNNNNNNNNNNNNNNNNNNNNNNNNNNNNNNNNNNNNNNNNNNNNNNNNNNNNNNNNNNNNNNNNNNNNNNNNNNNNNNNNNNNNNNNNNNNNNNNNNNNNNNNNNNNNNNNNNNNNNNNNNNNNNNNNNNNNNNNNNNNNNNNNNNNNNNNNNNNNNNNNNNNNNNNNNNNNNNNNNNNNNNNNNNNNNNNNNNNNNNNNNNNNNNNNNNNNNNNNNNNNNNNNNNNNNNNNNNNNNNNNNNNNNNNNNNNNNNNNNNNNNNNNNNNNNNNNNNNNNNNNNNNNNNNNNNNNNNNNNNNNNNNNNNNNNNNNNNNNNNNNNNNNNNNNNNNNNNNNNNNNNNNNNNNNNNNNNNNNNNNNNNNNNNNNNNNNNNNNNNNNNNNNNNNNNNNNNNNNNNNNNNNNNNNNNNNNNNNNNNNNNNNNNNNNNNNNNNNNNNNNNNNNNNNNNNNNNNNNNNNNNNNNNNNNNNNNNNNNNNNNNNNNNNNNNNNNNNNNNNNNNNNNNNNNNNNNNNNNNNNNNNNNNNNNNNNNNNNNNNNNNNNNNNNNNNNNNNNNNNNNNNNNNNNNNNNNNNNNNNNNNNNNNNNNNNNNNNNNNNNNNNNNNNNNNNNNNNNNNNNNNNNNNNNNNNNNNNNNNNNNNNNNNNNNNNNNNNNNNNNNNNNNNNNNNNNNNNNNNNNNNNNNNNNNNNNNNNNNNNNNNNNNNNNNNNNNNNNNNNNNNNNNNNNNNNNNNNNNNNNNNNNNNNNNNNNNNNNNNNNNNNNNNNNNNNNNNNNNNNNNNNNNNNNNNNNNNNNNNNNNNNNNNNNNNNNNNNNNNNNNNNNNNNNNNNNNNNNNNNNNNNNNNNNNNNNNNNNNNNNNNNNNNNNNNNNNNNNNNNNNNNNNNNNNNNNNNNNNNNNNNNNNNNNNNNNNNNNNNNNNNNNNNNNNNNNNNNNNNNNNNNNNNNNNNNNNNNNNNNNNNNNNNNNNNNNNNNNNNNNNNNNNNNNNNNNNNNNNNNNNNNNNNNNNNNNNNNNNNNNNNNNNNNNNNNNNNNNNNNNNNNNNNNNNNNNNNNNNNNNNNNNNNNNNNNNNNNNNNNNNNNNNNNNNNNNNNNNNNNNNNNNNNNNNNNNNNNNNNNNNNNNNNNNNNNNNNNNNNNNNNNNNNNNNNNNNNNNNNNNNNNNNNNNNNNNNNNNNNNNNNNNNNNNNNNNNNNNNNNNNNNNNNNNNNNNNNNNNNNNNNNNNNNNNNNNNNNNNNNNNNNNNNNNNNNNNNNNNNNNNNNNNNNNNNNNNNNNNNNNNNNNNNNNNNNNNNNNNNNNNNNNNNNNNNNNNNNNNNNNNNNNNNNNNNNNNNNNNNNNNNNNNNNNNNNNNNNNNNNNNNNNNNNNNNNNNNNNNNNNNNNNNNNNNNNNNNNNNNNNNNNNNNNNNNNNNNNNNNNNNNNNNNNNNNNNNNNNNNNNNNNNNNNNNNNNNNNNNNNNNNNNNNNNNNNNNNNNNNNNNNNNNNNNNNNNNNNNNNNNNNNNNNNNNNNNNNNNNNNNNNNNNNNNNNNNNNNNNNNNNNNNNNNNNNNNNNNNNNNNNNNNNNNNNNNNNNNNNNNNNNNNNNNNNNNNNNNNNNNNNNNNNNNNNNNNNNNNNNNNNNNNNNNNNNNNNNNNNNNNNNNNNNNNNNNNNNNNNNNNNNNNNNNNNNNNNNNNNNNNNNNNNNNNNNNNNNNNNNNNNNNNNNNNNNNNNNNNNNNNNNNNNNNNNNNNNNNNNNNNNNNNNNNNNNNNNNNNNNNNNNNNNNNNNNNNNNNNNNNNNNNNNNNNNNNNNNNNNNNNNNNNNNNNNNNNNNNNNNNNNNNNNNNNNNNNNNNNNNNNNNNNNNNNNNNNNNNNNNNNNNNNNNNNNNNNNNNNNNNNNNNNNNNNNNNNNNNNNNNNNNNNNNNNNNNNNNNNNNNNNNNNNNNNNNNNNNNNNNNNNNNNNNNNNNNNNNNNNNNNNNNNNNNNNNNNNNNNNNNNNNNNNNNNNNNNNNNNNNNNNNNNNNNNNNNNNNNNNNNNNNNNNNNNNNNNNNNNNNNNNNNNNNNNNNNNNNNNNNNNNNNNNNNNNNNNNNNNNNNNNNNNNNNNNNNNNNNNNNNNNNNNNNNNNNNNNNNNNNNNNNNNNNNNNNNNNNNNNNNNNNNNNNNNNNNNNNNNNNNNNNNNNNNNNNNNNNNNNNNNNNNNNNNNNNNNNNNNNNNNNNNNNNNNNNNNNNNNNNNNNNNNNNNNNNNNNNNNNNNNNNNNNNNNNNNNNNNNNNNNNNNNNNNNNNNNNNNNNNNNNNNNNNNNNNNNNNNNNNNNNNNNNNNNNNNNNNNNNNNNNNNNNNNNNNNNNNNNNNNNNNNNNNNNNNNNNNNNNNNNNNNNNNNNNNNNNNNNNNNNNNNNNNNNNNNNNNNNNNNNNNNNNNNNNNNNNNNNNNNNNNNNNNNNNNNNNNNNNNNNNNNNNNNNNNNNNNNNNNNNNNNNNNNNNNNNNNNNNNNNNNNNNNNNNNNNNNNNNNNNNNNNNNNNNNNNNNNNNNNNNNNNNNNNNNNNNNNNNNNNNNNNNNNNNNNNNNNNNNNNNNNNNNNNNNNNNNNNNNNNNNNNNNNNNNNNNNNNNNNNNNNNNNNNNNNNNNNNNNNNNNNNNNNNNNNNNNNNNNNNNNNNNNNNNNNNNNNNNNNNNNNNNNNNNNNNNNNNNNNNNNNNNNNNNNNNNNNNNNNNNNNNNNNNNNNNNNNNNNNNNNNNNNNNNNNNNNNNNNNNNNNNNNNNNNNNNNNNNNNNNNNNNNNNNNNNNNNNNNNNNNNNNNNNNNNNNNNNNNNNNNNNNNNNNNNNNNNNNNNNNNNNNNNNNNNNNNNNNNNNNNNNNNNNNNNNNNNNNNNNNNNNNNNNNNNNNNNNNNNNNNNNNNNNNNNNNNNNNNNNNNNNNNNNNNNNNNNNNNNNNNNNNNNNNNNNNNNNNNNNNNNNNNNNNNNNNNNNNNNNNNNNNNNNNNNNNNNNNNNNNNNNNNNNNNNNNNNNNNNNNNNNNNNNNNNNNNNNNNNNNNNNNNNNNNNNNNNNNNNNNNNNNNNNNNNNNNNNNNNNNNNNNNNNNNNNNNNNNNNNNNNNNNNNNNNNNNNNNNNNNNNNNNNNNNNNNNNNNNNNNNNNNNNNNNNNNNNNNNNNNNNNNNNNNNNNNNNNNNNNNNNNNNNNNNNNNNNNNNNNNNNNNNNNNNNNNNNNNNNNNNNNNNNNNNNNNNNNNNNNNNNNNNNNNNNNNNNNNNNNNNNNNNNNNNNNNNNNNNNNNNNNNNNNNNNNNNNNNNNNNNNNNNNNNNNNNNNNNNNNNNNNNNNNNNNNNNNNNNNNNNNNNNNNNNNNNNNNNNNNNNNNNNNNNNNNNNNNNNNNNNNNNNNNNNNNNNNNNNNNNNNNNNNNNNNNNNNNNNNNNNNNNNNNNNNNNNNNNNNNNNNNNNNNNNNNNNNNNNNNNNNNNNNNNNNNNNNNNNNNNNNNNNNNNNNNNNNNNNNNNNNNNNNNNNNNNNNNNNNNNNNNNNNNNNNNNNNNNNNNNNNNNNNNNNNNNNNNNNNNNNNNNNNNNNNNNNNNNNNNNNNNNNNNNNNNNNNNNNNNNNNNNNNNNNNNNNNNNNNNNNNNNNNNNNNNNNNNNNNNNNNNNNNNNNNNNNNNNNNNNNNNNNNNNNNNNNNNNNNNNNNNNNNNNNNNNNNNNNNNNNNNNNNNNNNNNNNNNNNNNNNNNNNNNNNNNNNNNNNNNNNNNNNNNNNNNNNNNNNNNNNNNNNNNNNNNNNNNNNNNNNNNNNNNNNNNNNNNNNNNNNNNNNNNNNNNNNNNNNNNNNNNNNNNNNNNNNNNNNNNNNNNNNNNNNNNNNNNNNNNNNNNNNNNNNNNNNNNNNNNNNNNNNNNNNNNNNNNNNNNNNNNNNNNNNNNNNNNNNNNNNNNNNNNNNNNNNNNNNNNNNNNNNNNNNNNNNNNNNNNNNNNNNNNNNNNNNNNNNNNNNNNNNNNNNNNNNNNNNNNNNNNNNNNNNNNNNNNNNNNNNNNNNNNNNNNNNNNNNNNNNNNNNNNNNNNNNNNNNNNNNNNNNNNNNNNNNNNNNNNNNNNNNNNNNNNNNNNNNNNNNNNNNNNNNNNNNNNNNNNNNNNNNNNNNNNNNNNNNNNNNNNNNNNNNNNNNNNNNNNNNNNNNNNNNNNNNNNNNNNNNNNNNNNNNNNNNNNNNNNNNNNNNNNNNNNNNNNNNNNNNNNNNNNNNNNNNNNNNNNNNNNNNNNNNNNNNNNNNNNNNNNNNNNNNNNNNNNNNNNNNNNNNNNNNNNNNNNNNNNNNNNNNNNNNNNNNNNNNNNNNNNNNNNNNNNNNNNNNNNNNNNNNNNNNNNNNNNNNNNNNNNNNNNNNNNNNNNNNNNNNNNNNNNNNNNNNNNNNNNNNNNNNNNNNNNNNNNNNNNNNNNNNNNNNNNNNNNNNNNNNNNNNNNNNNNNNNNNNNNNNNNNNNNNNNNNNNNNNNNNNNNNNNNNNNNNNNNNNNNNNNNNNNNNNNNNNNNNNNNNNNNNNNNNNNNNNNNNNNNNNNNNNNNNNNNNNNNNNNNNNNNNNNNNNNNNNNNNNNNNNNNNNNNNNNNNNNNNNNNNNNNNNNNNNNNNNNNNNNNNNNNNNNNNNNNNNNNNNNNNNNNNNNNNNNNNNNNNNNNNNNNNNNNNNNNNNNNNNNNNNNNNNNNNNNNNNNNNNNNNNNNNNNNNNNNNNNNNNNNNNNNNNNNNNNNNNNNNNNNNNNNNNNNNNNNNNNNNNNNNNNNNNNNNNNNNNNNNNNNNNNNNNNNNNNNNNNNNNNNNNNNNNNNNNNNNNNNNNNNNNNNNNNNNNNNNNNNNNNNNNNNNNNNNNNNNNNNNNNNNNNNNNNNNNNNNNNNNNNNNNNNNNNNNNNNNNNNNNNNNNNNNNNNNNNNNNNNNNNNNNNNNNNNNNNNNNNNNNNNNNNNNNNNNNNNNNNNNNNNNNNNNNNNNNNNNNNNNNNNNNNNNNNNNNNNNNNNNNNNNNNNNNNNNNNNNNNNNNNNNNNNNNNNNNNNNNNNNNNNNNNNNNNNNNNNNNNNNNNNNNNNNNNNNNNNNNNNNNNNNNNNNNNNNNNNNNNNNNNNNNNNNNNNNNNNNNNNNNNNNNNNNNNNNNNAGAUAGAACCUAUGAUGAGCAAGGAUCAACCACGUUGAGAAGAAACGCAUAAGAGAUUGAAUCAUGCACUUCAACCGUUCAUAUGAGCGGUUCAACUACAAUGAACAAUAUCAAAUCGCUAAUCUCAAACAGUGUUUGUGACAAAAUGAAGAUAGUCUAAGUGUUGCAAUCACUUAAACCAAAAUGUACCCAACGAAUGAUACAUAAGAUAAUCAAGAAUGCGUAGGAUCGAGUACAAGAAAAUAACAUAGAACAAUACCUCGAUCCAAAGAUGGGGGGCAAGAUCUCUCAACGAGAAGGAGGAAGAUGGUGGAAACACGCCGGGAAGAACGGAUCUCCAACCACACUUCCAAACGGGUGAGAGCUCGAGAGAGUUUGGAGAGGAGAGAGGAAAGACAGAAGUGGCGACGGCGGCUGGAAACAGGGCUGAGAAGGGAAGAGAAGAGAGGGAGAGGUAUAAAAAAGGAGAGGAGUCGGCCGCCAGAAAGCCGAAAACCGGUUCAACCGGUUUCAAAACCGGUUCAACCGGUUUCGGGUCAAACGGCACAGUAAAAGCGCGCAGAAAACAGUGUUGACUGCGCGCAAAACCUGGCAGUCUGACAGCACAGACUGCAAAACUGACAGCGCAGACUGCGCAGCUGUCAGCGCAGACUACGCGCGGACUGACGGCGCGACGGCCAAAACCGGUUCAGCCGGUUUUUAGACCGGUUCAACCGGUUUCCACCAGGACGAAACCGGUUGAGUGGCCUACUCAGCCGGUUUACUCAACCAGAUUUCAAAUAUUGCCUGGAAGGGCUGUAAUAUCACCUAGCAAUUAUGACAUGAGAUAUUAUAAAGAUAAAAAUGACAUUCUCAAUUCAUAUUGCUCAAACAAACAAUUUUCAAUCAUCAAAUUUGAUCAAAUUUUAGUUAUUAAGUCACGUUUCGAGAAUCCAAGAUAUUUAGCUCACUCCUAAGAAAACAAAACCUAGUCUCAUCAAGGGGUUUUGUGAAGAUAUCGGCUAGUUGAUUUUCGGUGCUCUCAUGAAAAAGUUCGAUAUCUCCUUUGGCUUCAUGGUCUCUCAAGAAAUGGUGUCUAAUGUCAAUAUGUUUAGUUCUAGAGUGUUGCACUGGAUUGUUUGCAAGUUUUAUGGCACUCUCAUUGUCACACAAAGAGGAAUUUUGUUAAACUCACAACCAAAAUCUCUAAGGGUUUGCUUCAUCCAUAACAACUGUGCACAACAUGCCCCAGCUGCUAUGUAUUCAGCUUCUGCAGUGGAGAGUGCAACACAAUUUUGUUUCUUGGAACUCCAUGACACUAAGGACCGCCCAAGGAAUUGGCAAGUCCCAGUAGUGCUUUUUCGAUCUACUUUGCAACCGGCAUAAUCUGAGUCAGAAUAGCCAAGCAAAUCGAAAAAGGAGCCUUUAGGAUACCAUAAUCCUAGGUUUUGGGUGUGGACUAAGUAUCUUAGAAUUCUCUUAACGGCUACAAGAUGACAGUCUUUAGGAUUUGCUUGAAAACGUGCACACAUACAAACACUCAACAUAAUAUCAGGCCUAGAUGCACAUAAGUAAAGCAGUGAUCCUAUCAUUGAUCUAUAUAAUUUUUGAUCUACAGGUUUACCUUCCUCAUUUAGGUCGAGAUGUCCAUUUGAUGACAUUGGAGUCUUGGCGUGCUUUGCUUUUUCCAUGCCAAACUUCUUGAGCAUAUCUUGAGUAUAUUUAGUUUGGCAUAAAAAGGUACCUUCCUUGAGUUGUUUGACUUGAAAUCCCAGGAAGUACUUAAGCUCGCCCAUCAUAGACAUCUCAAACCUGUUCGUCAUUACUUUGCUAAACUCUUCACAAAAUUUUUCAUUAGUACUACCAAAUAUAAUGUCAUCAACAUAUAUUUGGCACACAAAUAAUUCAUUAUCAACUUUUCGAGUAAACAAAGUAGAGUCAGCUUUUCCUAUUGUAAACCCAUUUUUAAUUAGAAAAUCUUUAAGACAAUCAUACCAAGCUCUAGGGGCUUGUUUAAGCCCGUAGAGUGCCUUGUGAAGAAGAUAAACAUGAUUUGGCUUCUUUGGGUCUUCGAAGCCCGGUGGUUGCUCCACAUAUACUCUUUCUUGUAGUGGUCCAUUUAGAAAAGCGCUCUUGACAUCCAUUUGAUAUAGCUUGAAAUCAUGGUUAGUAGCAUAGGCAAUUAAUAUUCUAAUUGAUUCUAACCUUGCUAUCGGCGCAUAUGUUUCACCAAAGUCAAGUCCUUCCACUUGAGUAUAGCCUUGGGCAACCAACCUUGCCUUGUUUCUUGUAACAACGCCAUUUUCAUCUUGCUUGUUCCUAAAGACCCAUUUAGUCCCAAUCACAUUUUGUUUGGGUCUUUGGACUAAGGACCAGACUUCAUUCCUAGUGAAGUUGUUCAACUCCUCUUGCAUCGCAGUUAUCCAAUCCGGAUCACCCAAUGCUUCUUCAACCUUAAGUGGCUCAAGAGAGGAAACAAACGAGUAAAAUUCACAAAAAUUAGCUAAACGUGAUCGAGUCGUUACCCCUCUCCUGAUGCUACCCAGGAUGUUGUCCACCGGAUGAUCCCUUUGAAUUGAAUGAUGGACUCUUGGAUGAGGCACUGAUGGAUGUCUUUGUAUUUGCUCUUCCUCAUCAGUUACUUGAUCAAGACGCACUUCACCAUCAAUAUUUUCUUGUUCAUCUUCUACCACUGUUGGCAUCCUUUGAUGAUUUUCUUCGUGGUUUGGAUGACUUGAGGUUGAUGGGUUUGCUUGGGUGGAGACAUUGUCACUCACCACCCUUGCACCCACAUCAACUACCUCAUUGGUCAUCCACAAGGUUCCUUCUUCAUCAUCCCUUUCUUGAGGUCUCACCUCACCUAUGGCAAGUUUCUUUAUGGCCUCACAAGGUAGUUUUUCAUUUCCUGCAGUGUCAUUAGAAACAUGCCCUUGCGAGCCAUUAGACUCAUCAAAUGUCACGUCUAUCGCUAUUUCAACAAGACCGGUGGAAUUGUUGAAAACACGAUAUCCAUGCGCAUUUGAUGCAUAACCAAGCAAGAAACCCUCGUCCACUCUAGGAGCAAACUUUGAGCUCUUGACUUUCUUGUUAAGAAUAAAACAUUUACAACCGAAUACUCUAAAAUAAUCAACUUUAGGUUUGUUACCAGUGAGAAGCUCAUAGGCAGUCUUUUUGUAGAUCUUAUGAAGAUAGAGGCGGUUGAUUGCAUGACAGGCGGUGUUGACCGCCUCUGCCCAGAAGUUGUCAGGUGUCUUGUAUUCAUCCAACAUGGUUCUUGCAGCUUCAAUUAGAGUCCGGUUCUUUCUUUCCACAACACCAUUUUGUUGUGGAGUGUAAGGCACCGAGAACUCAUGCUUGAUUCCCUCUUCUCCUAAGAAUUCUUCGACACCUGUGUUCUUGAAUUCCGUCCCAUUAUCGCUUCUCACUUUCUUGAUUUUGAGCUCAAAUUCAUUUUGAGCUCUCCUCAUGAAUUUCUUUAAGAUUUCUUGAGUUUCACCUUUGUCACUCAAAAAGAAAACCCAAGUGAAUCGAGAAAAAUCAUCAACAAUAACUAAACCAUACUUACUACCACCAAUGCUAAUGUAGGCCACAGGUCCGAAGAGGUCCAUGUGAAGAAGCUCCAAUGGCCUCUUUGUUGUGACCACAUUCUUUGAUUGAUGUGGGACUCCAUGUUGCUUUCCUGCUUGGCAUGCGCCACAAACCCUAUCUUUCUCAAAUACAACAUUGGUUAGUCCAAUGAUGUGAUUAUCCUUUUGAAGUUUGGCCAAAUUCCUCAUACCGACAUGGGCUAGCCGGCGAUGCCAUAGCCAACCCUUGUCGGAUUUUGCCACUAAACAAGUCUCAGGCGUCACUUUACUUGUUGUGAAAUCAACAAGAUAAAGUUUACCCUUCAAGCGACCUGUAAAGGCAACUGAGGAGUCCUCCCUUCUAAGGAUUUUCACAUCCACAUUCGAAAAUAAGCAAUUAUAACCCAUUCCACAAAGUUGUGAAACAGACAACAAAUUAUAGCUCAAGGAAUCUACUAAUAAAACAUUUGAAAGUGAUUGUUGGUCAGAGAUAGGAAUUUUACCAAUACCAAUCACCUUACUCUUGCCACUAUCUCCAAACACAAUUUCUUGUGCUUCUUGAGUUAGUUGCAAUGUAUGAAACAUGUCUUUCUCCCCGGUCAUGUGAUUUGUACAUCCACUGUCAAGCACCCAACUUGACCCACCAGAGGAGUAGACCUGCAAAACAAGUUUAGGCUAUACUUUUAGGUACCCAAAUUGAAUUGGGUCCUACAGUGUUAGUUAUAGCCUUGGGUACCCACACACUUCUUUUCAUGACUUUUUGUUUAGUGUAGGCACCCACAUAUUUCACAACUAAUUUCCCUGAAUCCCAAGUCAACAUAUAAUCACAAAGAUAUGAGUGGGAAAUGGGAGCAUUAGAUUUUUGUCCACUUGAGGAUCCCACUUCCUUCAUCUUACUCUUUGUGGAACUCAAGUUAACCUUUACCUGAGAUGACUUGUCAUUUGAGGAGUGGAUCCUCCCCAAGGCAUCAUAUAGAGUGGUUCCCUCUAUGAACUUGGGGGAUCUCCACCCCUUAUGCACUGUGCUAGGGUUUUCCUUGGAUGAAUUGAACCCAAGCCCCCUUCUACCAUUGUUGGACUUAAGGGACUUGUACUUGGGUUCAACUUUCUUUAACCCAUCAUUGCUAGAGCAUCUUUUCAAAAUUUCUUUGACCUUCACCUGUGGGCUUUGCUUCCUUGCAUGGUUAGUUAGACAACAAGAAGCAUGAUAUUUGGCACAAUGCUUGCAAGAAUUAUCAUUAGAGCUAGACUUAGAUUCAAAUACUAAAGUGGGGGCAUUGAUGUUCUUGCAAUUUUCAAGUUGCACUUGAAGUUCUUGAUUUUGAACAUUCAAGCUUAACAUGCUUGAUUCAAGUGCAUUCUUUUCAUUUGCAAGGUUAUCAAUAGAGGUUUUCAAGUUAAUUACUUCUAUAUCUUUAUUGUGAAUCAACUCUUGAAGCUCUAGGUUUCUUUCCUUUUCAAGGAUAAGCAAGUCUUCUUGAGCAUCAAGAGUUGCCUUUCUUUUAUCUAGCUUUUCCAUUAAUUUUGUGAUAACAUUGUAUCCAUUUAAGCCAAAUUCUUUAAUCAUUUUAUUUUUCAUGGCAAUUUGAUCAUCAUCAUCAUCAUUUGAAAAAUCAUUACUAAAUAAAGUUACCUUAUCUCCUUUUGCCAUGAGGCAAGUUGGAAUGUAGGAGUCGUCUUGAAGGUUGGUGAAGAGUUGCGCGCUUGAGGUAGAUUGGAUGGCCACAUUUGCCACCACUUCCUCUUCCUCGGAGCUAGAACUCUCAUCAUCGGAGUUCCAUUCUUCACCAAUAUGAGCUUGUCCAUACUUCUUCUUCUUGAAGUAUCCCUUGGUCUUGCCUCCCUUUUUAAACUUAUCCUUCUUGUAUUCCUUCUUGGCUUCUUGUUCCUUCUUGUUAGGACAAUCCGCUAUGAAAUGACCGGUUUGGCCACAUUCAUAGCAUGCCCUCUUCUUUCCUUUCCUUUGGAACUUGUCAUUCUUCCUUACAAAUUUCUUGAAAGUUUUGAUGAACAUAGCUGUGUCUUCAUCACUUGAGCUAUCUUCAUCACUUGAGGUCUCGACCACUUUCUUUGCUUUGUGGUCUUUGCUCUUCUUGAGAUUGUCUUGUUCAUUUGUGAUCAAGGCAUGAGAGUCUCUUGUCUUGAUGGGGGCUUCCUCGGACUCGUGUUGUUGAAUUUUUGCAAAUAGUUGAUGAGGCAUCAUGUCCUCAUAAUCAUCACGAUCCCUUAUCAUCCUUGCAAGACUUUUAUCUUUCUCUUUAUAAGCUCUCAUGAACAAUCUUGUGGCCUUGGAGUCACUCCAAUCUUCACUCCCAAGUACUCUUAUUUUGUUGACCAAUACCAUCAAUCGAUCAAAGAGUGAUUGGAGCGACUCACCCUUUGUCCAAUCAUACCUUGCAAGCUCACUUUCCAAAGCUUCAACUCUAUGUCUUUUAGCUUUGGGAUCUCCUUCAUGUGACAUUCUAAGAAUGUUCCAAAUGUCACGAGCAUCUUCUCUUCCUUGAACUUUCCGGUAUUCUUCCGGACAAAGACUUCCUUUGAUUAUGCUCACUGCUUGAGCAUUUCGAUGAACCUCUUGCAUCAUUUCCGGAGUCAUCUCUUCUCCUUGGGCGGGCUUAUACAUACCUACAUUAACAAUCUCCCAAAGACUAGGAUGCACACCGAUUAAAUGCGACUUCAUCUUGUCGGCCCACUCAUCAUAGUUCAACUCACUAAGAGUUGGUAACUUUCCAAGUGGGGCGGAAGAGAAGUUGGGAAUAUAAUUUCUAGAGUAAUCGAAUUGAACUUUGCUAAAGUCAUUACCUUUGCUUUUGGUAGAUGAUCCUUCGGUGUUGAAACUUACCUUGCUCAAUACCUUAGACACCAAAAGGUCCACUAGAUCGUCAUUAUAAUCAAACGUUCCCUUACCUUUACCUUCUUCGGCCUUUCUUCUUGUUUCCUCUUCUUCGGCCUUUUUCCUAGCAUCUUCCUCUUUCAUUUUGAGGAACAUUUUCUCGGCAAUCUUCAUGGCGAGGUCGAGGACCUUGGGGUCCACUUCCUCACCGGAAGAUGUGACGGGGAUUUCCUCGAGAAGAGGAUCCACAUGGUCCCGUUGUGUAGACAUGAUCGUUUCCUCACGCGGUUAAGCGUAAAACGAGGCACGAAGCUCUGAUACCAAUUGAAAGUAGCCUAGAGGGGGGGGUGAAUAGGCUACACCUGAAAAUUUUCACUAAAAACUUCGAAAUAGGUUAAAUUAAAGUUGCACAGGUGCAAACCGGUUCAGCCGAUUUUAAUCACAACUGAACAAGUUUGAACCCACUCAACUUGAAUUUAAUAAUCUAUUGAACAAAUUAAAAGUAGUAAAGAAAAUAGCUAAAGAUUUGCCCUACACAAGAACUACUUGAAUGAAUAAUAUGAACCAACCACCGAAUAUGAAAUGCUUAUCAAGAACACACAAGAACACGCGAUAUAACCCGAGGUUCGGCAACCACCACAAAGGUGUCCUACUCCUCGUUGAGGAACCCACAAAGGGCCGGGUCUUUUCCAACCCUAAUCCUCCACAAGCCGACCACAAAGGUCAAGGCAAUCUCUUCUCAAAUCUGCUCAAGGAGCGGGUGAUACAAACUUCUUGGGGUCGUCCACAAAUUUGGAGACUCCCAAGCAACCUCUAACCGUCAAGGAACACGAGGUUCCAAGAGUAACAAAUCCGCACACGGUUAAGUUUGCAACGAGCUCAAGAACAAGAGAAUGGGAGAAUCGAGAUGAAAUAGACAGCGAGUUCGAUCGAGUUCACCUCACACCAAGGGUCCUUCAAAUGAUUGAAGGAGAUGCGAUUGCGGGUGUGAGAGGUGAAGUGAAUGCUCUUGUUUGAGGGUUGGUCAGCCAAAGAUUCGUGGGAGAGGCAGUAGUUAAUGAGAGAGAGAGUGUGAGGGGGUAUAUAAAGGAUCCCCCAAAAGCUGGCAGCCGUUGGGAGGAAAAGGGCAAAAACCGGUUGAACCGGUUUUCAAACCGGUUGAACCGGUUUCUACCAGGGGGAUCCCGGUCCACUGGUCUACUCAGCCGGACACUCGACCGGUUUCAAAACCGGCUGAGUAGGAUCAAAUUUCGUCUCAACCGGUUUCAGAAAAAUAUCUGCUGCGACUUUUCUGACAGCUCUGACUGUCAGACAGGUCAGAGCAGAGGUGGCAGGAUGAACAGUACCAAAACCGGUUGAACCGGUUUCUGGACCGGUUGAACCGGUUUUGGGGGCUGAAACCAAACUUUGAGAAUUUGAAGAGAACUUAGGUGGAGACUUUGUGGGAAGUGAAAUUUGUUUUUCUCAAGAGCAUUCAUGAUCUGGAAAAGAUGAUUCUCAAAUGAGUUUUCAAAAGAAUUGAACUUGGCUCGUUUCACAACUUACUUAACCGUCGCGGAUCCCUCUUAAUUGUACGGCGAUUCCUAUGAUUCAAGAAUUUUAAACUUAGUACCGCCGACGUUUCAUAGCACUUGGAGCACGCCAUUUGAUGUGGAAAUUUAAAUCCGCUGUGCUUUAUACUUUUAUGCUCGUAGGAUCUGUGCUUCUCCUGUCUGUAAAAAUACUGUGUACACACUAGGAGCAAACUUGUUAGAAUCUUAGUUUGUUUUGUCAUUAAUCACCAAAACCCUCAAUAGGGUUGAUUGCACUUACAAUCUCCCCCUUUUUGGUGAUUGAUGCCAAAACAAACUAGAAUGGAAAUAAUAAUUAAAAGUUACACAUACUUGUGAUAAAAGUCUUUUGUGUAUAUGUAGCUCCCCCUAAAUAUGUGCAUGAGUUUUGCGAUAUUCACAUUGACUUGAUAUGUCAAUUUGCAACAUAUUUAGAGAGAGAACAAUCAACACCAUACACAAAAAAAUGAUGAGAUAUGAAACAUAAUUGAAUAUAAAGAGUAAAAGCACAUUCAAGCUCAUCAUCGCAUAGCAUAUGAUAUGAAAAAGGUCUACAGCUAUUACAAUAGUGAGAGCUCGUCUCAACACAUCAUCAAGUGUUUAUGGCUUCCAAGCCAUGCAUGCAGCAAAUAGUAGUUAUUACAGACCAAGUGUUCAUUACAAAAAUAAAGUACUGAAUAGUAAACGUUCUCCCCCUUUUUGGCACCAAGAACCAAAAAGAGAGAGAGAGACGCGUCAAGCCACGAAUCACCAGUGGGGAGGAGGUUGAUGAGGAGCAAAGAGGUGUUGCGCCAGGUCGUAGGCAAAAUGUUCCUCUCCAGACUGGGCCGGAGGAGGAGCACUGCCAGACGGGUCCUGGGCGGAGGGUAAGAGGACGAUUGACUCGGAUCCCCGCGAUAUGGGGGAGGGUCAAACUGCUCCGGAUCAUCAAAAUAGGUUUCUUCUUCGACGUCAUCGGCUGAAGAGAAAGGUACCCCAUACGCCUGCUGGUACCACUCAUUCACAUCUGGAGGAGGAGGGUGAAGAGGUACAUCAGGAGAGCGAGGGGCGAAGGGAGUACCCAAAGCAGAAGCUUGACGACGAAGGUUGUCGUCGGUCUCCCGCUGACGUCGAGCCACCUCAUGGACAUCUGCGGCAAUAUUUCGGCACAUGGAGAAGAAGGCCGCAAACCCGUGGGCCAGGCGGGCACCCAUCCCACGUCCACGACCUCGACCACGACCACGACCACGUGGUGUGGGAGAUCCGCGGCCAGGGGAAGAGCGCGAGGCACCACCAGCAGCAGCAGCAGCACCAGCACCGGCAGACGGACCAGCAGAUGUAGGACCACGGGAACUGGAGGGAGCUUUCCUGAGACGCCCAGCUGGAUUGUUGGGAUCAAUCCAGAAGGGAGUGUAUGACUGAUGUCGGGUGCCUUUCUCAAAUCUGAAUUGGGUCACGACCUCAAUCAUCUUCAUAAUGAAUGGGGCAUGAAGACACCCCUUCAAAGGAAAGCAGGCUGCAUGAAUGAUCUCCUGCCAAAUCAUGUCAAAGACAUUAAUCCUUUCUGAGCUGUUUGGUUUCAUAAAAGAGAGCAAGACUUUGCUCUCGCCAAGGAUGUUCAUCUGAUUUCCCCCUUUUGGAAUGAGGGUCAUCCUGCAGAGGGAGUUGAUAUAGCGAUAAUACUUGUGAAUGUUGGUUGACUCCCAAUACUUUCCAGACUCAGACAAAUGAAGGUCCUUGGCUUCAUCUCUUGUGGGCUGACGGAAAUCAUGAAUCUUGAUCCUGUCUCCAGAUAUAUCCUCGUCAGAAAAACCAAGAAUGUGAGCAAAUCGACGAUAGCUCACCUUGUACCAACUACCUUCAAUGAAGAAGUUUAGAUAGGGGUAGUUGUAAUGGCUCUCCUCAUCAGCCAGCUUUAUCCAGAGAGUGGAAUAAAAUUGUGCAAUCACUUCAUCAUUCCAAUCAUAAUGGAAUGUCAUGAUGUUCUUCAUUUGCUUCCUUUCACAGGCCCUCAGUGCCUGUGACAUCUCUGGGUCUCCAAUUGCUUCGCAACCUUCCCAGUUAAUAUAACGUUGAUGAAGGAUGGGCUGAUGCUUCUUGGGAAGAAUAACUGAAUUAUAGAAAUCAACAUGGUGAAGAGUCCAGAAACGAUUUCCAUCGAUCCUGGCAUCGUGAAUACGCAAUACCGGAUUUUGGAAACGCAGAUCCUGGAGAAGUGCAGACCCUCCACUGGCCGUGAAGUCCGUGACUGGCUCAUUGCCAGCACGCCGAGCCUCGGCCCGGUGGAGCACCAAGCCGCGAAUCACAGGAGCCGACGCGGGGGGAAGAUCAACCUCAUCGUCCUUCCCACCGUCAUCGUCACUUGCAGGCUCCCACGCCUGCGGAUUCGUGGCAGGUCGAGACCUACCGGAGGGAGUCCGGGAAGUCCGACCCCGAGCACUUUGAGACCCGGAGGCCUCAGUACCCGGCAUGACAUUUCCACAUCUGCGCCCUCGCUUGGAUCGAGAGCGAGGAGGGGUAUCACCAUGGAUCUCCUGUUCAUCCAAAGAGUCGGAUUCUACCACUGACGGGUUCCUUCGUCGCACCAUUCUAAGAAAUAAGAGAUAGAACCUAUGAUGAGCAAGGAUCAACCACGCUUGAGAAGAAACGCAUAAGAGAUUGAAUCAUGCACUUCAACCGUUCAUAUGAGCGGUUCAACUACAAUGAACAAUAUCAAAUCGCUAAUCUCAAACAGUGUUUGUGACAAAAUGAAGAUAGUCUAAGUGUUGCAAUCACUUAAACCAAAAUGUACCCAACGAAUGAUACAUAAGAUAAUCAAGAAUGCGUAGGAUCGAGUACAAGAAAAUAACAUAGAACAAUACCUCGAUCCGAAGAUGGGGGGCAAGAUCUCUCAACGAGAAGGAGGAAGAUGGUGGAAACACGCCGGGAAGAACGGAUCUCCAACCACACUUCCAAACGGGUGAGAGCUCGAGAGAGUUUGGAGAGGAGAGAGGAAAGACAGAAGUGGCGGCGGCGGCUGGAAACAGGGCUGAGAAGGGAAGAGAAGAGAGGGAGAGGUAUAAAAAAGGAGAGGAGUCGGCCGCCAGAAAGCCGAAAACCGGUUCAACCGGUUUCAAAACCGGUUCAACCGGUUUCGGGUCAAACGGCGCAGUAAAAGCGCGUAGAAAACAGUGUUGACUGCGCGCAAAACCUGGCAGUCUGACAGCACAGACUGCAAAACUGACAGCGCAGACUGCGCAGCUGUCAGCGCAGACUACGCGCGGACUGACGGCGCGACGGCCAAAACCGGUUCAGCCGGUUUUUAGACCGGUUCAACCGGUUUCCACCAGGACGAAACCGGUUGAGUGGCCUACUCAGCCGGUUUACUCAACCAGAUUUCAAAUAUUGCCUGGAAGGGCUGUAAUAUCACUUAGCAAUUAUGACAUGAGAUAUUAUAAAGAUAAAAAUGACAUUUCUCAAUUCAUAUUGCUCAAACAAACAAUUUUCAAUCAUCAAAUUUGAUCAAAAUUUUAUUUAUUAAGUCACGUUUCGAGAAUCCAAGAUAUUUAGCUCACUCCUAAGAAAACAAAACCUAGUCUCAUCAAGGGGUUUUGUGAAGAUAUCGGCUAGUUGAUUUUCGGUGCUCUCAUGAAAAAGUUCGAUAUCUCCUUUGGCUUCAUGGUCUCUCAAGAAAUGGUGUCUAAUGUCAAUAUGUUUAGUUCUAGAGUGUUGCACUGGAUUGUUUGCAAGUUUUAUGGCACUCUCAUUGUCACACAAAAGAGGAAUUUUGUUAAACUCACAACCAAAAUCUCUAAGGGUUUGCUUCAUCCAUAACAACUGUGCACAACAUGCCCCAGCUGCUAUGUAUUCAGCUUCUGCAGUGGAGAGUGCAACACAAUUUUGUUUCUUGGAACUCCAUGACACUAAGGACCGCCCAAGGAAUUGGCAAGUCCCAGUAGUGCUUUUUCGAUCUACUUUGCAACCGGCAUAAUCUGAGUCAGAAUAGCCAAGCAAAUCGAAAAAGGAGCCUUUAGGAUACCAUAAUCCUAGGUUUUGGGUGUGGACUAAGUAUCUUAGAAUUCUCUUAACGGCUACAAGAUGACAGUCUUUAGGAUUUGCUUGAAAACGUGCACACAUACAAACACUCAACAUAAUAUCAGGCCUAGAUGCACAUAAGUAAAGCAGUGAUCCUAUCAUUGAUCUAUAUAAUUUUUGAUCUACAGGUUUACCUUCCUCAUUUAGGUCGAGAUGUCCAUUUGAUGACAUUGGAGUCUUGGCGUGCUUUGCUUUUUCCAUGCCAAACUUCUUGAGCAUAUCUUGAGUAUAUUUAGUUUGGCAUAAAAAGGUACCUUCCUUGAGUUGUUUGACUUGAAAUCCCAGGAAGUACUUAAGCUCGCCCAUCAUAGACAUCUCAAACCUGUUCGUCAUUACUUUGCUAAACUCUUCACAAAAUUUUUCAUUAGUACUACCAAAUAUAAUGUCAUCAACAUAUAUUUGGCACACAAAUAAUUCAUUAUCAACUUUUCGAGUAAACAAAGUAGAGUCAGCUUUUCCUAUUGUAAACCCAUUUUUAAUUAGAAAAUCUUUAAGACAAUCAUACCAAGCUCUAGGGGCUUGUUUAAGCCCGUAGAGUGCCUUGUGAAGAAGAUAAACAUGAUUUGGCUUCUUUGGGUCUUCGAAGCCCGGUGGUUGCUCCACAUAUACUCUUUCUUGUAGUGGUCCAUUUAGAAAAGCGCUCUUGACAUCCAUUUGAUAUAGCUUGAAAUCAUGGUUAGUAGCAUAGGCAAUUAAUAUUCUAAUUGAUUCUAACCUUGCUACCGGCGCAUAUGUUUCACCAAAGUCAAGUCCUUCCACUUGAGUAUAGCCUUGGGCAACCAACCUUGCCUUGUUUCUUGUAACAACGCCAUUUUCAUCUUGCUUGUUCCUAAAGACCCAUUUAGUCCCAAUCACAUUUUGUUUGGGUCUUUGGACUAAGGACCAGACUUCAUUCCUAGUGAAGUUGUUCAACUCCUCUUGCAUCGCAGUUAUCCAAUCCGGAUCACCCAAUGCUUCUUCAACCUUAAGUGGCUCAAGAGAGGAAACAAACGAGUAAAAUUCACAAAAAUUAGCUAAACGUGAUCGAGUCGUUACCCCUCUCCUGAUGCUACCCAGGAUGUUGUCCACCGGAUGAUCCCUUUGAAUUGAAUGAUGGACUCUUGGAUGAGGCACUGAUGGAUGUCUUUGUAUUUGCUCUUCCUCAUCAGUUACUUGAUCAAGACGCACUUCACCAUCAAUAUUUUCUUGUUCAUCUUCUACCACUGUUGGCAUCCUUUGAUGAUUUUCUUCGUGGUUUGGAUGACUUGAGGUUGAUGGGUUUGCUUGGGUGGAGACAUUGUCACUCACCACCCUUGCACCCACAUCAACUACCUCAUUGGUCAUCCACAAGGUUCCUUCUUCAUCAUCCCUUUCUUGAGGUCUCACCUCACCUAUGGCAAGUUUCUUUAUGGCCUCACAAGGUAGUUUUUCAUUUCCUGCAGUGUCAUUAGAAACAUGCCCUUGCGAGCCAUUAGACUCAUCAAAUGUCACGUCUAUCGCUAUUUCAACAAGACCGGUGGAAUUGUUGAAAACACGAUAUCCAUGCGCAUUUGAUGCAUAACCAAGCAAGAAACCCUCGUCCACUCUAGGAGCAAACUUUGAGCUCUUGACUUUCUUGUUAAGAAUAAAACAUUUACAACCGAAUACUCUAAAAUAAUCAACUUUAGGUUUGUUACCAGUGAGAAGCUCAUAGGCAGUCUUUUUGUAGAUCUUAUGAAGAUAGAGGCGGUUGAUUGCAUGACAGGCGGUGUUGACCGCCUCUGCCCAGAAGUUGUCAGGUGUCUUGUAUUCAUCCAACAUGGUUCUUGCAGCUUCAAUUAGAGUCCGGUUCUUUCUUUCCACAACACCAUUUUGUUGUGGAGUGUAAGGCACCGAGAACUCAUGCUUGAUUCCCUCUUCUCCUAAGAAUUCUUCGACACCUGUGUUCUUGAAUUCCGUCCCAUUAUCGCUUCUCACUUUCUUGAUUUUGAGCUCAAAUUCAUUUUGAGCUCUCCUCAUGAAUUUCUUUAAGAUUUCUUGAGUUUCACCUUUGUCACUCAAAAAGAAAACCCAAGUGAAUCGAGAAAAAUCAUCAACAAUAACUAAACCAUACUUACUACCACCAAUGCUAAUGUAGGCCACAGGUCCGAAGAGGUCCAUGUGAAGAAGCUCCAAUGGCCUCUUUGUUGUGACCACAUUCUUUGAUUGAUGUGGGACUCCAUGUUGCUUUCCUGCUUGGCAUGCGCCACAAACCCUAUCUUUCUCAAAUACAACAUUGGUUAGUCCAAUGAUGUGAUUAUCCUUUUGAAGUUUGGCCAAAUUCCUCAUACCGACAUGGGCUAGCCGGCGAUGCCAUAGCCAACCCUUGUCGGAUUUUGCCACUAAACAAGUCUCAGGCGUCACUUUACUUGUUGUGAAAUCAACAAGAUAAAGUUUACCCUUCAAGCGACCUAUAAAGGCAACUGAGGAGUCCUCCCUUCUAAGGAUUUUCACAUCCACAUUCGAAAAUAAGCAAUUAUAACCCAUUCCACAAAGUUGUGAAACGGACAACAAAUUAUAGCUCAAGGAAUCUACUAAUAAAACAUUUGAAAGUGAUUGUUGGUCAGAGAUAGGAAUUUUACCAAUACCAAUCACCUUACUCUUGCCACUAUCUCCAAACACAAUUUCUUGUGCUUCUUGAGUUAGUUGCAAUGUAUGAAACAUGUCUUUCUCCCCGGUCAUGUGAUUUGUACAUCCACUGUCAAGCACCCAACUUGACCCACCAGAGGAGUAGACCUGCAAAACAAGUUUAGGCUAUACUUUUAGGUACCCAAAUUGAAUUGGGUCCUACAGUGUUAGUUAUAGCCUUGGGUACCCACACACUUCUUUUCAUGACUUUUUGUUUAGUGUAGGCACCCACAUAUUUCACAACUAAUUUCCCUGAAUCCCAAGUCAACAUAUAAUCACAAAGAUAUGAGUGGGAAAUGGGAGCAUUAGAUUUUUGUCCACUUGAGGAUCCCACUUCCUUCAUCUUACUCUUUGUGGAACUCAAGUUAACCUUUACCUGAGAUGACUUGUCAUUUGAGGAGUGGAUCCUCCCCAAGGCAUCAUAUAGAGUGGUUCCCUCUAUGAACUUGGGGGAUCUCCACCCCUUAUGCACUGUGCUAGGGUUUUCCUUGGAUGAAUUGAACCCAAGCCCCCUUCUACCAUUGUUGGACUUAAGGGACUUGUACUUGGGUUCAACUUUCUUUAACCCAUCAUUGCUAGAGCAUCUUUUCAAAAUUUCUUUGACCUUCACCUGUGGGCUUUGCUUCCUUGCAUGGUUAGUUAGACAACAAGAAGCAUGAUAUUUGGCACAAUGCUUGCAAGAAUUAUCAUUAGAGCUAGACUUAGAUUCAAAUACUAAAGUGGGGGCAUUGAUGUUCUUGCAAUUUUCAAGUUGCACUUGAAGUUCUUGAUUUUGAACAUUCAAGCUUAACAUGCUUGAUUCAAGUGCAUUCUUUUCAUUUGCAAGGUUAUCAAUAGAGGUUUUCAAGUUAAUUACUUCUAUAUCUUUAUUGUGAAUCAACUCUUGAAGCUCUAGGUUUCUUUCCUUUUCAAGGAUAAGCAAGUCUUCUUGAGCAUCAAGAGUUGCCUUUCUUUUAUCUAGCUUUUCCAUUAAUUUUGUGAUAACAUUGUAUCCAUUUAAGCCAAAUUCUUUAAUCAUUUUAUUUUUCAUGGCAAUUUGAUCAUCAUCAUCAUCAUUUGAAAAAUCAUUACUAAAUAAAGUUACCUUAUCUCCUUUUGCCAUGAGGCAAGUUGGAAUGUAGGAGUCGUCUUGAAGGUUGGUGAAGAGUUGCGCGCUUGAGGUAGAUUGGAUGGCCACAUUUGCCACCACUUCCUCUUCCUCGGAGCUAGAACUCUCAUCAUCGGAGUUCCAUUCUUCACCAAUAUGAGCUUGUCCAUACUUCUUCUUCUUGAAGUAUCCCUUGGUCUUGCCUCCCUUUUUAAACUUAUCCUUCUUGUAUUCCUUCUUGGCUUCUUGUUCCUUCUUGUUAGGACAAUCCGCUAUGAAAUGACCGGUUUGGCCACAUUCAUAGCAUGCCCUCUUCUUUCCUUUCCUUUGGAACUUGUCAUUCUUCCUUACAAAUUUCUUGAAAGUUUUGAUGAACAUAGCUGUGUCUUCAUCACUUGAGCUAUCUUCAUCACUUGAGGUCUCGACCACUUUCUUUGCUUUGUGGUCUUUGCUCUUCUUGAGAUUGUCUUGUUCAUUUGUGAUCAAGGCAUGAGAGUCUCUUGUCUUGAUGGGGGCUUCCUCGGACUCGUGUUGUUGAAUUUUUGCAAAUAGUUGAUGAGGCGUCAUGUCCUCAUAAUCAUCACGAUCCCUUAUCAUCCUUGCAAGACUUUUAUCUUUCUCUUUAUAAGCUCUCAUGAACAAUCUUGUGACCUUGGAGUCACUCCAAUCUUCACUCCCAAGUACUCUUAUUUUGUUGACCAAUACCAUCAAUCGAUCAAAGAGUGAUUGGAGCGACUCACCCUUUGUCCAAUCAUACCUUGCAAGCUCACUUUCCAAAGCUUCAACUCUAUGUCUUUUAGCUUUGGGAUCUCCUUCAUGUGACAUUCUAAGAAUGUUCCAAAUGUCACGAGCAUCUUCUCUUCCUUGAACUUUCCGGUAUUCUUCCGGACAAAGACUUCCUUUGAUUAUGCUCACUGCUUGAGCAUUUCGAUGAACCUCUUGCAUCAUUUCCGGAGUCAUCUCUUCUCCUUGGGCGGGCUUAUACAUACCUACAUUAACAAUCUCCCAAAGACUAGGAUGCACACCGAUUAAAUGCGACUUCAUCUUGUCGGCCCACUCAUCAUAGUUCAACUCACUAAGAGUUGGUAACUUUCCAAGUGGGGCGGAAGAGAAGUUGGGAAUAUAAUUUCUAGAGUAAUCGAAUUGAACUUUGCUAAAGUCAUUACCUUUGCUUUUGGUAGAUGAUCCUUCGGUGUUGAAACUUACCUUGCUCAAUACCUUAGACACCAAAAGGUCCACUAGAUCGUCAUUAUAAUCAAACGUUCCCUUACCUUUACCUUCUUCGGCCUUUCUUCUUGUUUCCUCUUCUUCGGCCUUUUUCCUAGCAUCUUCCUCUUUCAUUUUGAGGAACAUUUUCUCGGCAAUCUUCAUGGCGAGGUCGAGGACCUUGGGGUCCACUUCCUCACCGGAAGAUGUGACGGGGAUUUCCUCGAGAAGAGGAUCCACAUGGUCCCGUUGUGUAGACAUGAUCGUUUCCUCACGCGGUUAAGCGUAAAACGAGGCACGAAGCUCUGAUACCAAUUGAAAGUAGCCUAGAGGGGGGGUGAAUAGGCUACACCUGAAAAUUUUCACUAAAAACUUCGAAAUAGGUUAAAUUAAAGUUGCACAGGUGCAAACCGGUUCAGUCGAUUUUAAUCACAACUGAACAAGUUUGAACCCACUCAACUUGAAUUUAAUAAUCUAUUGAACAAAUUCGAAGUAGUAAAGAAAAUAGCUAAAGAUUUGCCCUACACAAGAACUACUUGAAUGAAUAAUAUGAACCAACCACCGAAUAUGAAAUGCUUAUCAAGAACACACAAGAACACGCGAUAUAACCCGAGGUUCGGCAACCACCACAAAGGUGUCCUACUCCUCGUUGAGGAACCCACAAAGGGCCGGGUCUUUUCCAACCCUAAUCCUCCACAAGCCGACCACAAAGGUCAAGGCAAUCUCUUCUCAAAUCUGCUCAAGGAGCGGGUGAUACAAACUUCUUGGGGUCGUCCACAAAUUUGGAGACUCCCAAGCAACCUCUAACCGUCAAGGAACACGAGGUUCCAAGAGUAACAAAUCCGCACACGGUUAAGUUUGCAACGAGCUCAAGAACAAGAGAAUGGGAGAAUCGAGAUGAAAUAGACAGCGAGUUCGAUCGAGUUCACCUCACACCAAGGGUCCUUCAAAUGAUUGAAGGAGAUGCGAUUGCGGGUGUGAGAGGUGAAGUGAAUGCUCUUGUUUGAGGGUUGGUCAGCCAAAGAUUCGUGGGAGAGGCAGUAGUUAAUGAGAGAGAGAGUGUGAGGGGGUAUAUAAAGGAUCCCCCAAAAGCUGGCAGCCGUUGGGAGGAAAAGGGCAAAAACCGGUUGAACCGGUUUUCAAACCGGUUGAACCGGUUUCUACCAGGGGGAUCCCGGUCCACUGGUCUACUCAGCCGGACACUCGACCGGUUUCAAAACCGGCUGAGUAGGAUCAAAUUUCGGCUCAACCGGUUUCAGAAAAAUAUCUGCUGCGACUUUUCUGACAGCUCUGACUGUCAGACAGGUCAGAGCAGAGGUGGCAGGAUGAACAGUACCAAAACCGGUUGAACCGGUUUCUGGACCGGUUGAACCGGUUUUGGGGGCUGAAACCAAACUUUGAGAAUUUGAAGAGAACUUAGGUGGAGACUUUGUGGGAAGUGAAAUUUGUUUUUCUCAAGAGCAUUCAUGAUCUGGAAAAGAUGAUUCUCAAAUGAGUUUUCAAAAGAAUUGAACUUGGCUCGUUUCACAACUUACUUAACCGUCGCGGAUCCCUCUUAAUUGUACGACGAUUCCUAUGAUUCAAGAAUUUUAAACUUAGUACCGCCGACGUUUCAUAGCACUUGGAGCACGCCAUUUGAUGUGGAAAUUUAAAUCCGCUGUGCUUUAUACUUUUAUGCUCGUAGGAUCUGUGCUUCUCCUGUCUGUAAAAAUACUGUGUACACACUAGGAGCAAACUUGUUAGAAUCUUAGUUUGUUUUGUCAUUAAUCACCAAAACCCUCAAUUAGGGUUGAUUGCACUUACAGGUAAGUCCGGUCAUUUUAUUGUUAAAUGUCCUAUGUCUAGUGAAAGUGACAGGGAUGACGACAAGAAAGGGAAGAAGAAGGAAAAGAAGAGGUACUACAAGAAGAAGGGCGACGAUGCCCACUUGUGUCGGGAAUGGGACUCCGACGAGAGCUCCACCGACUCCUCCUCCGACGAGGACGCCGCCAACAUCGUCGUCAACAAGGGCCUCCUCUUCCCCAACGUCGGCCGCAAGUGUUUCAUGGCGAAGGACGACAAGAAAAAGAAGGUACAAUCUAGAGCCACCCCCAAAUAUACAACAUCUAGUGAUGACGGUAGCUCUAGUGAAGAUGAAGAUGAUUUGCUUAAUCUUUUUGCCGACCUCAACAUGAAACAAAAGAAAAAGUUAAAUGAAUUAAUAGAAGCUAUUCAUGAGACGGAUGAUCUCUUGGAAAGCCAAGAGGACUUCCUUAUUAAAGAAAACAAGAAACAUGUUAAAGUGAAAAAUGUGUAUGCUCAGGAAGUAGAAAAAAUGUGAAAACCUAACCAAAGAGCUUAGCAUUUGUCAUGAUUGUAUUUCUAGCCUUAGGAAUGAAAAUGCUAGCUUAAUUUCCAAGGUUAAAGAAUUGAAUGUUUGUCAUAAUUCAAUUUCUAGUCUUAGAAAUGAGAAUGCUAGUUUAGUUUCUAAGAUUAAAGAAUUGAAUGUUUGCAAUGAUUCUAUUUCCUGUCUUAAAGAUGAAAAUGCCAUGUUAAAAUCUAAGAUAGAUGAAUUAAAUACUUGCAAACCCUCUACAUCUACUAUCGAGCAUGUUUCUAUUUGUACUAGAUGCAGAGAUGUUAAUGUUGAUGCUAUAAAUGAUCACCUUGCUCUAAUUAAACAACAAAAUGAUCAUAUAGCUCAAUUAACUGCUAAAAUUAAUGAGCAUGAAAUUGAAAAUGAAAAGUUUAAAUUUGCUAGAAGCAUGCUUUAUAAUGGGAGACGCCCUGCCAUUAAGGAUGACACUGGUUUCCAACAGGAAAGCAAUGUCAAGCUUAAUGCCUCUAAGAGAUUGUCCAACUUUGUUAAGGGCAAGGCUCCCAUGGUUCAGGAUAAUGAAGACUAUAUUUUAUAUCCUGCAAAUUAUCUUGAGCAUAAAAUUAGGAGAAUUCAUGCUAGAAAACCUCACACUGUUUCUCAUCAUGCAUUUAUGUAUAAAAAUGAGGCUUCUAGCUCUAGGCAAUCAACUCCUGUUAAAUUGCCUAAAAAGAAAACUCCUGCUGCAUAAAAUGAUCAUAACAUUUAAUUCAAAACUUUUGAUGCUUCUUAUGUGCUUACUAACAAAUCAGGCAAAGUAGUUGCCUAAUAUGUUGGGGGCAAACACAAGGCUCAAAGACUUGUGUUUGGGUACCCAAGGUGCUUGUUUCUAAUGUGAAAGGACCCAAGACUGUUUGGGUACCUAAGAACAAGGUCUAAAUUGUUUUGCAGGUUUAUGCAUCCGGGGGUUCAAGUUGGAUAAUUGAUAGCGGAUGCACAAACCACAUGACAGGGGAGAAGAGAAUGUUCUCCUCCUACGAGAAAAACCAAGAUCCCCAACGAGCUAUCAAAAUCGGGGAUGGAAAUCAAGGAUUGGUCAAAGGUUUGGGUAAAAUUGCUAUAUCCCCUGAACAUUCCAUUUCAAAUGUUUUUCUUGUAGAUUCUUUAUGUAGGAAACGGGUGACGCCUAAGAGGGGGUGAAUUAGGACUUCUAAAACUUUUACUAAACUAGGCCACAAUUAAAUCCGUAGAGCAAAACCUAUGCAAAUAGUCAAACUAGAAUGUGCAAACUAGGUUUUGUCUAAGUGUUGCUAUCUCUACCACAAUGGCUAAGUUUCAAUCUACACUAAAUAAGUAUGACUACAAGAUUGAAACUUAAAUGCUUAAUAUAAAUGCAGAAACUUAAAGAGCAAAGCAGAGAAGCAAACUCUAGUGGAUGACGCCGGUAUUUUUACCAAGGUAUCCAGAACCGCACAAGGUCCCGACUAAUCCUCGUUGGUGCCCCUACGCAAAGGGAAGCCCAGGCGAGGGCCAAGCACCUCGGUCGAGUAACUCCAUAGAGAGCCUCGGGCCUUCUCCACGCGCAAGUGGUGCUCCGCUUCCAGCUCCUCUCGGACGCUCCCCGUCGUCUCCACUAUCGAGCUUCCAGCCGAAACGCCGCGGGCCUCGUUCCCUCCGGUACACGGUGGCGGCCGUGACACAAACACGGUUGUCACGGUCUCGCAAGACACUCGCCCCACUCGGUACAAUUACAACGGCUCACGCAAGAGCUGAGGGGUUGUAAGGUUUAUGUAAACUCACUCAACAAUCUAGGGUUCACCUAGAGCAAGCGCUAAUGCAGUCUAACUAACCUAAGCACUUCGCAAAGCACCUACGCUAAUCACCGAGUGAUUAUAUUAAGCACUUGGGUGUAAGAGCACUUGGGAAUGUCUACUAUAUGCCUUGGUAUGUCUCUUGGGCUCCCACACUUGGAAAUGGCCGGUUGGGGGUGUAUUUAUAGCCCCCAACACAAAUAGAGCCAUUGGAGAAAAGCUGCUGCUUUCUGCGGCACACCGGACAGUCCAGUGGUGCACCGGACAGCGCACUGUAGCCUGUCCAGUGCGCCUAGCCGUUGCCCUGUCAAAGCAGGUGACCGUUGGCGCCGCAGGCUUUCCACACCGGACAAUCCAGACUUCACACAGGACAGUCCGGUGGUCUACUCUCCGGGUGCCACCUGGAACUAGCCGUUGGGCUGUGAUUCCCUGGUGCACCGGACAGUCCGGCGUGUGGACACCGGACAGUCCGGUGUGCCACCGGACAGUCCGGUGCUCCACGCAGAGACAGUCCGCAGGCAGCACACUUGGACUUUUCUUGGAUCUUUUUAAUGCCUUCUUUUGAGGUGUUGCUUUCCUCAAUUCCUUAGUCCAAGUUAAUCUUGCAUCCUGUGAACUACAAACACUAGAAAACUUAUUAGUUCACGGAUUGUGUUGAUCAUCAAACACCAAAACUCAAUUAGCCAAAUGGCCUGGGGUCCAUUUUCCUUACAAUCUCCCCCUUUUUGGUGAUUGAUGACAACACAACCAAAGCAAGCAAAUAAUACAAUUAUUUGAAUGACGAUAUGCUAUCUACUUGCUAGGAUGCAUGUUUGUCCCCACAAUGGACUUAAGCCUCCCCCUAACUCCAUAAUUCACUUACUUCCUAUUUUUAGACCAAAUAACCAAAACCACUUGAAAAACUAUUUUUAGAUUUAAAAUUUUAAAUUGGUGGUGUUUGGUGUUUGAUAUAGUUUUCAUUGCUUUGGUCCCUAAACUUCUCCCCCUUUGGCAUCAACCACCGGAAAGGAAGACAUUAAAAUCAUGUAGGAAGUAAAUAAAAGUUGCCCUCAAAUGAUUACUCCCCCUAAAUGAGUGUUCUCUUUUAGAGAGAAAGUUUCUCCCCUUGUUAGAGACGAAGAAAUACUCCCCCUGACAGAGAUCUUCUACUUUUAGGAAAAAGCAUGUGAAAAAUAGAGGUGCAAGACAUGAUUUGAAUAGACUAAGGAAGUAUAUAAUAUGUAAUAUUUAGCAACAAGGAAGUAUAUAAUAUGUAAUAUAGUCUAAUCAAAUAUUGGAGAAGACAUGUAAAUGAUACUAGUUGUAGUCUCAAAAGAUACCGGUUGAAAUUCAAUGGCGAGCUUGAGAGACAUGAGAGUUCUUGGAGAUUUUGCAGUGGAAGAUUGUUGUCUUUCUCCGAGGACCUCAUUUUCCUUACAAUGAGACUAUCACAUAAAAUAGACUUGAAAAGGUGUUAGUCUCAAAGUAUUAGAUUAUAGAGUAACCUCCCCCUGAAGGUGUGCAUACAAGUUUUGAAUACACUUGUAGGAGACAUGCACUUUGAUUUGAUAUCAAGAGCGACAAAUUAUCUAUAAUCCGAACUUUGGCACAUAUAAGUUAAAUGAUACAGAUUGUAGAAUAUGAGUGUUUUACCACUUGAAGAAUUCACAGUUAUCAAUUGAUGUAUCAUUUACUAUGGAGUGAUAUUGAAGCUAUGUGUCGUGCUUAAAUAAACAUUUUAAGCCAUGUAGGUUUGCUUAAGUAUAUGAAUUGAAAAAAGCAAUCCUACCAUGUGAUUUACCUACUAUGCAUAAUUUUAAAACAAAAGUAAAUACUAGGCAUGAAAGGUAAACUAGAUACAAGGUAAAUAGAUACGCAUAUCUAAAGAUAAGAAAUACAAUAAAUCUAGUUACCUUAGUCAUGGGUGGGGAAAUUUGGGUCCAAAAUAUUCACUAACCCACUUGGCAAUAAACUUGAUCCAAUAUGAUGUAUCCCAUGAUAUACAUCUCAAAUUUGCCAAGUCACCAAAUUUCCCGAUUGACCUUCGGUCCACUCACUUCCCUUUCGGGAUCCAAACCUUCUUGGUGCUUUUCAUGGUUGAAAUUAUUUCCUUUGACACCCAGAUGCGUUUGGCCCCCUUUCCUUUGUUGGCUUGCUUGUUGGCCUUGAUUGUUAUCACCUUUCCAUUCUUUUUCUUCUUGAUCAAAUAUGGUGUAGCAGCCUUUUUGUCCACCUUUUUGAUGUAGGUGUUGGAGAUUUUGCUUGAUGGCUUUUAUUUGAGCUUUUGCCUUUGCUUAUCCCCGGUCAUUGCCUUGCAUUGGAAAGACUUAUGGCCUUCCAUGUGGCAUAGCCUACAAAUCACAGUUUCUCCCUCCAUAGGCUUGUUCACUCCCGCAGUGGUGUUAUCCUGUGGAGGUCGGAUUUGUUUGGCUUUGUCUUUCUUGUCAUACAAAGCCUUGCCAAGGCGAGCCACUUCUUGCCUUAAUUGUUCAUUUUCCUUUGCAACCUCAUCCGAACAUGUUUCUACAACAAUAUUCUCAACAAGAACUUGGUUGCAGGGGUUAGAAUCAUCAACUAAAUCAAAGCAAGAAGUAGAAGCAUCUUUUUUUAAUAAUUUUAGGUAUUUCAACUAAAGAUGCUGCUGGGGUGCUACCGACAUUUUCUAGCUUAGUAGUUAGCUCAUUAUUGUGUAUGCUAAGAAUUUCCAUUUUCUCUAGCAAUUUUUCAAUAGCUUCUUGGGAGCUAGCUAACUUAGCCUUAAGUUUUUCAUUCUUUUUAAUAAGGCCAUCAUCGGUAGCAGUGGAUGGAGCACUAGACUCUAAUAGCUCAAUUUUAGUUGACACCUCACAAUUUAGGUUUGCAAAAGUUUCAAAUUUUUCUAGCAAUCCUUUGUAAUCAUUUUGGGAGCUAAUCAAGUUAUUUUUCAAAGUUUUAAGUUGAGCUUUUUGCUUAGUGCAAACAUCCUGGAAAAAUUUAACGGCUUCUGCAAGUUCAUCUACGGGGGGCUUUCCCUCACCAUUAUCAUCACUACUACUGUCAUCACUAGAGGAUGGAAUGCUCAUUUUACCUCUUGCCAUAAGGCAUUUGUGUGAUGACCGAGAUGAGAGUGAUGAGGACCGAUGGCUGUGCGUCCUUGGAGGUUCAUCUUCACUUGAAGAAUCAUCCCAAGUUCUAACACUUGUUAGCGCCUUGCCUUUGCUCCUCUCCUUUUUGGGCUCGACCAUAGUUGGACAGUUGUCCCUGAAGUCGCCCAUCUCCCUGCAUGCGAAGCACCCUCUCUUUCUUUGCUUUUUCCUGUCAAUGUUAAAGAGAAUAUCUUCAACCUGCAGGAGCACACCCAUUAGAUUAAUCUCGCGGAUUAUCCCCAUUACCUUUCCGACGCGUCGGAUUGUUUCUUCGUCCUCGGAGGAUGAUGUGCAUGGUUGAUUAUCUUCAUCAUCAUCACUUUCUUCUUCUUCCUCUUCUUCACUUGAGGAACUUGGAGUGGGAGCCUUCUUUUUGCCCUUCCUUUCAUCACAUGCAAAAGCAUAUGGCCUUGAGGAAGUUGGCUCCUCUCCCCGACACAUUUUUCGCGACAUCUCAAAAGUCGCGAUUUUCCCAAUCACAAUGGUCGGGGUCAUGUUACUCAAGUCCUCCAUGUUGUGAAGGAUGGUGAUGAUACUCCCAUAUCUUCGUUGUGGUAGCAGGGAGAUAAUCUUCCUUACAAUGUCCGCGUCACCUAGCUUAUUUAUGCCAAUAGAGUUGAGCUCAUUGAUGAUUAGAUUUAAACGAGAAUACAUGUCUCUAACAAGCUCAUCAUCUCUCAUAGCAAAAGAAUUAUACUCAUUUAAGACUAGGCAAUGUUUUUGCUCACGGACAUUUGAUGUGCCAUCAUGGAGCUCAUGCAAUUUUAGCCAAAUCUCAUUAGCAGUUUCAAGGUAAAUACUUGAUUAAAAAUAUCCAUGCUAAGAGAUUCAUACAAGCAAUUUUUGGCUCAAGCAUUUAAAUAAAUUUCUUUUUCCUCACUCGUGGUCGGUUUCUCGGGAUUCUUGGGGGGUUUCAUCCCGUCACGAGUGACUCGCCAAACACCUAGAUCAACGACAUUUAGGUAACAAGCCAUUCUAGCACUAUAAUAUGGGAAGUUAGUGCCGUCAAAGUGUGGUGGCCUAUGGGUAUCCAUCCCUUCCUCUAAAAAGCAUCGGCUCUUUUAGCGGUGAAGCUAAAGCGUUUCAAAUGAGCCAAACCAGGCUCUGAUACCACUUGUAGGAAACGGGUGACGCCUAAGAAGGGGGUGAAUUAGGACUUCUAAAACUUUUACUAAACUAGGCCACAAUUAAAUCUCUAGAGCAAAACCUAUGCAAAUAGUCAAACUAGAAUGUGCAAACUAGGUUUUGUCUAAGUGUUGCUAUCUCUAUCGCAAUGGCUAAGUUUCAAUCUACACUAAAUAAGUAUGACUACAAGAUUGAAACUUAAAUGCUUAAUAUAAAUGCGGAAACUUAAAGAGCAAAGCAGAGAAGCAAACUCUCGUGGAUGACGCCGGUAUUUUUACCGAGGUAUCCGGAACCACGCAAGGUCCCGACUAAUCCUCGUUGGUGUCCCUACGCAAAGGAAAGCCCACGCGAGGGCCAAGCACCUCGGUCCAGUAACUCCAUAGAGAGCCGCGGGCCUUCUCCACGCGCAAGUGGUGCUCCGCUUCUAGCUCCUCUCGGACGGUCCCUGCCGUCUCCACUAUCGAGCUUCUGGCCGAAACGUCGCGGGCCUUGUUCCCUCCGGUACACGGUGGCGGUCGUGACAUAAACGCGGUUGACACGGUCUCGCAAGACACUCGCCCCACUCGGUACAAUUACAACGGCUCACACAAGAGCCGAGGGGUUGUAAGGUUUAUCUAAACUCACUCAACAAUCUAGGGUUCACCUAGAGCAAGCGCUAAUGCGGUCUAACUAACCUAAGCACUUUGCAAAGCACCUACGCUAAUCACCGAGUGAUUCUAUUAAGCACUUGGGUGUAAGAGCACUUGGGAAUGCCUACUAUAUGCCUUGGUAUGUCUCUUGGGCUCCCACACUUGGAAAUGGCCGGUUGGGGGUGUAUUUAUAGCCCCCAACACAAAUAGAGCCGUUGGAGAAAAGCUGCUGCUUUCUGCGGCACACCGGACAGUCCGGUGGUGCACCGGACAGCGCAAUGUAGUCUGUCCGGUGCGCCUAGCCGUUGCCCUGUCAGAGCAGGUGACCGUUGGCAGCGCAGGCUUUCCACACCGGACAGUCCGGACUUCACACCGGACAGUCCGGUGGUCUUCUCUUCGGGUGCCACCUGGAACUAGCCAUUGGGCUGCGAUUCCCUGGUGCUCCGGACAGUCCGGCGUGUGGGCACCGGACAGUCCGGUGUGCCACCGAACAGUCCGGUGCUCCACGCACAGACAGUCCGCAGGCAGCACACUUGGACUUUUCUUGGAUCUUUUUAAUGCCUUCUUUUGAGGUGUUGCUUUCCUCAAUUCCUUAGUCCAAGUUAAUCUUGCAUCCUGUGAACUACAAACACAAACACUAGAAAACUUAUUAGUUCACGGAUUGUGUUGAUCAUCAAACACCAAAACUCAAUUACCAAAUGGCCCGGGGUCCAUUUCCUUACAAUUUAGAUUACAAUUUGCUUUCUGUUUCUCAAUUAUGCAAAAUGGGCUACAACUGUCUUUUUACAGAUGUAGGUGUUACUAUCUUUAGAAGAAGUGACGAUUCAAUAGCAUUUAAGGGAGUGUUAGAGGGUCAGCUAUAUUUAGUUGAUUUUAAUGAGAACACAGCUGAACUCAACACUUGUUUAAUUGCUAAGACUAAUAUGGGUUGGCUCUGGCAUCGCCGACUAGCUCAUCUUGGAAUGAAGAAUCUUCACAAGCUUCUAAAGGGAGAACACAUUUUGGGACUAACAAAUGUUCAUUUUGAGAAAGAUAGGAUUUGUAGCGCAUGUCAAGCAGGAAAGCAAGUUGGCUCUCAUCAUCCACACAAGAACAUCAUGACGAUCGACAGGCUGCUUGAGCUACUCCACAUGGAUUUAUUCGGCCCGAUCGCUUACAUAAGCAUCGGUGGGAGUAAGUAUUGUCUUGUAAUUGUGGAUGACUAUUCUCAUUUCACUUGGGUGUUCUUUUUGCAGGAAAAAUCACAGACCCAAGAGACCUUAAAAGGAUCCUUAAGACGGGCUCAAAAUGAGUUCGGAUUAAGGAUCAAAAGAUAGGAAGCGAUAAUGGGACGGAGUUCAAGAAUUCUCAAAUUGAAGGUUUUCUUGAGGACGGGGGCAUCAAGCAUGAGUUCUCUUCUCCCUACACACCUCAACAAAAUGGUGUAGUGGAGAGGAAGAAUAGAACUCUACUGGACAUGGCAAAUACCAUGCUUGAUGACUACAAGACACCAGACCAGUUUUGGGCCGAGGCGAUUAACACCGCCUGCUACUCCAUCAACCGGUUAUAUCUUCACCGAAUCCUCAAGAAGACAUCAUAUGAACUCCUUACCAGUAAAAAUCCCAAUGUUUCAUAUUUUAGAAUCUUUGGGAUAAAUGUUUUAUUCUUAUUAAAAGAGAUAGAAAAACUAAAUUUGCUCCUAAGGCUGUAGAAGACUUUUUACUUGGUUAUGACUCAAACACAAGGGCAUAUAGAGCCUUCAACAAAUCCACUGGAUUAGUUGAGGUUUCUUGUGACAUUGCGUUUGAUGAGACUAAUGGCUCCCAAGUGGAGCAAGUUGAUCUUGAUGAGUUAGAUGAUGAAGAGGCUUCGUGCAUCGCGCUAAGGAACAUGUCCAUUGGGGAUGUGUGUCCUAAGGAAUCCGAAGGGCCUACACAAGCACAAGAUCAAUCGUCAUCUUCCAAUCAAGCAUCUCCACCAACUCAAGAUGAGGAACAGACUCAAGAUGGUAAGGAUGAAGAUCAAGAGGAUGAGCCACCUCAAGAGGAGGACAAUGAUCAAGGGGGAGAUAAGCAAAAUGAAGACAAGGAAGAUGAUCAAGAAAUUCAGAGUCAAAGACCGCCACACCCAAGAGUCCACCAAGCAAUUCAACGAGAUCACCCCGUCAACUCCAUCCUUGGUGACAUUCAUAAAGGGGUAACCACGAGAUCUCGAAUUGCACAUUUUUGUGAACAUUACUCUUUUGUGUCCUCUAUUGAGCCAUACAUGAUUGAGGAUGCAUUAAGAGAUCCGGAUUGGGCGCUGGCAAUGCAAGAGGAGCUCAACAACUUCACAAGGAACGAGGUAUGGCAUUUAGUUCCACGUCCUAAUCAAAAUGUUGUAGGUACCAAAUGGGUAUUCCGCAACAAGCAAGAUGAGCGUGGUGUGGUGACAAGAAACAAAGCCCGACUUAUGGCCAAAGGUUAUUCACAAGUCAAAGGUUUGGAUUUUGAUAAAACUUAUGCACCCGUAGCUAGGCUUGAGUCAAUUCGUAUAUUACUUGCCUAUGCUACUUACCAUGGCUUUAAGCUCUAUCAAAUGGACAUGAAAAUUGCCUUCCUCAAUGGACCUAUCAACGAAGAGGUCUAUGUUGAGCAACCUCCCGGCUUUGAAGAUAGUGAGUACCCUAACCAUGUGUAUAAACUCUCAAAGGUGCUUUAUGGGCUCAAGCAAGCCCCAAGAGCAUGGUAUGAAUGCCUGCGAGAUUUCCUUAUCACUAAUGGCUUCAAAGUCGGUAAAGCCGAUCCUACUCUCUUUACUAAAACUGUUGCAAAAGAUUUGUUUGUAUGCCAAAUUUAUGUUGAUGAUAUCAUAUUUGGGUCUACUAACAAAUCAACUUGUGUAGAGUUUAGUAGAAUCAUGAUACAGAAAUUCGAGAUGUCAAUGAUGGGGGAGUUGAAGUAUUUCCUAGAAUUUCAAUUCAAGCAACUCAAAGAGGGCACCUUCAUCAGCCAAACAAAGUACAUUCAAGACAUACUUAAGAAGUUUGGGAUGAAGGAUAGCAAACCCAUCAAGACACCCAUGUGAACCAAUGGACAUCUCGACCUCGACACGGGAGGUAAAUCUGUAGAUCAAAAGGUAUACCAGUCAAUGACAGGAUCUCUACUCUAUUUAUGUGCAUCUCGACCGGAUAUUAUGCUUUCUGUAUGCAUGUGUGCAAGGUUCCAAGCCGAUCCUAAGGAAGUUCACCUUAGGGACGUGAAAAGAAUCAUGAGAUAUUUAGUUUACACUCCUAAGUUUGGACUUUGGUACCCCAAGGGAUCCACCUUUGAUUUAAUAGGAUAUUCUGAUGCUGAUUGGGCAAGGUGUAAAAUUGAUAGGAAGAGCACAUCAGGGACUUAUCAGUUUCUAGGGAGAUCCCUGGUGUCAUGGGCUUCAAAGAAACAAAACUCAGUAGCUCUUUCCACUGUCGAAGCCGAGUAUAUUGCCGCAGGCCAUUGUUGUGCGCAAUUACUUUGGAUGAGGCAAACCCUUAGGGACUAUGGCUACAAAUUGAGCAAAGUCCCUCUCCUAUGAGACAAUGAUAGUGCAAUAUGCAUGGCGGAUAAUCCCGUUGACCACAGCUGCACUAAGCACAUAGACAUUCGGUAUCACUUUCUGAGAGAUCACCAACAAAGGGGGGAUAUCGAAAUAGCUUAUGUAAACACCAAAGACCAACUAGCCGAUACCUUUACCAAGCCGUUAGAUGAGAAAACCUUUAGCAAACUUAGGAAUGAGCUAAAUAUACUUGAUUCUCAGAAUUUUGAUUGAAAUAUUGCACACAUUGCUCAUUUAUAUACCCUUGAUCAUGUCUCUUUCAUUUUGGUACAAAUACUUAUUUUUUUAUUCUUGUACCAAGACUACGACUAAUGUGUUAUCAAGUAUAUACUAAGUCAUAGGUUGAAAGGGAAAUGGAGUAUUCUAUGAAGACAAGGCUUCCACUCCACUCUAACGGUAUCAUUUACCCUUCGUCGUCACUCCACAACACUCUCAAAUAGGUAUAAUCCUUCACUCAUAUUUACUUGUACCAAUGGGAGAGAAAAUAUUAGGGCUCUCAAAAUCUCCGUUUUUGGCGAUUAAUGCCAAAGGGGAAAAAGUAUUAAGCCCAAAGCAAAAGGACCGCACCACCACCUAAUUUUAAAAUUUCCGAAAUAAAGUUUUUAAUUAAUAUAUAUAUUCAAAUUGGUAUCUAAUUAGUAUUUUUAAAUGUAGAUUUUCAAAAAUUGGUAUCUGUUAAAACCCUCUUGAAAACUAAGAGGAGAAUUUCAUUCAGGGGGAGUUUUGUCAAAGGAAAAGCAUUUGAAACAGGGGGAGAAAUUUCAAAUCUUGAAAAUGCUUCUUGCAAUCUUAUUCAUAUACCUUUGACUACUUGCAAAAAGGAUUUUGAAAAGAUUUUCCAAAAGAAUCUGUGAAAACAAAACAAGUGGUGUAAAUGUGGUCCAAAAUGUUAAAUAAAAGAAAUCAAUCCAUUCAAAUCUAGUGAGAUUAUCAAUUGGUUUAAUUCUAAGUAACCUAUGCACUUACCUUAUGCAAACUAGUUCAUUUCUACACUUUAUAUAUUUGCUUUGGUUUGUGUUGGCAUCAAUCACCAAAAAGGGGAAGAUUGAAAGGGAAAUAGAGUUAACCUUUUUCCACAAUUAAUUUUGGUGGUUGAAUGUCCAACACAAACAAAUGGACUAACUAGUUUGCUCUAGAAUACAUGUUUUACAGGUGCAUAAAGGUUCAACACAAACCAAUAAAUAUCCAAGUUAGGGAUCCAAUUCAAAAGAGCAAAAGAAACCAAGUGUGCUGUGGUCUGGCGUACCAGACUGUCCGGUGCACCAGGACCGUACAUAGUCCAAACAGCCACUCUCGGGUUUUCACAGGCGCGCUCCGCUAUAAUUCACCGGACUGUCCGAUGCACCAGCGGAGCAACAGCUAACUCGCGCAAUGGUCGAUUGUGACAAGUGAACGGUGCGCGAACAGUGCACGCCAGAAGUCAGAGCAGAAGUCAGAGGCGCACCGGACUGUCCGGUGCCACAAGAAGACAACAGCUCCAACGAUCGACUGCUCCCGAACCCUAACGAUUGGGUGACGUGGCGGCGCACCGGACAGCCUACAGUGCCUAUCCGGUGGCGCACCGGACUGUCCGAUGCGCCCAUCACCAGCAGCCAUCCCCCAACGUCCACUUUGGUGGGGGGCUAUUGAAAGGGAAAUGUGCCAUUGAGCCAUUUCUAAGUAUUUUGGUGAUUUAGUGUCCAACACAAGUGCCUAAGUGUUAAAUGGUAGACAAAGUACAAAUCAAGUAUAAAGGUAUGUUUCUCAGACUUAGUACAUUGUUUUAGAGACUAAUGUAUUGUGUCUAAGUGCUGGAAACAGGAAAAAUCAAGUUGAAAUUAAAGAUGGCUUUGUUCAGCCAAAGUCAGCUAUGUCUGGGUGCACCGGACAGUGUCCGGUGGUGCAUCGGACAGUGUCCGGUGCGCCAGGCUGACUCAGGCGAACUUGCUGCUCUCGGGAAGAGAUUAGCGGCGUACGACUAUAAUUCACCGGAUUGUCCGGUGAGCCAAUGGUCGGCCGGGCCAACGGUCGGCCGCGCGAUUCGCGCGAGACACGUGGCCGAGCCAACGGUCGGAAGGGGGCACCGGACUGUCCGGUGCGCCAACGGCUCCAAAGCGCCAACGGUCGGCUUCGCCAAAGAAGGAAAGAAAUCCGCACCGGACAGUGUCCGGUGGUGCACCGGACUGUCCGGUGCGCCAGGCGACAGAAGGCAAGAAUUGCCUUCCUGGAAUGCACUCAACGGCUCCUAGCUGCCUUGGGGCUAUAAAAGGGACCCCUAGGCGCAUGGAGGAGAAUACCAAGCAUUCUCUAAGCAUUCAUAAGCACCAAGACUUCGAUUCCGCGCAUUUGAUUCUUUGCGAUAGCAAUUAGAGCUCCGUUUGAGUUGUGAACUCGCUGAGUUGUGUUGUGAGCUCUUGUUGCGACUUGUGUGCGUGUUGGUACUGUGAUUUUGUGUCUUGUGUGCGUUGCUCAUCCCUCUCUUACUCCGUGCUUCUUUGUGAACAUCAAAGUGUAAGGGCGAGAGACUCCAAGUUGUGGAGAUUCCUCGCAAACGGAUAUAGUAAAGCAAAGCAAAACACCAUGGUAUUCAAGUGGGUCUUUGGACCGCUUGAGAGGGGUUGAUUGCAACCCUCGUCCGUUGGGACGCCACAACAUGGACUAGGCAAGUGUUGAACUUGGCCGAACCACGGGAAAAACCACUGUGCCAUCUCUGUGUUGAUCUCUUUGUGGUUUUCGUGUUGUGCAAACUCUCCUCUCUAGCCACUUGGCUUAACUGUGCUAACUCUAAUCAAGUUUUGUGGAUUAAGUUUUAAGUUUUCUCAGGAUCACCUAUUCACACCCCCCCUCUAGGUGCUCUCAAUUGGUAUCAGAGCUGUUCUCUUCAAGAAAUAAAGGGACUAAUCGCCCGAAGAGAUGGAUCCUAAGGGCAAGAGGAUUGUGAUCAAUGAUAAGGAGAAGGAGUCCUUCGUCAAUGAGCCGAAAGAUGACAAGCCUACCGACUCGGGCUCGGGCCACAAACGAAAAGAUGGAAAGAAGAAGAAGACGAGGCGCAUCAAGGAGAUUGUCUACUACGACGACAGCGACGAGUCCUCUUCUUCUCAAAAGGACGACGACAACGACUACGAGAAAAAGAAGAUGGUUAACUCAAACUUCUCUUUCGAUUAUUCUCGUAUUCCGCAUAGCUCAAAUGCACAUUUGCUUUCUAUUCCUCUUGGCAAACCUCCUCACUUUGAUGGAGAGGACUAUGGAUUUUGGAGCCACAAAAUGCGUAGUCACUUGUUCUCUCUCCAUCCUAGCAUAUGGGAGAUAGUAGAAAGUGGAAUGAAAUUUGAUAUCUCGGAUAGUCCUAUGUUUAUCAAUGAAAAGAUUCAUAAAAAUGCACAAGCUACUACUGUGUUGUUAGCCUCUUUGUGCAGGGACGAGUAUCAUAAGGUGAGCGGCUUGGAUAAUGCCAAGCAGAUCUGGGACACCCUCAAGAUCUCUCAUGAGGGGAACGACGUCACCAUGCUCACCAAGAUGGAGUUGGUGGAGGGCGAACUCGGGAGAUUCGCGAUGAUAAGGGGCGAGGAGCCAACCCAAACGUACAACCGGCUAAAGACCCUCGUCAACAAAAUAAGGAGCUACGGAAGCACGCGAUGGACGGACCACGACGUUGUCCGCCUAAUGCUAAGGUCCUUUACUGUUCUUGAUCCACAUCUUGUGAACAAUAUUCGUGAGAAUCCUAGGUACACCAAGAUGUCGCCCGAAGAAAUUCUUGGGAAAUUUGUAAGUGGGCGGAUGAUGAUCAAGGAGGAUAGAUACGUCGACGAUGCAUUGAAUGGCCCAAUCCAAGAACCUCAAACUAUUGCUCUCAAGGCAACAAGGAGCAAGGAGGCGCUACCUAGCAAGGUGGCGCAAGUUGAGGCGGCCAGGCUUAAUGAUGAAGAGAUGGCCCUCAUCAUCAAGCGAUUCAAGACGGCGCUAAGGGGUCGCAAGGAGCACCCCAACAAGAACAAGACGAAGGGGAAGCGCUCCUGCUUCAAAUGUGGUAAGAUUGGUCAUUUUAUCGCUAACUGCCCCGAUAAUGAUAGUGACCAGGAAAAGAAGAGUGGAAAGUGGGAAAAGAAGAAGAACUACAAGAAGGCAAAGGGCGAGGCACAUCUUGGAAAGGAGUGGGAUUCGGAUUGCUCCUCGUCCGACUCCGACAACGAAGGACUCAUCGCCACCGCCUUCAACAAGUCAUCCCUCUUCCCAAACGAGCGUCACACAUGCCUCAUGGCGAAGGAGAAGAAGGUAUGUACUCAGAAUACUACUUAUACUUCUUCAAGUGAGGAUGAGUCUAGUGAUGAUGAUGAAAUAGAUUAUUCAUGUUUAUUCAAGGGCCUAGAUAGAACCAAGAUUGAUAAAAUUAAUGAAUUAAUUGAUGCCUUGAAUGAUAAGAAUAAGUUAUUAGAAAAGCAAGAGGAUCUUUUGUAUGAAGAACAUGAUAAGUUUGUAGAGGCUCAAAAAUCCCUUGCUUUAGAAAUUAAAAGGAAUGAAAUGCUUUCUUGUGAAUUGUCUGCAUGUCAUGACUCCAUUUCUAGCUUAAAGAGCAUAAAUGAUGAUUUGAAUGCUAAGUUAGAAAUAGCAAAUAAAUCAACAUCUUGUGUAGAACAUGUUACAAUUUGCAAUAGAUGUAAAGAUUUUGAUAUUGAUGCGUGUAGUGAACACCUAGUUUCAAUUUCCAAAUUAAAUGAUGAAUUGGCUAGUCUUAAUGCCCAACUUAAGACUAGCAAGAGUGAAAUUGAUAAAAUAAAAUUUGCAAGGGAUGCCUACACGAUUGGUAGACACCCCUCAAUUAAGGAUGGUCUUGGCUUCAAGAGGGAAGUCAAGAACUUAACAAGCCAUAAGGUUCCCAUCUCAGCCAAAGAGAAAGGGAAGGCCCCUAUGGCUAGUAGUGCUCAUAAGAACCAUGCUUUCAUGUAUCAUGAUAGGAGAAAUUCUAGGAAUGCUUUUAGAAGUUAUGAUGCUUUUGAUUCUCAUGCCAUGGUUGCUUCUAGCUCUUCUAUUAUGUAUGAUAGAAAUGUUGCUAGGAAAAAUGCUAUGCCUAGAAGAAAUUUUGUUCAUGCUCCUAGGAAAGUAAUGAAUGAACCUUCUAUAAUUUAUCAUGCUUGCAAUGCUUCAUUUGCAAUUUGUAGAAAGGAUAGGAAGAUAGUUGCUAGAAAAUUAGGGGCAAAAUGUAAGGGAGACAAGACUUGCAUUUGGGUCCCUAAGACUAUUGUGACUAACCUUGCAGGACCCAACAUGAGUUGGGUACCUAAGACCCAAGCCUAAAAUUGCCUUGCAGGUUUAUGCAUCCGGGGGCUCAAGCUGGAUUAUCGACAGCGGAUGCACAAACCACAUGACGGGGGAGAAGAGGAUGUUCUCUUCCUACGUCAAGAACAAAGAUCCCCAAGAUUCAAUCAUAUUCGGUGAUGGCAACCAAGGCAAGGUGAAAGGGUUAGGAAAAAUUGCUAUUUCUUCCGAGCACUCUAUUUCUAAUGUAUUCCUAGUUGAGUCACUUGGAUAUAAUUUGUUAUCUGUAAGUCAAUUAUGUAAUAUGGGAUAUAAUUGUAUAUUCACUAAUGUAGAUGUGUUUGUCUUUAGAAGAAGUGAUGGUUCACUAGCUUUUAAGGGUGUAUUAGACGGCAAACUCUAUUUAGUUGAUUUUGCAAAAGAGGAGGCCGGUCUAGAUGCAUGCUUAAUUGCUAAGACUAGCAUGGGCUGGCUGUGGCAUCGCCGCUUAGCACAUGUGGGGAUGAAGAACCUUCACAAGCUUCUAAAGGGAGAACACGUAAUAGGUCUAACCAAUGUUACUUUCGAAAAAGAUAGACCUUGUGCAGCUUGUCAAGCAGGGAAACAGGUGGGAAGCUCUCAUCAUGCCAAAAAUGUGAUGACAACAUCAAGACCCCUGGAGUUACUUCAUAUGGACCUCUUCGGACCCGUCGCCUAUCUAAGCAUAGGAGGAAGUAAGUAUGGUCUUGUUAUAGUUGAUGAUUUUUCCCGCUUCACUUGGGUAUUCUUUUUGCAGGAUAAAUCUAAAACCCAAGGGACCCUCAAGCGCUUCCUAAGGAGAGCUCAAAACGAGUUUGAGCUCAAGGUGAAGAAGAUAAGAAGCGACAAUGGGUCCGAGUUCAAGAACCUUCAAGUGGAGGAGUAUCUCGAGGAGGAAGGAAUCAAGCACGAGUUCUCCGCUCCCUACACACCACAGCAAAAUGGUGUGGUAGAGAGGAAGAACAGGACGCUUAUAGACGUUGCGAGGACGAUGCUUGGAGAGUUCAAGACCCCCGAGUGCUUUUGGUCGGAAGCCGUGAACACGGCUUGCCACGCUAUCAACCGGGUCUACCUUCAUCGCCUCCUCAAGAAGACUUCGUAUGAGCUACUAACCGGUAACAAACCCAAUGUUUCAUAUUUUCGAGUUUUUGGGAGUAAAUGCUACAUUCUAGUAAAGAAGGGUAGGAAUUCCAAAUUUGCUCCCAAAGCCAUAGAAGGGUUUUUGUUAGGUUAUGACUCAAAUACAAAGGCGUAUAGGGUCUUCAACAAAUCAUCGGGUUUGGUUGAAGUCUCUAGCGACGUUGUAUUUGAUGAGACUAAUGGCUCUCCAAGAGAGCAAGUUGUUGAUCUUGAUGAUGUAGAUGAAGAAGACGUUCCAACGGCCACAAUGCGCACCAUGGCGAUUGGAGAUGUGAGGCCAAUGGAACAAAAGGAGCAAGAUCAACCUUCUUCCUCAACAAUGGUGCAUUCCCCAACUCAAGUCGAUGAACAGGUUCAUCAAGAGGAGGCGUGUGAUCAAGGGGGAGCACAAGUUGAUCAUGUAAUGGAGGAAGGAGCACAACCGGCACCUCCAACCCAAGUUCGAGCAAUGAUUCAAAGGGAUCAUCCCGUCGACCAGAUUUUGGGUGACACUAGCAAGGGAGUAACUACUCGGUCUCGAUUAGUUAAUUUUUGUGAGCAUUACUCCUUUGUCUCUUCUAUUGAGCCUUUCAGGGUAGAGGAGGCCUUGCUAGAUCCGGACUGGGUGUUGGCCAUGCAGGAGGAGCUCAACAACUUCAAGAGAAAUGAAGUUUGGACACUGGUGCCUCGUCCCAAGCAAAAUGUUGUGGGAACCAAGUGGGUGUUCCGCAACAAACAAGACGAGCACGGAGUGGUGACAAGGAACAAGGCACGACUUGUGGCAAAAGGUUAUGCCCAAGUCGCAGGUUUGGACUUUGAGGAGACUUUUGCUCAUGUGGCUAGGCUAGAGUCCAUUCGUAUUUUGCUAGCAUAUGCCGCUCACCAUUCUUUCAGGUUGUUCCAAAUGGAUGUGAAGAGCGCUUUCCUCAACGGGCCAAUCAAGGAGGAGGUGUACGUGGAGCAACCCCCUGGCUUCGAGGAUGAACGAUACCCCGACCACGUGUGUAAGCUCUCUAAGGCGCUCUAUGGACUUAAGCAAGCCCCAAGAGCAUGGUAUGAAUGCCUUAGAGACUUUUUAAUUGCUAAUGCUUUCAAGGUUGGGAAAGCCGAUCCAACUCUUUUUUACUAAGACUUGUGAUGGUGAUCUUUUUGUGUGCCAAAUUUAUGUCGAUGACAUAAUAUUUGGUUCCACUAAUCAAAAGUCUUGUGAAGAGUUUAGCAGGGUGAUGGCUCAAAAGUUUGAGAUGUCGAUGAUGGGCGAGUUAAGCUAUUUCCUUGGGUUCCAAGUGAGGCAACUCAAGGAUGGGACCUUCAUCUCCCAAACGAAGUACACGCAAGACUUGAUCAAGAGGUUUGGGAUGAAGGACGCCAAGCCCGCAAAGACUCCAAUGGGAACCGACGGACACACCGACCUCAACAAAGGAGGUAAGUCCGUUGAUCAAAAGGCAUGCCGGUCCAUGAUAGGGUAUUUACUUUAUUUAUGUGCUAGUAGACCGGAUAUUAUGCUUAGCGUAUGCAUGUGUGCUAGAUUUCAAUCCGAUCCGAGAGAAUGCCACUUAGUGGCGGUGAAGCGAAUUCUUAGAUAUUUAGUUGCUACGCCUUGCUUCGGGAUCUGGUAUCCAAAGGAGUCUACCUUUGACUUGAUUGGAUAUUCAGACUCCGACUAUGCUGGAUGUAAGGUCGAUAGGAAGAGUACAUCGGGGACGUGUCAAUUCUUAGGAAGGUCCCUGGUGUCAUGGAGCUCUAAGAAACAAACUUCUGUUGCCCUAUCCACCGCUGAGGCCGAGUACGUUGCCGCAGGACAGUGUUGCGCGCAACUACUUUGGAUGAGGCAAACCCUCCGGGACUUUGGCUACAAUCUGAGCAAAUUCCCACUCCUAUGUGAUAAUGAGAGUGCUAUCCGCAUGGCGGAUAAUCCUGUUGAACACAGCCGCACAAAGCACAUAGACAUCCGGCAUCACUUUUUGAGAGACCACCAGCAAAAGGGAGAUAUCAAAGUGUUUCAUGUUAGCUCCGAGAACCAGCUAGCCGAUAUCUUUAUCAAGCCUUUAGAUGAGCAGACCUUUUGCAAGUUGCGUAGUGAGCUAAAUGUCUUAGAUUCGCGGAACUUGGAUUGAUUUAUAGCAUACAUGUGUUUUAUGCCUUGAUCAUGUUCCUUAAGCAUAUUGUUGUUUAUUUAUGGUGCUCAAGUUGUGCAAACACUCCCCGGACCUCACAAGUCCACUUGCAAGUGAUGCACAUAUUUAGGGGGAGAUGUGCUACAACUUGACCCUUUGAGACUAACUGUGUGCUUGAGUGUGCUUAAUUUAGUCUCAAAGGAGGUUUGAAAGGGAAAAGGUGGACUUGGACCAUGCAAGACUUCCACUGCACUCCGAUGAAAGAGUAACUUUUCCAAGUUCAUCUUUGUACUCUUAUUGCCUUUUUACUCUUAGUUGAAGAUUUUGGUGAGGCAAUGGGGUUAAAGGGCCAAAAUUGAUCCCAUUUUGGUGCUUGAUGCCAAAGGGGGAGAAAAUAAGGCCAAAGCAAGAAAUGGAUCAGCUACCACUUGAGAAUUUUGAAAAAGUAGAGUUAGAGUUUUUGUUUGUCAAAAACCUCUUUUUUGCCUCUUAUUGUCAACAGUUGAUCUCUUGUGGGGAGAAGGCUUAAUUAUGGGAAAAGGGGGAGUUUUUGAACUCUUUGAUCAAUUUCUCUUGAAAUAUCUCUCUUUAUGUUUCAACAAGUGUGUUUGACUUAGAGAUAGGAAAUUGAGUUUGAUUUGCAAAAACAAACCAAGUGGUGGCAAAGAAUGAUCCAUAUAUGUCAAAUUUGAAUCAAAACAAUUUUGAGUUCUUAUUUGAAUUGAUUUUGCACUUGUUCUACUUGCUUUAUGUUGUGUUGGCAUAAAUCACCAAAAAGGGGGAGAUUGAAAGGGAAAUGUGCCCUUGGGCCAUUUCUAAGUAUUUUGGUGAUUUAGUGUCCAACACAAGUGCCUAAGUGUUAAAUGGUAGACAAAGUACAAAUCAAGUAUAAAGGUAUGUUUCUCAGACUUAGUACAUUGUUUUAGAGACUAAUGUAUUGUGUCUAAGUGCUGGAAACAGGAAAAAUCAAGUUGAAAUUAAAGAUGGCUUUGUUCAGCCAAAGUCAGCUAUGUCUGGGUGCACCGGAUUGUCCGGUGGUGCACCGAACAGUGACCGGUGCGCCAGGCUGACUCAGGCGAACUUGCUGCUCUCGGGAAGAGAUUAGCGGCGUACGGCUAUAAUUCACCGGACUGUCCGGUGAGCCAACGGUCGGCCGGGCCAACGGUCGGCCGCGCGAUCCGCGCGAGACACGUGGCCGAGCCAACGGUCGGAAGGGGGCACCGGACUGUCCGGUGCGCCAACGGCUCCAAAGCGCCAACGGUCGGCUUCGCCAAAGAAGGAAAGAAAUCCGCACCGGACAGUGUCCGGUGGUGCACCGGACUGUCCGGUGCGCCAGGCGAUAGAAGGCAAGAAUUGCCUUCCUGGAAUGCACUCAACGGCUCCUAGCUGCCUUGGGGCUAUAAAAGGGACCCCUAGGCGCAUGGAGGAGAAUACCAAACAUUCUCUAAGCAUUCAUAAGCACCAAGACUUCGAUUCCGCGCAUUUGAUUCUUUGCGAUAGCAAUUAGAGCUCCGUUUGAGUUGUGAACUCGCUGAGUUGUGUUGUGAGCUCUUGUUGCGACUUGUGUGCGUGUUGGUACUGUGAUUUUGUGUCUUGUGUGCGUUGUUCAUCCCUCCCUUACUCCAUGCUUCUUUGUGAACAUCAAAGUGUAAGGGCGAGAGACUCCAAGUUGUGGAGAUUUCUCGCAAACGGAUAUAGUAAAGCAAAGCAAAACAUCGUGGUAUUCAAGUGGGUCUUUGGACCGCUUGAGAGGGGUUGAUUGCAACCCUCGUCCGUUGGGACGCCACAACGUGGACUAGGCAAGUGUUGAACUUGGCCGAACCACGGGAUAAACCACUGUGCCAUCUCUGUGUUGAUCUCUUUGUGGUUUUCGUGUUGUGCAAACUCUCCUCUCUAGCCACUUGGCUUAACUGUGCUAACUCUAAUCAAGUUUUGUGGAUUAAGUUUUAAGUUUUCUUAGGAUCACCUAUUCACCCCCCCCCUCUAGGUGCUCUCAGCUAUAAAUACCCCCAACCACCACAACACCAACAACCCAAGUAUUCUGAACAUUGCAUUCAAUACAAGAGCAAUAGCCUCCACUCCAAGACACAAUCAAAGCGAUCGAUCCACUCAAAGUCCCCAAAUCAACUCUAGUGCAUUAGGACUUGUGAGAGGAUCUCUUGUGUUCCUUUGUUGCUCUUGUUUGCUUGGCUUGGACUUCUUUUUUUCUUUUCAAUUCUUACUCUCAAGUGCUUUGUAAGCAAGGCAAGAGACACCAAUUGUGUGGUGGUCCUUGCGGGGUCUAAGUCACCCGUGAGAUUAAGGAAGAAGGCUCACUCGGUAUAAGUGACCGUUUGAGAUAGGGAAAGAGUUGAAAGAGACCCGGUCUUUGUGACCACCUCAAUGGGGACUAGGUUCUUUAGAACCGAACCUCGGUAAAACAAAUCAUUGUGUUCAUCCACCUGAUUCGCUCUUGAUUUGUUUCCCCCCUCUCUCCUGGACUCGAUUUAAGUUCUAACGCUAACCCCGGCUUGUAGUUUGUGUUUUAAGUUAUAAAUUUCAUAUUACACCUAUUCACCCCCCCUCUAGGCGACUUUCACCAACAAAGGUACAGAUUCACACAAUUGUGCAUCUCUACUCUACUCGAUGCAAAUAUUUUUUAAAUGAGGUUGUGUGCUUUUUUGUUUCUCUAUGCAAAUUUCUGAAUCGGGGCGCAUUUCUUCACCUUAAUGUAAGUUUCUAUAUUUAUUGUGUAACUUCUUUACUCGUUUUUUGGUAAAUAAUAGUGGUUCUGAAGUCAACAUAGGUCUAAGUUGCUGGCAAAUGUUCCUUCUAUAUAAAUUUAAGUUUUUGCCCGCUGCACAAUGAUGACAAUUUUUCACUCCUCGUUUCUACAAAAAAAAAAUCAACACUGCAAGGAGACCAAAACCUGCACCGUGACCCCCUCGAGCACCCCGCUAUGGUGCUGCCAGCGCAGCCGCCUCGCAGGUGAGUGCCCGUGUGUUGCAUGUGGUCUGGUGGUAACACAUGUGCUCCUAACCAUACAGGUGACCUUGCUCUUCCUCGUCUAAGCGACUCGAUCACUUCUAUAUAAAUUUAAGUUUUUGCCCGCUGCACGAGAAUGACGAUUUUUUCACUCCCCGUUUCUACAGAAAAAAAUCGACACUGCAAGGAGGCCAAAGCCUACGCCGAUGACCCCCUCGAGCACCCUGCUACGGUGCUACAAGCGCAACCGCCUCACAAGUUGACGUUCCGGCGGGGCAAAGUACUGAACCCUGAAGAGAUCAGUGGUAGCACCCCAAAACGGCUCCGGUUCAUGCCUUCCAUAGCCGUGGCAGACGCGACAUCCAGGAGCAAAUGCGACAGGAUCACAAGUAGGAGGAGCGGCGACGAUGCUGUAGCGAGAGACGUGGGUGUCGAGGUCAUCGUGCUGCGUUGGUGGUAGGACGAGAAGGAGACGAAAAAGUAGGAGUCAGGGCUGUUCAACAACGUGAUCGAAUCGCUGAGGCGAGGAAGAGCAAGGUGAAGGCACUCGUCGAUGCCUUUGAGACCGACAGACCAUCAUCUCGCUGCAGAAACGAGCAAGCCUGCUGCUGCUCCAGCUAUGGCAGCAGGUGUCGUGCCAUGAGCGCUUCUUGACCUGCAGUGUGCAUGAUCACAUUUCUUGGAAUUUUGGACUUUUGUUGUUGUUAGUGACCGUAAAAGUGGCGCUUGUUGAGGUUUGCUCGUUCCCAUGUAAACUAAGUUUUCUCAUGGGAGUUUCCAUACUUUCGUAGUGCUUCCAAAAACCGAAAGUUCGUAUAGGUUUUGUGUCUGUGCAAGGCUUGGCAAGUUGGUAUUGUACUGAUAAGUGAUAAGUAAGCAAGUUACUGUAAUGAUUUAAACUAUAUUGUUUUGAAAGGAAAUGGAAAGGAUAAAGCAAAUUAAACUUUGUAUUAAGUUACCUGAUUCAUGAAAAUGGUACUAACCUUCUUCCAACGUUUUCUAUGUUUCUCAUUUCACUCGCUGCAUUUUCAGUUACAGCUACACUGCAUAUGCUGGCAGAUUUGUUCAUAUAUUACUCCUGCUGGCAUUUUCACUAUCGCAGCAGCAUCUCUACUACUAUUUGUUUUUUUCAUAUAAAUGUAUUUUAUCAUAUUGAUUCCGUAGCAACGCACGGACAUAUUCAUAGUAAAUACUUAUGUAGAGACAUUUUUAAUUUUUAUAUAUACAUAUUUAUCAUACUCUCAAAUGUGUUGUACAUAUUUUAGUUUUGCUAAACCAAUUGUUUAAAGUAUUCAAAUGGAUAGAUAAAAGGAGAAAAAAACUCUACAUAUAGAGGAUCUAAUAAUAUUCUCUAAAUUUAAAAUUUAGAGGAUUAUUUAGAUAACCUCGUUGGAGAAAUUAGAGCACAAAAAUUUUAUCUAUAAUUUAGAGUACAUGAACCUUUACAUGGUCUAUUGGAGCUAGUCUUAGAUAGCCUUAGCCCAAUAGUGUACCCUAAAGCUCUAUCCAUUUUAAUAUACGUAUGUAGAAAAUUAGAAGUAAAAUAUGUCUCUGUAUUUACAUGCAGCACGAGAUUUACGUAUAGGACGAGAUUUAUAAAACGCUACUGAACAAGAAAAAAAGAAGAGUGGACAGAUAUAAUGGAUAGAGAAAAUUGUAGCAGAUAAAGGAUUCAGAAACCAAUCCAAACGACCCUGCAAAACUUCCAAAACUUUGGCUUGUUUGGUUAUACCAAUCCAGAAGAGAAUUGGAGGGAUUUAAAUCCCCUCCUAUUCAUUUUUGACUUGGAUUGGUAUAACCGAACAUGCUCUUAGGCCUAGUUUGGGUACUCUAGUAUUGACCUCAAUCCACUUGUAUUGAGGUGUAACUUAAACUAAUUUACACCCCAAUCCAGAUCAAUACAUGUGGAUUGAGGUCAAUACUAGAGUACCCAAACAAAGCCUUAAGGGGAUAAAAAGAAACAUACUGCGUAAUUGGUUGCUCAACCGAAUACACCAGGAGUUUCGCUAAACGUCCAAGCCCACCGCGUAGACCUGCAUGCGUAGAGACGCGAGGACGGAGCUAGCUAGCCGUCAUUCGUCAAGGCCGCUGCGAGCCGUGCAAGGACAGAGCUUCGCUAGCCGUCCAGGCGCUGCGAGCCGGGCGCCCACGAACCCAGAAACCAAUCAUGCCGAUACUGAAGAUAACUAUACGACUUCCUAAAAUCAAAUUAACAAUGCCAAAAGGUUAACAUAUAGCUCUUACAGCAUUCUUGUAUUGCAGAAGGUGAAAUAGCAACAAGGUACCAAAUAAAUAGAUAAAAGUGCACAGGCUAACAGAGCUCAACAGUUCACACAAUAACAGCAACGACCACAAACAAAACUUGUAAUGAUGAAAACUAGGUAUUGCUAAAGCAGGCGCAGGAUCGCAUCAUUUCUUCUUGGCAGCAGCCUUGGUCACCUUGGCGCCGGUUGGGUCCUUCUUCUCCACACUCUUGAUAACUCCAACAGCAACCGUCUGCCUCAUGUCACGGACAGCAAACCUACCAAGGGGAGGAUACGCUGAGAAUGUCUCCACCACCAUGGGCUUGGUGGGUAUCAUCUUCACCAUACCAGCAUCACCGUUCUUCAGGAACUUUGGCUCCUUCUCAAGCUCCUUGCCAGAGCGCCUGUCGAUCUUGGUAAUGAGCUCAGCAAACUUGACAGCGAUGUGGGAGGUGUGGCAGUCCAGCACAGGGGCAUAGCCGUUGCCAAUCUGCCCAGGGUGGUUCAUGAUGAUGACCUGGGAGGUGAAGCUGGCAGCCUCCUUGGCAGGGUCAUCCUUGGAGUUGGAGGCCACAAACCCACGCUUGAGGUCCUUGACAGCAACAUUCUUCACGUUGAAGCCAACAUUGUCACCCGGAAGAGCCUCCUGAAGUGCCUCGUGGUGCAUCUCAACAGACUUCACCUCGGUAGUCAGGCCAGUUGGACCAAAGGUGACUACCAUACCAGGCUUGAUGACACCAGUCUCCACACGACCAACCGGUACAGUUCCAAUACCACCAAUCUUGUACACAUCCUGGAGGGGCAGACGCAGGGGCUUGUCUGAAGGCCUCUUGGGCUCGGUGAUCUGGUCAAGAGCCUCAAGCAGGGUUGGGCCUUUGUACCAGUCAAGGUUGGUGGACCUCUCAAUCAUGUUGUCGCCCUCAAAACCAGAAAUGGGAACAAAGGCAAUCUUAUCAGGGUUGUACCCAACUUUCUUGAGGUAGGAUGAGACUUCCUUCACAAUCUCUUCAUAACGUGCCUUGGAGUAUUUGGGAGUGGUUGCAUCCAUCUAAAAAACAGAACACCAUUACUUUGAUUAUCCACGGUACAUAGAUAGUAUAUGCUUGGAACAGAAUAAUACUAUUAGCUUAAUGGAAUAAUAAAGGACAUGAACAUCAGGCAAACUGUGGAUGUGAUACCACAGCAGUGACAACUACACAUAAAUAGGUAGAUCACCGUGUAUCGUAAUUCAUAUAUAUGUAGCCAACAUAGCAAGUCCUGGAUGUAACAAAUAAGAAGCAUAUGACAAAAUACAGAGCUAAUCAGGUAUAUGUCAAUGCAUCCUACAAUAAAACUGCAGUACCAGCACAUUAAAUAACCAUACCAAUCAAGUGAAGAUAAAUAAAUGCUUAUACACUUGUACAUACAUUACUUGUUCCAAUAACAUCUAAACAUUACUUGGAACAAUUGAGCGAGAAACUUCUAUGAAAAUUAAUGAGAAAAUAUUCUACAACAGAUCAUACUAGCAAACUAAUGAAUGCUAUUAAGUUAACUAACUACUAAAUAUGAAAGAAACAGAAGGUUAAUCGAAGCUCUAGCCACUAUAUGCAUUUCACAAAUCCUGUAUUCAACUCCAGAACUAUUAUACUAGCACCAAAUUCUGCAAAAGUAGCACAUACCAUUAUACUAGAGGCUUUUGAAACAAAAAUUCCUGAAAGCAUACCUUGUUGCAGCAGCAAAUCAUCUGCUUCACUCCAAGGGUGAACGCAAGGAGAGCAUGUUCACGGGUCUGGCCAUCCUUGGAGAUACCAGCCUCAAAACCACCAGUGGUGGAGUCAAUGAUAAGGACAGCACAGUCAGCCUGGGAGGUACCAGUGAUCAUGUUCUUGAUGAAGUCACGGUGUCCAGGGGCAUCAAUGACCGUGCAGUAGUACUUGGUGGUCUCAAACUUCCACAGAGCGAUAUCAAUGGUGAUACCUCUCUCACGCUCAGCCUUGAGCUUGUCGAGCACCCACGCGUACUUGAAGGACCGCUUGUUCAUUUCAGCAGCCUCCUUCUCGAACCUCUCGAUCACACGCUUGUCAAUGCCUCCAAGCUUGUAGAUAAGGUGUCCUGUGGUGGUCGACUUGCCAGAGUCGACAUGGCCAAUAACCACAAUGUUGAUGUGGGACUUCUCUUUACCCAUGGUUGGAGGUGAGAUUGAACUGUUAACAAGACGAAUCAACGAUUAGAAACACUAGUAAAUUAAUACUACCAGUAACGACACAAUUUAUCAGAUGGGAUCAGAAACUAGAUCUAACGUUGUCACCGGUGAGCUUGAAAAGAGCUUGAUACGCAUAAGCAGUGUAAAAAUAAAGAAGCAAAUAUUAAACAGAGCAAUCAAUGUAAUAUAAAAAAAUAAAGCAGGCAGAGAAAAUAAAGGGCAAACUAAUAAGCGUGCGCACAUAAUUUUGAGCCAGUAAGACGAAUUCAAAAUUAGGCACAACAACUCUAUAAAGCAGAUCAGGAAUUUGGUCAUAUUAUGAGGUUACAACUCUUACUGCGCAUGAACUACAAAGACAAGUAUCGGUCAAAUAGAAACUGCAGCAGCUCUACACCUCAAAAAUUCGAUCUGACUUUAUUAAGACCACGUAACACGACCGCAAGCGCAAUUAAGAAGUCGUCCAACUACGGUGGCACGGUGCGUAUGUAAUUUAUCAAAUCCAGAAGCAACUAUCCGUAAGAAUCAGGUCAUCCAAACAUGGAAGCACACAAAACCACAAAAAACUAAGAGAAUGGAGACGCAGUAGCUACAAUUAAUCGCAAACAGAAGACCGAAUCACUUCAGGCACGGGGAGGCAACAGAGCACAGCUUUCAACCACUGCCUAUCUCAUCGAGCACCUCAAGGACAAAGAUCGAGCGACAGAGGAUUAGCUACCUUGCAAGGGACAGAGGCCGAAAUGGAGGCGCAGAAGGCAGACGGCGAGUUGGGGAGGAAGGUGCUGGCCUCUAGGGUUCGGGACUUUAUAUAAGGGUGUCGGAGUGGCCGGACCAGCCCAAUCUGACUUCCGAUUUCCGAAUGGCGGCCCAGGGCCCAUAAACGGAGCGAGACAUAGUAUAUGGGAAUAUGGGAUGACUGAAUGACAUUGUUAUCUGCUCUCAAUAUUGUAUAGCACCAUUUUUAUGUAGGGAUGGCAACGAACACAUUUUACUCGUGUGCCUGCGGGUAAAAACCUUAUAGGGUGUGGGUUUAAGUGUGAGUUUGUACUCAUGGGUACGAGUACGGGUUUGAUUCACAACUCGAUGGGUUUUUUUCUCGUGGGUAUGAAAAUAUUGUACCUGUGCCCGCAAAACCGUAUACUCGCGUGUGUGUCUGUGUAGACUAUAGAGCACAUGCAUCUCAAUUUAGUGCCACCUCGAAAGCUUUGAGCGAGCGAAGCCAAUCAAAUGAUAUAAAAGAAGACUACAGGCGCCAGGGAACUCGUAGAACUUUUGGCUAAGAUCGGUACAUGUUUUUAUCAGUUUAAUAAAUAUUUAUUAUUAUGUGCUAUCGGUUUAAUAAAUAUUUAUUAUAUGACUGUGCUCGCGGGUGUACCUGCGGGUAGCGGGUUUUGGUAACAUACGCUACCCGUCGCGGGUAGCGGGUGCGGGUACGGGUUUAACAUUAAUCUCGUGGGUACGAGUUUGUAAUCUCUGUACCCGUGGGUUUUAAACCCGUUGCCAUCCCUACUUUUAUGUAUAUGCCCCGAUUUCUCUAGUUACACUUUCCCAACUCUCGUAAUUGAUUUUAUCAAGCCAUAAUUAAUUUUGGUGGUUGAUCGUCAACACAAACACAUGGACUAACUAGUUUGUCUAUAACUCAUGUGUUAUAGGUGCAUAAGGUUCAACACAAACCAAUAAAAGAUUCAAGUUAGGGACUAAAAUUGAAACGGAGCAAAGAAUUUGAGUGUGCUGUGGACUGGCGCACCGGACUGUCCAGUGUGCCACCGGACAGUGUCCGGUGCACCAGGGCCGUAUAAGUUCCAACCAGCCACUCUCGGGAAUUUAACGGUGCCCUCCGCUAUAAUUCACGGGACUGUCUGGUGUGCCACCGGACUGUCCGGUGUGCUAGCGGAGCAACGGCUAACUCGCGCAACGGUCAACUCUGACAGAAGCUACAGUGAGCAACAGUGCCGCGCAGAAGUCAGAACAGCGAAGUCAGAGGGGCAUCGGACUGUCCGGUGUGGCACCGGACUGUCCGGUGCGGCACCGAACUGUCCAGUGCCGCAAGAGGGCAAAGCUCCAACGGUCGCCCGAGCUCCGAACCCUAAUAGUUGGGUGACGUGGUGGCGCACCGGACAACGCACAGUACCUGUCCGGUGGUGCACCGGACUGUCCGGUGGCGCACCGGACUAUCCGGUGCGACCAUCGCCAGCAACCUCCCCAACGGCUACCAAAGUGGUUGGAGGCUAUAAAUACCCUCCAACCACCACAACUUCAAGCAUCCAUGUUUUCUGAAGAUCACAUUCAAUACAAGAGCUCUAGCAUUCACUCCAAGACACAAUACAAAAGAUCAAAUCCUCUCCAAGUCCCAAAUUCAUUCCAAACACUUAGUGGCUUGAGAGAGAGAGAGAGAAUUUUGUGUUCAUUUGAGUUCUUGUCGCUUGGAUUGUCUUUCUUCUUUUCCAAUUCUUAUUCUCAAGUGCUUUGUAAGCGAGGCAAGAGACACCAAGUGUGUGGUGGUCCUUGCGGGGUCUUAGUGACCCGUGAGAUUAAGGAAGAAGGCUCACUCGGUCUAAGUGAUCGUUUGAGAUAGGGAAAGGGUUGAAAUAGACCCGGUCUUUGUGACCUCCUCAACGGGGACUAGGUUCUUUGGAACCAAACCUCGGUAAAACAAAUCAUCGUGUUCACUCGCCUUAUUUCUUGGUUGAUUUGUUUUCCAUCUCUUUCCGACUUAAAUUUAAUUCUAACGCUAACCUCCGACCUUAGUGCUUGCUUAAAGUUAUAAAUUCCAGGUUUCUCCUAUUCACCCCCUUUAGGCGACUUUCAAUUGGUAUCGGAGUCUGGUGCUUCAUUAGAGUCUAACAACUCGAAGUUAUGUCGGGAUAUCACACCAAGAGGGAGAUUAUGACCGGCAACAAGUCCGCAAGCUCGGGGAGGACUCUCUCAAGGGAGUCUGGCAACAAACAUAAAGAGGAAUCCUCUUCCUCCAUCAAGUCACAUCGGAAAGGUGACAAGAAGAAAAAUAUGAAAAAGGUGGUCUAUUACGAGACCGACUCUUCGUCACCCUCCACAUCAAGCUCCGAGUCAUCCGUCGCUUCUAAGAGCCAUGAGCUCAACAAGUAUAGUAAGAUGUCUCUUCGCUAUCCCCGUAUUUCUAAGCGCGCUCCAUUACUUUCCGUUCCCCUAGUCAAACCACCAUAUUUUGAUGGUGAAGAUUAUUGUAUUGUCGGGGACCAUAAUUAGGGGUACCCUGAAGGCUCCUAAUUCUCAGCUGGUAACCCCCAUCAGCACAAAGCUGCAAAGGCCUGAUGGGUGCGAUUAAGUCAGGGAUCGGUCCAUUCGCGGGACUCGAUCACGCCUCGCCCGAGCCUAGCCUCGGGCAAGGGCAGCCGACCCCGGAGGAUCUCCGUCUCGCCCGAGGCCCCCCUCCAGCGACGAACAUACUUCUGGCUUGCCCGAGGCCCUGUCUUCGCCAAGAAGCAACCCUGACCGAAUCGUCGCGCCGACCGACCAAAUCGCAGGAGCAUUUAAUGCAAAGGUGGCCUGACACCUUUAUCCUGACGCGCGCCCUUCUGUCGAUAGAGCCGAAGUGACCGCAGUCACUUCGCCGCUCCACUGACCGACCUGACAGAAGGGCAGCGCCGCCUGCGUCGCACCGACUGCAGUGCCACUUGACAGAGUGAGGCUGACAGGCAGUCAGGCCCGACCUCAGGCACCAUAGGAAACUCCGCUCCGCCCGACCCAGGGCUCGGACUUGGGCUAAGCCCCAGAAGACGGCGAACUCCGCUCCGCCCGACCCAAGGCUCGGACUCGGGCUAAGCCCCGGAAGACGGCGAACUCCGCUCCGCCCGACCCAGGGCUCGGACUCGGGCUAAGCCCCGGAAGACGGCGAACUCCGCUCCGCCCGACCCAGGGCUCGGACUCGGGCUAAGCCCCAGAAGAUGGCGAACUCCGCUCCACCCGACCCAGGGCUCGGACUUGGGCUGAGCCCCGGAAGACGGCAAACUCCGCACCGCCCGACCCAGGGCUCAGACUUGGGCUAAGCCCCAGAAGACGGCGAACUCCGCUCCGCCCGACCCAGGGCUCGAACUUGGGCUAAGCCCCGGAAGACGGCGAACUCCGCACCGCCCGACCCAGGGCUCGGACUUGGGCUCAGCCCCAGAAGACGACGAACUCCGCUUCGCCCGACCCCAGGGCUCGGACUCAGCCCUGGCCUCAGCCGACGGUCUCCGCCUCGCCCGACCCAGGGGCUCGGACUUGACCACGGCCACGGAAGACAGACUCGACCUCGACCUCGGAGGAGCCUCCACAUCGCCCAACCUAGGGCGCGGACCGACCACGUCGACAGGAAGCGCCAUCAUUACCCUACCUAGGGCUGGAAAAUUAGCUCGAGGCUCGCGAGCCGGCUCGGGCUCGGAGCGGCUCGGCUCGGCUCGGGACGGCUCGCGAGCCUCGAACGAGCCGAGCCGAGCCUCUUCUUCGAGCUCGUUUUUACAGCGAGCCGAGCCGAGCCAGCUCGUUCCAGCUCGCGAGCCGGCUCGCGAGCCUUGCAAAAAUAAUCAAUUUAUGGAAUAAUGAUAAAUAUUAGAUAAUUUUAUGGAUAAUAGCUCAUUUUUAGUCUUUAAUGAUGAAUACAUUACAAGUUAUAAUUUAAUUUACUCAUAAUGUAGAAUGAUGAUUCUAUAUUUCAAAUUUAUAUAAUGUUAAUUCACCAAAUAAUGCAACGGUAAGUACCAGAAUAUGGCUCACGAGCCGAGCCGAGCCGGCUCGCGAGCUAAGGUCGAGCCGAGCCUCUUUUGCCAGCUCGUGAAAUGGGCGAGCCGAGCCGAGCUCGUUCAGACACCGAGCCGCACCGAGCCGAGCCGAGCCGAGCUCGGCUCGGCUCGUUUCCAGCCCUAACCCUACCCCAAGCUGACUCAGGCUACGGGGAACAAGACCGGCGUCCCAUUUGGCUCGCUCCGCCAGAUAGGCAAUGAUGGCGCCCCGCACGCUCUGUGACGACGGCGGCUCUCAGCCCCCUUACGGAAGCAAGAGGACGUCAGCAAGGACUCGACGGCCCCGACAGCUGUCCUUCCGCCAGGCUCCAGCGCUCCUCCGACGGCCAUGACACCACAUGAACCGGGUGCCAAAACCUCUCCGGCUGCCACGACGGCGUGUACUUAGGGCGCUAGCUCUCCUCCGCUAGACACGUAGCACUUUGCUACACCCCCCAUUGUACACCUGGAUCCUCUCCUUACGCCUAUAAAAGGAAGGACCAGGGCCCUCUUACAGAGGGUUGGCCGCGCGGGGACGAGGACGAGACAGGCGCUCGCGUGAGGCCGCUCGCUCCCUCUCCCGCGUGGACGCUUGUAACCCCCUACUGCAAGCGCACCCGACCUGGGCGCGGGACGAACACGAAGGCCGCGGGAUUUCCACCUCUCUCACGCCUGUCUCCGGCCACCUUUCUCCCCCUUCGCGCUCGGCCUCGCGCCGACCCAUCUGGGCUGGGGCACGCGGCGACAUUUCACUCGUCGGCCCAGGGACCCCCCGGUCUCAAAACGCCGACAGUUAGCGUGCCAGGUAGGGGCCUGCUGCGUGUUGACGAACAGCUUCCCGUCAAGCUCCAGAUGGGCAGUCUCCAGCAACCUCUCCGGCCCGGGACGGUGCUCUGUUUCGGGAGCCUUGAGUUCAUGUCCUUCGACGGCAGCUACGACAUGAUACUCCUUCCACCGCCGUGCGACGGCGACAAUGGCGGCCGACAGCCCGCCCGCCGGCGGCGGAAUCGACGACGUCUUCCCCGCGUGGUGGAAGAACAACAUUCGAGCUCACCCCGUCCUCUCCCCCGCCGACGGAGGAGGAGGCGGGGCAACCAAGGCCAAGCAGGAGGCAGCGCCUCGUCGGCUGUCGAGCGAGUCGACGGCGCCAGCGCCCCAACGGGGGGCGCGUCGGGCAUCGACCUCACGUUUGAGACGAAGACGAGCGUCGUCUCCCCGCAACACGCCGAUUCCGAGCAAAUGGACGACGCCAGCAUGCUCGCGAAAGGCUUGCUGGAUGUCACCCUCGUACCUGAGACGACGGUGCAGUCAGUCCCCGACGUGACUUCAUCACCGCCCGUCGACCAAGAGGUACCGACCGAUUCCCAUCUCACGCCCUUUGGAUUCAGCCUCGACCCGCCAAGCGGCUUCGCUUUGGCGGACGCUCUCGUAGAGGCGAGUCCAAACCCUCUGGGGUAUCGUAUGUGGUCACCCUGGGACUGGCUGACGGACGUCUCGACCUACGGGCCCUCGAGGUCCGAGGAAGAUGACGAGCCCGACUUCUGUUGGGAUUUCUCCGGACUUGGUAACCCCAGUGCCAUGCGGGACUGAAAGGGAAAUGUGCCCUUGGGCCAUUUCUAAGUAUUUUGGUGAUUGAGUGUCAACACAAGUGCUUAAAUGUGAAUCAAUACCCAUGGAUGAACAAAGUGCAAAUCUAGAGCAAAGGUAUGUUUCUAAGUCUUAGUACAUUGGUUUUGUGUACUAAUAUACUUGUCUAAGUAUUAGAAACAGGAAGAAGAAGAAGAGAAGAAAGUUGGCUGUGUACAGCCAACAGGCUGUUUCGGUCUGGGGCACCGGACUGUCCGGUGGUGCACCGGACAGUGUCCGGUGGUGCACCGGACAGUGUCCGGUGCGCCAGGCUAUCUCGGCCGAAGAGGCCGCUCUCGGGAAUUUGCUGACGGCGUACGGCUAAAAUUCACCGGACUGUCCGGUGUGCACCGGACUGUCCGGUGAGCCAACGGUCGGCCAGGACCAACGGUCGGCCGCGCGAUCAGCGCAGGACACGUGGCCGAGCCAACGGUCGGAAGGGGGCACCGGACUGUCCGGUGUGCACCGGACAUGUCCGGUGCGCCAACGGCUCCCGCAUCUGCAACGGUCGGCUUCGCCAUUUAAGGAAAGGAAUCGGGCACCGGACACUGUCCGGUGUGCACCGGACUGUCCGGUGCGCCCGACGACAGAAGGCAAAGAUGGCCUUCCAGAUUUGUUCUCAACGGCUCCUAGCUGCCUUGGGGCUAUAAAAGGGACCCCUAGGCGCAUGGAGGAUAACACCAAGCAACUCUUGAGCAUUCUUGAUCAUCCACACUCAGUCUUUGCGCAUCCGUUUGUGAUUCUAAGUGAUUCGAGCUCUGUUCUUGUGAGAAACUGUGAGAUAGUCUUUGAGCUCGAAUCUUGGCCGUGUGUGUGCGCGUUUCGCUGUGGAUUUGUGUGUGUUGCUUCCCUCCCUUACUCUGUGCUUCUUUGUGAAUCUUAAGUGUAAGGGCGAGAGACUCCAAUUUGUGGAGAUUCCUCGCAAGUGGGAUAAAGAUAAGCAAGGCAAAAUACUGUGGUAUUCAAGUGGGUCUUUGGACCGCUUGAGAGGGGUUGAUUGCAACCCUCGUCCGUUGGGACGCCACAACGUGGAGUAGGCAAGUUUUGUACUUGGCCGAACCACGGGAUAAAUCACCGUGUCUCCUCUGUGUUGAAUUCUCUGUGAUUGUCGUAUUGUGCAAGAUCUUCUCUUUAGCCACUUGGCAAUUAUUGUGCUAACCUCUAACAAGUUUUUGUGGCUAUAAGUUAAGUUUUUACAGGAUCACCUAUUCACCCCCCCCCCUCUAGGUGCUCUCAAUUGGUAUCGGAGCCGUUCUCUUCACAAAGGGACUUACCGCCCGAAGAGAUGGAUCCUAAGGGGAAGGGAAUCGUGAUCAACGACAAAGAGAAGGAAUCCUUCGUCAACGAGCCGAAGGACAACAAGCCUACCGACUCCGGCUCGAGGCAUAGACGGAAGGAAGGGAAGAAGAAGAAGACAAGGCGCAUAAAGGAGAUCAUCUACUACGACGAUAGUGAUGAGUCUACUUCUUCCCAAAAGGAUGAUGACAACGACUACAAAAAGACGGUCAAUUCGAACUUUUCAUUUGAUUAUUCUCGUAUUCAACAUAGUUCGAAUUCGCAUUUGCUUUCCAUUCCUCUUGGCAAACCUCCACACUUCGAUGGGGAGGACUACGGAUUUUGGAGUCACAAAAUGCGUAGUCACUUAUUCUCUCUCCAUCCAAGCAUAUGGGAGAUUAUGGAGAAUGGAAUGAAAUUUGAUAGCUCGGAUAGCCCUAUGCUUAUAAAUGAACAAAUUCAUAGAAAUGCACAAGCUACUACUGUUCUCUUAGCGUCUUUGUGCAGGGAAGAGUACAAUAAGGUGAGUGGCUUGGACAAUGCCAAGCAGAUAUGGGACACCCUCAAGAUCUCUCACGAGGGGAACGACAUCACCAUGCUCACCAAGAUGGAGUUGGUGGAGGGCGAGCUUGGACGAUUCGCCAUGAUAAGGGGAGAGGAGCCAACUCAAACUUACAACCGGCUCAAGACUCUUAUCAACAAAAUAAGGAGCUACGGAAGCACACGUUGGACGGAUCACGACAUCGUCCGCCUAAUGCUCAGGUCCUUUACCGUUCUUGAUCCUCAUCUCGUGAACAAUAUUCGUGAGAAUCCCAGGUACACGAUGAUGACGCCCGAGGAAGUACUUGGAAAAUUCGUGAGCGGGCGGAUGAGAUCAAGGAGGCAAGAUACGCCGACGACGCGUUGAACGGUCCACUCCAUGAGCCUCAACCCAUUGCUCUAAAGGCAACGAGGAGCAAGGAGUCGCUACCUAGCAAGGUGGCGCAAGUUGAGGCGGCCGGGCUCAAUGAUGAAGAGAUGGCUCUCAUCAUCAAGAGAUUCAAGACGGCGCUAAAAGGUCGAAAGGGACAGCCAAGCAAGGCCAAGACCAAGGGAAAGCGAUCAUGCUUCAAAUGCGGUAAGCUUGGUCAUUUUAUUGCUAACUGUCCCGAAAAUGAUAGUGACCAGGAGCAAGGGAAAAAUGGGAAGAGAGAGAACAAGAAGGUUUACAAGAAGGCCAAAGGCGAAGCACACCUUGGAAAGGAGUGGGAUUCGGAUUGCUCUUCGUCCGACUCCGACGACGAAGGACUCGCCGCCACUGCCUUCAACAAAUCGGCUCUCUUCCCCAACGAGCAUCACACUUGCCUCAUGGCAAGGGAAAAGAAGGUAAUCACUCGUAAUGCUAAUACUUAUGAUUCUUCUAGUGAUGAUGAAUCUAGUGAGGAUGAAAUUGAUUACUCUAGUUUAUUCAAGGGAUUGGAUAGAACUAAGAUAGCUAAGAUUAAUGAGUUGAUCGAUGCCUUAAAUGAAAAGGAUAGAACCUUAGAGAAACAAGAAGACCUCUUAUAUGAAGAACAUGAUAAAUUUGUUAGUGCACAAAAUUCACUUGCUCUAGAAGUUAAAAGAAAUGGAAUACUUUCUUGUGAACUUUCUACUUGUAAUGAAACCAUUUCUUCUUUAAAAGGUGAAAUUAACGAUUUAACUGCUAAACUAGAAGUAGCAAGUAACUCGUAUGUUGAAAAUAUUACAAUUUGCACUAGGUGUAAGGAUUUUGAUGUUAAUGCUUGUAGUGAACACUUAGUUUCAAUUUCAAAACUAAAUGAUGAAGUGGCUAGUCUUAAUGCUCAACUUAAGACUAGCAAGAGUGAAGUUGAUAAAAUAAAAUUUGCAAGGGAUGCCUACACAGUGGGUAGACACCCCUCAAUUAAGGAUGGUCUUGGCUUCAAGAGAGAAGCCAAGAACUUAACAAGCCAUAAGACUCCUAUCUCCACCAAGGAGAAAGGGAAGGCUCCUAUGGCUAAUAGUGUUAAGAAGAAUCAUGCUUUCAUGUACUAUGAUAGGAGAUACUCUAGAAAUGCUUUUAGAAGUAAUGAUGUUUUUGAUUCACAUGCUUAUGACUCUUAUGCUAUGACUGCUUCUAGUUCUCAUGUUAUGCAUGGUAGAAAUGUGUUUAGAAGAAAUGUUGUUCACCAAAUGCCUAGGAGAAAUGUAGUUCAUAAUGCUCCUAGGAAAGUAGUGAAUGAACCUUCCGAAAUUUAUUGUGCUCUAAAUGCUUCCUUUGCUAUUUGUAGAAAGGAUAAGAAAAUUGUUGCUAGGAAGUUAGGGGCAAGAUGCAAGGGAGAUAAAACUUGCAUUUGGGUCCCUAAGAAUAUUUGUGCUAACCUUAUAGGACCCAACAUGAGUUGGGUACCUAAGUCCCAAGCCUAAAUUUGCCUUGCAGGUUUAUGCAUCCGGGGGUUCAAGCUGGAUUAUUGAUAGCGGAUGCACAAACCAUAUGACGGGGGAGAAGAAGAUGUUCACCUCCUACGUCAAGAAUAAGGAUUCCCAAGAUUCAAUUAUAUUCGGUGAUGGGAAUCAAGGCAAGGUAAAAGGGUUAGGUAAAAUUGCGAUUUCUAAUGAGCAUUCUAUCUCUAAUGUAUUUUUAGUAGAGAGUCUUGGAUAUAAUUUGCUAUCUGUUAGUCAAUUAUGUCAUAUGGGGUAUAAUUGUCUAUUUACAAAUGUAGAUGUGUCUGUCUUUAGAAGAAGUGAUGGUUCACUAGCUUUUAAGGGUGUAUUAGACGGCAAACUUUAUUUAGUUGAUUUUGCAAAAGAAGAGGCCGGUCUAGAUGCAUGCUUAAUAGCUAAGACUAGCAUGGGCUGGCUGUGGCAUCGCCGCUUAGCACAUGUGGGGAUGAAGAACCUUCACAAGCUUCUAAAGGGAGAACACGUGAUAGGUUUGACUAACGUGCAUUUCGAAAAAGAUAGACCUUGUGCAGCUUGUCAAGCAGGUAAACAAGUGGGAGGAGCGCAUCACAGCAAGAACGUGAUGACCACUUCAAGACCCCUGGAGCUGCUGCAUAUGGACCUCUUCGGACCUGUCGCCUAUCUGAGCAUAGGAGGGAGUAAGUAUGGUUUAGUUAUUGUUGAUGAUUUUUCCCGCUUCACUUGGGUGUUCUUUUUGCAGGAUAAGUCUGAAACCCAAGUGACCCUCAAGCGCUUCCUCAGGAGAGCUCAAAAUGAGUUUGAGCUCAAGGUGAAGAAGAUAAGGAGCGACAACGGGUCCGAAUUCAAGAACCUUCAAAUGGAGGAAUUCCUUGAAGAGGAAGGGAUCAAGCACGAGUUCUCCGCUCCCUACACACCACAGCAAAAUGGUGUGGUAGAGAGGAAGAACAGGACGCUAAUCGAUAUGGCGAGGACAAUGCUUGGAGAAUUCAAGACCCCCGAGUGUUUCUGGUCGGAAGCCGUGAACACGGCUUGCCACGCCAUCAACAGGGUCUACCUCCAUCGCCUCCUCAAGAAGACUUCGUAUGAGCUUCUAACCGGUAACAAACCCAAUGUAUCUUACUUUCGUGUAUUUGGGAGCAAGUGCUACAUUCUAGUGAAGAAAGGUAGAAAUUCUAAGUUUGCUCCCAAAGCUGUAGAAGGGUUUUUGUUAGGUUAUGACUCAAAUACAAAGGCGUAUAGAGUCUUCAACAAAUCAUUGGGUUUGGUUGAAGUCUCUAGCGACGUUGUAUUUGAUGAGACUAAUGGCUCUCCAAGAGAGCAAGUUGUUGAUUGUGAUGAUGUAGAUGAAGAAGAUGUUCCGACGGCCGCUAUACGGACCAUGGCGAUUGGAGAAGUACGGCCACAGGAACAAGAUGAACGAGAUCAACCUUCUUCCUCAACUAUGGUGCAUCCCCCAACCGAAGAUGACGAACAGGUACCUCAAGUGGAGGCGCUUGAUCAAGGGGGAGCACAAGAUGAUCAAGUGAUGGAGGAAGAAGCGCAACCGGCACCUCCAACCCAAGUUCGAGCGAUGAUUCAAAGGGAUCAUCCCGUCGAUCAAAUUCUGGGUGACAUUAGCAAGGGAGUAACUACUCGAUCUCGAUUAGUUAAUUUUUGUGAGCAUUACUCCUUUGUCUCUUCUAUUGAGCCUUUCAGGGUAGAGGAGGCCUUGCUAGAUCCGGAUUGGGUAUUGGCCAUGCAGGAGGAGCUCAACAACUUCAAGCGCAAUGAAGUUUGGACACUGGUGCCUCGUCCGAAGCAAAAUGUUGUGGGAACCAAGUGGGUGUUCCGCAACAAACAGGACGAGCACGGGGUGGUGACGAGGAACAAGGCUCGACUUGUGGCAAAAGGUUAUGCCCAAGUCGCAGGUUUGGACUUUGAGGAGACUUUCGCUCCUGUAGCUAGGCUAGAGUCCAUUCGUAUCUUGCUAGCAUAUGCCGCUCACCAUUCUUUCAGGUUGUACCAAAUGGAUGUGAAGAGCGCUUUCCUCAACGGGCCAAUCAAGGAGGAAGUGUACGUGGAGCAACCCCCUGGCUUCGAGGAUGAACGGUACCCCGACCACGUGUGUAAGCUCUCUAAGGCGCUCUAUGGACUUAAGCAAGCCCCAAGAGCAUGGUAUGAAUGCCUUAGAGACUUUUUAAUUGCUAAUGCUUUCAAGGUUGGGAAAGCCGAUCCAACUCUUUUUACAAAGACAUGUGAUGGUGAUUUGUUUGUGUGCCAAAUUUAUGUCGAUGACAUAAUAUUUGGUUCUACUAACCAAAAGUCUUGUGAAGAGUUUAGCAGGGUGAUGACACAGAAAUUCGAGAUGUCGAUGAUGGGCGAGUUGAACUACUUCCUUGGGUUCCAAGUGAAGCAACUCAAGGACGGCACCUUCAUCUCCCAAACGAAGUACACGCAAGAUCUGCUAAAGCGGUUUGGGAUGAAGGACGCCAAGCCCGCAAAGACUCCGAUGGGGACCGGCGGACACACCGACCUCAACAAAGGAGGUAAGUCCGUUGAUCAAAAAGCAUACCGGUCAAUGAUAGGUUCUUUGCUUUACUUAUGUGCUAGUAGACCGGAUAUUAUGCUUAGCGUAUGCAUGUGUGCUAGAUUUCAAUCCGAACCUAAGGAGUGUCACUUAGUGGCGGUGAAGCGAAUUCUUAGAUAUUUGGUUGCUACGCCUUGCUUCGGGCUCUGGUAUCCAAAGGGGUCUACCUUUGACUUAGUUGGAUACUCAGACUCCGACUAUGCUGGAUGUAAGGUCGAUAGGAAGAGUACAUCGGGGACGUGCCAAUUCUUAGGAAGGUCCCUGGUGUCAUGGAACUCUAAGAAACAAAUAUCCGUUGCCCUAUCCACCGCUGAGGCCGAGUACGUUGCCGCAGGUCAGUGUUGCGCGCAACUACUUUGGAUGAGGCAAACCCUCCGGGACUUUGGCUACAAUCUGAGCAAAGUCCCACUCCUAUGUGACAAUGAGAGUGCUAUCCGCAUGGCGGAGAAUCCUGUUGAGCACAGCCGCACAAAGCACAUAGACAUCCGGCAUCACUUUUUGAGAGACCACCAGCAAAAGGGAGAUAUCGAAGUGUUUCAUGUUAGCACCGAGAACCAGCUAGCCGAUAUCUUCACUAAGCCUCUAGAUGAGAAGACCUUUUGCAGGUUGCGUAGUGAGCUAAAUGUCAUAGAUUCGCGGAACCUGGAUUGAAUUGUAGCAUACAUGUACUUAUGCUUUUGAUCAUGUUCCUUUUUGCAUUUUGUUGCUUAUUAUGGUGCUCAAGUUGUACCAACACUCCCUGGACCUCACAAGUCCGUUGCAAAGUGAUGCACAUGUUUAGGGGGAGAUGUGUUACAACUUGACCCUUUGAGACUAACCAUGUGCUUGAGUUUGAUAAUUUAGUCUCGAAGGAGGAUUGAAAGGGAAAAGGUGGACUUGGACCAUGAAAGACUUCCACUGCACUCCGAUGAGAGGGUAACUAAUUCCAAGUUCAUCUCAUGAAAUCUUAUUGCCAUUUGCUCUUAAUUGAAGACUUUGGUGAGGCAAUGGGGUUAAAAGGCCAAGAUUGAUCCCGUUUUGGUGCUUCAUGCCAAAGGGGGAGAAAAUAAAGGCCAAAGUGAUAAAUGGAUCAGCUACCACUUGAGAGAUUUUGAAAAUAGUAGAAUAGAGUUUUUGUUGUGUCAAAAGGCUUUUAUUAUCUCGUAUUGUCUCUAUUGUCAAAAGUUGGCUUCUUGUGGGGAGAAGUGUUGAUUAUGGGAAAUAGGGGGAGUUUUUGAAAUCUUUGAUCAAUCUCUUUUGGAAUGACUCUCUUUAUGCCUCAACAUGUGUGUUUGACAUAGAAAUAGAAAUUUGAGUUUGAUUUGCAAAAACAAACCAAGUGGUGGCAAAUGAUGAUCCAUAUAUGCCAAAAUUGAAUCAAAACCAAUUUGAGCUUUUAUUUGAAGUGAUUUUGCACUUGUUCUAGUUGCUUUAUGUUGUGUUGGCAUAAAUCACCAAAAAGGGGGAGAUUGAAAGGGAAAUGUGCCCUUGGGCCAUUUCUAAGUAUUUUGGUGAUUGAGUGUCAACACAAGUGCUUAAAUGUGAAUCAAUACCCAUGGAUGAACAAAGUGCAAAUCUAGAGCAAAGGUAUGUUUCUAAGUCUUAGUACAUUGGUUUUGUGUACUAAUAUACUUGUCUAAGUAUUAGAAACAGGAAGAAGAAGAAGAGAAGAAAGUUGGCUGUGUACAGCCAACAGGCUGUUUCGGUCUGGGGCACCGGACUGUCCGGUGGUGCACCGGACAGUGUCCGGUGUGCCAGGCUAUCUCGGCCGAAGAGGCCGCUCUCGGGAAUUUGCUGACGGCGUACGGCUAAAAUUCACCGGACUGUCCGGUGUGCACCGGACUGUCCGGUGAGCCAACGGUCGGCCAGGACCAACGGUCGGCCGCGCGAUCAGCGCAGGACACGUGGCCGAGCCAACGGUCGGAAGGGGGCACCGGACUGUCCGGUGUGCACCGGACAUGUCCGGUGCGCCAACGGCUCCCGCAUCUGCAACGGUCGGCUUCGCCAUUUAAGGAAAGGAAUCGGGCACCGGACACUGUCCGGUGUGCACCGGACUGUCCGGUGCGCCCGACGACAGAAGGCAAAGAUGGCCUUCCAGAUUUGUUCUCAACGGCUCCUAGCUGCCUUGGGGCUAUAAAAGGGACCCCUAGGCGCAUGGAGGAUAACACCAAGCAACUCUUGAGCAUUCUUGAUCAUCCACACUCAGUCUUUGCGCAUCCGUUUGUGAUUCUAAGUGAUUCGAGCUCUGUUCUUGUGAGAAACUGUGAGAUAGUCUUUGAGCUCGAAUCUUGGCCGUGUGUGUGCGCGUUUCGCUGUGGAUUUGUGUGUGUUGCUUCCCUCCCUUACUCCGUGCUUCUUUGUGAAUCUUAAGUGUAAGGGCGAGAGACUCCAAUUUGUGGAGAUUCCUCGCAAGUGGGAUAAAGAUAAGCAAGGCAAAAUACUGUGGUAUUCAAGUGGGUCUUUGGACCGCUUGAGAGGGGUUGAUUGCAACCCUCGUCCGUUGGGACGCCACAACGUGGAGUAGGCAAGUUUUGUACUUGGCCGAACCACGGGAUAAAUCACCGUGUCUCCUCUGUGUUGAAUUCUCUGUGAUUGUCGUAUUGUGCAAGAUCUUCUCUUUAGCCACUUGGAAAUUAUUGUGCUAACCUCUAACAAGUUUUUGUGGCUAUAAGUUAAGUUUUUACAGGAUCACCUAUUCACCCCCCCCUCUAGGUGCUCUCAGGGACUUCAUGACCACAUGCAACUACUGCCUUUCCGACUGUUCCGACGGUAGCCGCAGCCUCGGCGACGAGGACUGCGGCCCAAGCCGCGAAUGUUUCCACGUCGAUCUAGGGGGUCCCUCCGAAGGCAACCAUCUCGGUAUGCCAGAGAACGGUGAUCUCCCUAGGCCUGCGCCUCGCGUUGACAUCCUACGGGAGCUAGCUGUGGUCCUCAUUCAGGCGGGGGGCCAUGACCCACAGCUCGAGCAAAUCCGCGGGGUGCAGGCCAGGCUCGACGAGGGAGCAGGAGCGCUUGAGCCGAUCCGCCUGGACGUCGGGCAGGAAUGGGCGGGCCAACCUCUGGCGGAGAAAUGCGUCAUCUACCCCAGGGCUUCCAGCACCGCAUCGCCGACAAUGUCAGGAUGAGGCCGCCACCCGCUUCCAGUGGGGUCGGCCAGAACCUGGUCGCGGCGGCAAUGCUUCUCCACGCGAUGCCGGAGCCAUCGACCACCGAGGGGCGGCGAAUCCAGGGAGAACUCAAGAAUCUCCUGGAGGGCGCCGCGGUCCAGCGGGCCGAAAGCUCCGCCUCCCGAAGGCAGGGGCACCCCUCGGAACAUCAUGCCGCGACUUCCCGAUUCAUGCAGGAAGCCUCAGUCCACACCGGGCGCACGCGCAACACAGCGCCUGCGGCCUCGGGUCGCCCCGGCAACGAGCACCAUCACCACGACCGUCGGGCCCACCUCGACGAGAGGGUGCGCCGAGGCUACCACCCCAGGCGUGGGGGACGCUACAACAGCGGGGAGGAUCAGAGUCCCUCGCCCGAACCACCCGGUCCGCAGGCUUUCAGCCGGGCCAUACGACGGGCGCCGUUCUCGACCCGGUUCCGACCCCCGACUACUAUCACAAAGUACUCGGGGGAGACGAGACCGGAGCUGUGGCUCGCGGACUACCGGCUGGCCUGCCAACUGGGUGGAACAGACGAUGACAACCUCAUCAUCCGCAACCUCCCCCUGUUCCUCUCCGACACCGCUCGCGCCUGGUUGGAGCACCUGCCUCCGGGGCAGAUCUCCAACUGGGACGACCUGGUCCAAGCCUUCGCCGACAAUUUCCAGGGCACGUACGUGCACCCUGGGAAUUCCUGGGACCUCCGAAGCUGCCGACAGCAGCCGGGAGAGUCUCUCCGGGACUACAUCCGACGAUUCUUGAAGCAGCGCACCGAGCUGCCCAACAUCACCGACUCGGAUGUCAUCGGCGCGUUCCUCGCCGGCACCACCUGCCGCGACCUGGUGAGCAAGUUGGGUCGCAAGACCCCCACCAGGGCGAGCGAGCUGAUGGACAUCGCCACCAAGUUCGCCUCUAGCCAGGAGGCGGUCGAGGCUAUCUUCCGGAAGGAUAAGCAGCCCCAGGGCCGCCCACCGGAAGAUGCCCCCGAGGCGUCAACUCAGCGCGGCACCAAGAAGAAGGGCAAGAAGAAGUCGCAAGCGAAACGCGACGCCGCCGACGUGGACCUUGUCGCUGCCGCCGAGUACAAGAACCCUCGGAAACCCCCCGGAGGUGCCAACCUCUUCGACAAGAUGCUCAAGGAGCCGUGCCCCUAUCACCAAGGGCCCGUCAAGCACACCCUUGAGGAGUGCGCCAUGCUUCGGCGCCACUUCCACAGGGCCGAGCCACCCGCGGAGGGUGGCAGGGCUCGCGACGACGACAAGAAGGAAGAUCACCAGGCAGGAGAGUUCCCCGAGGUCCGCGACUGCUUCAUGAUCUACGGUGGGCAAGCGGCGAACGCCUCGGCUCGGCACCGUAAGCAAGAGCGUCGGGAGGUCUGUUCGGUGAAGGUGGCGGCGCCAGUCUACCUAGACUGGUCUGACAAGCCCAUCACCUUCGACCAAGCCGACCACCCCGACCACGUGCCGAGCCCGGGGAAAUACCCGCUCGUUGUCGACCCCGUCAUCGGCGACGUCAGGCUCACCAAGGUCCUCAUGGACGGAGGCAGCAGCCUCAACAUCAUCUACGCCGAGACCCUCGGGCUCCUGCGUGUCGAUCUGUCCUCGGUCCGGGCAGGCGCUGCGCCUUUCCAUGGGAUCAUCCCCGGGAAGCGCGUCCAGCCCCUCGGACAACUCGACCUUCCCGUCUGCUUCGGAACACCCUCCAACUUCCGAAGGGAGACCCUGACGUUCGAGGUGGUCGGGUUCCGAGGAACCUACCACGCGGUACUGGGAAGGCCAUGCUAUGCGAAGUUCAUGGUCGUCCCCAACUACACCUACCUCAAGCUCAAGAUGUCGGGCCCCAACGGGGUCAUCACCGUCGGCCCCACAUACAAACACACGUUCGAAUGCGACGUGGAGUGCGUGGAGUACGCCGAGGCCCUCAUCGCCGACCUGGAGAGCCUCUCUAAGGAGGUGCCGGACGUGAAGCGUCAUGCCGGCAACUUUGAGCCAGCGGAGACGGUUAAGUCCGUCCCCCUCGACCCCAGCAGCGACGCCUCCAAGCAGAUCCGGAUCGGCUCCGAGCUCGAUCCCAAAUAGGAAGCAGUGCUCGUCGACUUUCUCCGCGCGACUGCCGACGUCUUCGCGUGGAGUCCCUCGGACAUGCCUGGCAUACCGAGGGAUGUCGCCGAGCACUCGCUAGACAUCCGAGCCGGAGCCCGACCCGUCAAGCAGCCUCUGCGCCGAUUCGACGAAGAGAAGCGCAGAGCCAUAGGCGAGGAGAUCCACAAGCUAAUGGCAGCAGGGUUCAUCAAAGAGGUAUUCCAUCCCGAAUGGCUUGCCAACCCUGUGCUUGUGAGAAAGAAAGGAGGGAAAUGGCAGAUGUGUGUAGACUACACUGGUCUAAACAAAGCAUGUCCGAAGGUUCCCUACCCUCUGCCUCGCAUCGAUCAAAUCGUGGAUUCCACUGCUGGGUGCGAAACCCUGUCUUUCCUCGAUGCCUACUCCGGGUAUCACCAAAUCAGGAUGAAGGAGUCCGACCAGCUCGCGACUUCUUUCAUCACGCCCUUCGGCAUGUACUGCUAUGUCACCAUGCCGUUCGGCUUGAGGAAUGCGGGCGCGACGUACCAGCGGUGCAUGAACCAUGUGUUCGGCCAACACAUUGGCCGGACGGUCGAGGCCUACGUCGAUGACAUCGUAGUCAAGACGAGGAAAGCCUCUGACCUCCUUUCCGACCUUGAAGUGACAUUCCGAUGUCUCAAGGCGAAAGGCGUGAAGCUCAAUCCCGAAAAGUGUGUCUUCGGGGUGCCCCGAGGCAUGCUCUUGGGGUUCAUCGUCUUCGAGCGGGGCAUCGAAGCCAACCCAGAGAAGAUCGCAGCCAUCACCAGCAUGGGGCCCAUCAAGGACUUAAAAGGCAUACAGAGAGUCAUGGGAUGUCUCGCGGCUCUGAGCCGCUUCAUCUCACGCCUCGGCGAAAGAGGUCUACCUUUGUACCGCCUCUUAAGGAAGGCCGAGUGCUUCACUUGGACCCCUGAGGCCGAGGAAGCCCUCGGGAACCUGAAGGCGCUCCUCACGAAUGCGCCUAUCUUGGUGCCCCCAGCUGCCGGAGAAGCCCUCCUGAUCUACGUCGCCGCGACCACUCAGGUGGUUAGCGCCGCGAUUGUGGUCGAGAGGCAAGAAGAGGGGCAUGCAUUGCCCGUUGAGAGGCCAGUCUACUUCGUCAGCGAGGUACUGUCCGAGACCAAGAUUUGCUACCCACAAGUUCAGAAGCUGCUGUACGCGGUGAUCCUGACGCGGCGGAAGCUGCGACACUACUUCGAGUCUCAUCCGGUAACUGUGGUGUCAUCCUUCCCCCUAGGGGAGAUCAUCCAGUGCCGAGAGGCCUCGGGUAGAAUCGCAAAGUGGGCGGUGGAAAUCAUGGGCGAAGCAAUCUCGUUCGCCCCUCGGAAGGCCAUCAAGUCCCAGGUCCUGGCGGACUUCGUGGCUGAAUGGGUCGACACCCAGCUCCCAACAGCUCCGAUCCAGCCAGAGCUUUGGACCAUGUUCUUUGAUGGGUCGUUGAUGAAGACAGGAGCCGGCGCAGGCCUACUCUUCAUCUCGCCCCUCGGGAAGCACCUACGCUACGUGCUACGCCUCCAUUUCCCGGCGUCCAACAAUGUGACUGAGUACGAGGCUCUGGUCAACGGGUUGCGGAUCGCCAUCGAGCUAGGGGUCCGAUGCCUCGACGCUCACGGUGACUCGCAGCUCGUCAUCGACCGAGUCAUGAAGAACUCCCACUGCCGCGACCCAAAGAUGGAGGCCUACUGCGAUGAGGUUUGGCGCCUGGAAGACAAAUUCUACGGGCUCGAGCUCAACCACAUCGCCCGGCGCUACAACGAGACUGCGGACGAGCUGGCUAAAAUAGCCUCGGGGCGAACAACGGUUCCCCCGGACGUCUUCUCCCGAGACCUGCAUCAACCCUCCAUCAAGAUCGACGACACGCCCGAGCCCAAGGCACCCUCGGCCCAGCCCGAGGUACCCUCGGCUCAGUCCGAGGCAUCUUCAGCACGACCCGAGGCACCCUCGGUCCGGCCCGAGCCACCCUCGGUUCAGCCCGAGGCACCCUCGGCACCCGAGGGUGAGGCACUGCGCGUCGAGGAGGAGCGAAGCGGGGGCACGCCUAAUCAAAACUGGCGGACCCCGCAUCUGCAAUAUCUCCACCGUGGAGAGCUACCCCUCGACCGAGCCGAAGCUCGGCGGUUGGCGCGGCGUGCCAAGUCGUUCGUCUUGCUGGGAGAUGAGAAGGAGCUCUACCACCGCAGCCCCUCGGGCAUCCUCCAGUGAUGCAUCUCCAUCACCGAAGGUCAGGAACUCCUACGAGAGAUACACUCGGGGGCUUGCGGCCAUCACGCAGCACCUCGAGCCCUUGUCGGAAACACUUUCCGGCAAGGUUUCUACUGGCCGACAGCGGUGGCCGACGCCACUAGAAUUGUCCGCACCUGCGAAGGGUGUCAGUUCUACGCAAGGCAGACCCACCUACCUGCUCAGGCUCUGCAAACCAUACCCAUCACCUGGCCUUUUGCCGUGUGGGGUCUGGACCUCGUCGGCCCCUUGCAGAAGGCACCCGGGGGCUACACGCACCUGUUGGUCGCCAUCGACAAAUUCUCCAAGUGGAUCGAGGUCCGACCCCUAAACAGCAUCAGGUCUGAGCAGGCGGUGGCAUUCUUCACCAACAUCAUCCAUCGUUUCGGGGUCCCGAACUCCAUCAUCACCGACAACGACACCCAGUUCACCGGCAGAAAGUUCCUGGACUUCUGCGAGGACCACCACAUCCGGGUGGACUGGGCCGCCGUGGCUCACCCCAUGACGAAUGGGCAAGUAGAGCGUGCCAACGACAUGAUUCUACAAGGACUCAAGCCUCGGAUCUACAAUGACCUCAACAAGUUCGGCAAGCGAUGGAUGAAGGAACUCCCCUCGGUGGUCUGGAGCCUGAGGACAACGCCGAGCCGAGCCACGGGCUUCACGCCGUUCUUUCUAGUCUAUGGGGCCGAGGCCAUCUUGCCCACAGACUUAGAAUACGGUUCCCCGAGGACGAGGGCCUAUGCUGACCAAAGCAACCAAGCUAGUCGAGAAGACUCGCUGGACCAGCUGGAACAGGCUCGGGACAAGGCCUUACUACACUCGGCGCGGUACCAGCAGUCCCUGCGACGCUACCACGCCCGAGGGGUCCGGACCCGAGACCUCCAGGCGGGCGACCUGGUGCUUCGGCUGCGACAAGACGCCCGAGGGCGGCACAAGCUCACGCCCCCCUGGGAGGGGCCGUUCAUCAUCGCCAAAGUUCUGAAGCCCGAAACGUACAAGCUGGCCAACAGUCAAGGCGAGGUCUACAGCAACGCUUGGAACAUCCAACAGCUACGUCGCUUCUACCCUUAAGAUGUUUUCAAGUUGUUCAUAUACCUCGCUCCCACGCAAAGUUUAGUCAUCAAGGAAGGGUCGGCUUGCCUCGGCAAAGCCCGACCCUCCCUCGGGGGCUAAAAGGGGGGAACCCCCUCUGCGUCGAAUUUUUUCCUCGAAAAAAAGAUCCUUUCUGCCAGAAUAUCUUUCGUGCUUUUCGACUACUUCGAAAGUGGAUCAUGAAAACGACGGAGUACACGUAAGCAGCCAAGGCUGACCGAGCCGAGGGACUCCUACGCCUCCGGGAUACGGAUACCUCAUUCAUCACCUUCCGCGAGAAGCAACUCUCGCCCACAUAGACAACUCUGUUACCGACGAAAAAGUCCAGAUACUCGAAACAAGAGGAAAAGAAACGCACCUUUACAACACGGCGAGGGUGUGUUUGGGCCUCGGCGGCCGUAGAAAACACACACUACAAGAUAAUCCGACCCUGCAGGCUCGGAUCUGGACAGUUGAAGGGAGCCGCAGCACCCUCGGCGUCGACAACACCUUCGGCGAGGUCCGACCUAGCCUCGGACGGCAACACGGUCCGAGGAUCUCCACUCUGAAGGACGACGUCAUCACCACGCCCGGGCCAUCGCCGCCAGGGUCUUCUCCGAGAAUCCGGCCCGAGUAGGCGGCUCGGCUGGUACCCCGAGGCCUCGGCCAGCUGUCCCCCGAGGACAUCAGCCUGACCCGAGGCCUCGGAAGAUCAACUCCGGCGUUGGUCCCGCUAACGGACGACCCGGCCAGGCUCCGGCCGACCAAGUCUUCUUUUCAAGCCAACUCUGCCUUUGUCCAUGCUGACACCGCUACCCCUGGCUUCGGCUCAUCGAAGAGCGGCCGAGGGGUUCCUUUAACUAAGCAAGAGAAGCCUCGGACAGCAAGGCCGACCGAGCCGAGGGACUCCUACGCCUCCGGGAUACGGAUACCUCACUCGUCACCUUUGCACAGGGCGACUCACGCUUGGUGAAGCGGUUCAGACAACCAACAGGCGACUCUUAGUGCUCGAAAAUGAGGAAAAAACACAGCCCCGUGCCAAAAAUACAUACAUGUUCAGGCCUCGACAGCCACAAUGAACAAAAACACUGGCAUUCAAAGUGCCAUUACAAACGGAACUCUGGUUCCACCUCCGCAGGUACGAACAACCCCACUCGAUGGGGGGGCCUGCGGAGCAAUAGAAGACCGACGAACGGCGCGCCGUCACCCGCUCCAGCAAUGACAACGACGAUGACUUCUGCUCUGGGGGGCCAAACAGCGGCAACGAUGACCUCAGGGCGGAUGCUGCUGCCGGGAGGCCCCCGCCCAUGCCCAAACUCAUGAGGCAAGGACGGGUAGAAGGCCAUAGAGUUGGAGGUCGGUCCGUAGGCGGCCCCGGCUAUCUCGUCGGCGGAAGAACCUCUUCCAACUGCCGUGGCGGGAGCCGGCACCGAGAGCGGCUCCAAAGCCACUCGGGUCCGAGAGCCAGGCACGCGGCAGCUGCCAGCGCCACGGACGACAACCGCCCUUCCCCCCGAUCACUGAGGGAAGGAGCGGGCCACCGCCCACGCAGGGGCCGACCCCAACUCGGCACACUCCCCUCCCCAGCCCUGGUGAUGAAAAUCCUUGAGGCUGAGGGAGGGGCAGAGGCCGCAGCCUGGCUUGCUUUCCCCCGCCAUCGAACUGGAGGUCACCAUCUUGGGUGACCGCCGGCGGAGGGGUGCAACCGGGCUGCAUGAUGAAAAUCCUUGAAGCCGAACGAUGGCUGAAAGGUACCAACUCCCACGGAGUUGCGUUCCCCCAACGACAAGGCGGAAGGACUGCAGGCAUCCCCCAUCAGGGGGUUCGGAAGGUGGAAAGACACGAUGCAUAAGGGAGCACGAAGACAUGGUCGCCUUUCAAGGGGGUCACCCUCCAUUUAAAGGCGACUCUCCCUACUUGCGUCCCCAGCCGUCGCAGGCUGAGUCUUCUCUAACACGUUCCAAGGUCCUCCCCCUACGACGCGGGGGCUGGGUCCCACACGUCAUGCAAUCCGACCUAGAGCAGAAGAAGCCAAACCGCCGCGCGCGGUGCAUGCAACCGCCCAGCGGUUACAAGCGGCCCUCCAUUUUUGCCCCGACCAGCGGGCGAAAGGGCGGGCAGCCAUGCAGGCGGCAUGCAACCGCGCCAAGUGGGCGCACUUCUCCGACUUCCAACACGCCCAGCAUGGAGGCCCAGGCCCACGCGUCAUGCAACCGGCGCGCCGGAUGCUGCGUGCGAGCAACUGCACCGCCACCCACGCCACUGCCACGCCUCCUCGACUGCGGAACCAGUACCGCGACUCGAGGCAACCCUACGCACGACCCAGCAGCACCAGCCUGGCGCGACGGUCAAUGCGGCCAAAAAUGGGCCGGCAGUAAUGGCGGUGGCAGGCGGGCAGGAGCAGCGGUCACGUCGUCAGCCAGGCAUACGUCCCACCCGGAGGCAGCGAGAGAACCCUCUCUCACGGCGUGAAGACGACGUGCCCGUGUUCCGUUCCUCGAACGGCUCGCGCACGCGCAAUGGCCGCCCCGCGAACCGCACGCCCCGUCGCAUUAACUCCGCGGCGGGACAGGCGGCGCCUCUGGCAGGAGAAGCAAGCGACGCUUCGCCUUCGCCAUAAUGACCGCAUCAAAAAAGGUACGCCAUGUCAUUCGAUUUCGAAUCCUUUUCCUUUUCCUCUUUCUCUCUCUUACGACAGGGACCGGGAAAGGGGGAUACCCCGAAAAGGAUCCUUCUCCGUGAAGGAACCAGGCUCCAAGCCUCCCUACUAAUCAGAGGUUCGAAGGCUGGCCCCUCGGAGGGGUUCAACAGCCGCCUCAGAGCGCGUGGGCUCCACACCCACUACUGGUCAGAGGUUCGAAGGCCGGCCCCUCGAAGGGUUCAAAGACCGCCUCAGGCUACUCGGGCUCCGCGCCCACUACUGAUCAGGGGUUCGAAGGCUGGCCCUCGAAGGGUUCACAGCCACCUCAGACGCAGAGCGAGGGAUGACCAUGGGUACGUUCGAUACAUAACCAAGGCUCGGGCUACGCUCCCGAGGUACCCUAGGACAUUUCCGAGACCAGCGGGAACGAUCUUGUAACGGAAUCCCAUCAGAGGGAGGCAUCAAGCCCUCGGACCCCGUCGACAGGGGACCGGGUCCGGCAGAUCACCCGCAGGUACUUUUGGGCGCGCCUCUGGGCCUCUAGCCGACCCCUAGCAAAUGGGGCACGGACAUCCGCUCGGAUUACCCGCCAGCAGCUCACUGGAGACACCAUGUUCGGCGCCCACCGAGGGCAGCAUGGCGCUUUCCCCCCUUCUCCUUUCGGAAAGGCGACGCAGGGGCGUAUGUAAAAAAGUCGAGUCUGUCCCUGAUCGUCCUCUCGCCCUGUGCAGAGGCUCGAGGGCUGCUCUCGCGAACCCGGCUCCGGCCAAACCGUUGACAGCGUCAAUAAACCAGCCCGAGAAUUUGGGACCCGACCGUGCACCCGGGCUACGACCAGCUCGCAUGAGGGAACGACCAGACCAGCCAAAGCAUUGCGCGAGGCAUUAAGACAUCGGAGGAGUCAAACCACUCCUCCGAGGCCUCGGGGGCUACACCCGGCGGGUGCGCUCGCGCGCACCCACCGGAACAAAACGCAACCGAGAAAGGCUGGUCCCCUUGCAAAAAAGUGCGACAAAAGCCUCCAAGCGAGUGUUAACACUCCCUUCGAGGCUCGGGGGCUACUGUCGGGGACCAUAAUUAGGGGUACCCUCAAGGCUCCUAAUUCUCAGCUGGUAACCCCCAUCAACACAAAGCUGCAAAGGCCUGAUGGGUGCGAUUAAGUCAGGGAUCGGUCCAUUCGCGGGACUCGAUCACGCCUCGCCCGAGCCUAGCCUCGGGCAAGGGCAGCCGACCCCGGAGGAUCUCCGUCUCGCCCGAGGCCCCCCUCCAGCGACGAACAUACUUUCGGCUUGCUCGAGGCCCUGUCUUCGCCAAGAAGCAACCCUGACCGAAUCGUCGCGCCGACCGACCAAAUCACAGGAGCAUUUAAUGCAAAGGUGGGCUGACACCUUUAUCCUGACGCGCGCCCUUCUGUCGACAGAGCCGAAGUGACCGCAGUCACUUCGCCGCUCCACUGACCGACCUAACAGAAGGGCAGCGCUGCCUGCGUCGCACCGACUGCAGUGCCACUUGACAGAGUGAGGCUGACAGGCAGUCAGGCCCGACCUCAGGCACCAUAGGAAACUCCGCUCCGCCCGACCCAGGGCUCGGACUUGGGCUAAGCCCCGGAAGACGACGAACUCCGCUCCGCCCGACCCAGGGCUCAGACUCGGGCUAAGCCCCGGAAGACGGCGAACUCCGCUCCGCCCGACCCAGGGCUCAGACUGGGGCUAAGCCCCGGAAGACGGCGAACUCCGCUCCGCCCGACCCAGGGCUCGGACUCGGGCUAAGCCCCGGAAGACGGCGAACUCCGCUCCGCCCGACCCAGGGCUCGGACUUGGGCUGAGCCCCGGAAGACGGCGAACUCCGCACCGCCUGACCCAGGGCUCGGCCUUGGGCUAAGCCUCGGAAGACGGCGAACUCCGCUCCGCCCGACCUAGGGCUUGGACUUGGGCUAAGCCCCGGAAGACGACGAACUCCGCACCGCCCGACCCAGGGCUCGGACUUGGGCUCAGCCCCAGAAGACGACGAACUCCGCUUCGCCCGACCCCAGGGCUCGGACUCAGCCCUGGCCUCAGCCGACGGUCUCCGCCUUGCCCGACCCAGGGGCUCGGACUCGACCACAGCCACGGAAGAUAGACUCGACCUCGACCUCGGAGGAGCCUCCACAUCGCCCAACCUAGGGCACGGACCGACCACGUCGACAGGAAGCGCCAUCAUUACCUUACCCCAAGCUGACUCAGGCUACGGGGAACAAGACCGACGUCCCAUCUGGCUCGCUCUGCCAGAUAGGCAAUGAUGGCGCCCCGCACGCUCUGUGACGACGGCGGCUCUCAGCCCCCUUACGGAAGCAAGAGGACGUCAGCAAGGACUCGACAGCCUCGACAGCUGUCCUUCCGCCAGGCUCCAGCGCUCCUUCGACGGCCACGACACCACACGAACCGGGUGCCAAAACCUCUCCGGCUGCCACGACGGCGUGUACUUAGGGCGCUAGCUCUCCUCCGCUAGACACGUAGCACUUUGCUACACCCCCCAUUGUACACCUGGAUCCUCCCCUUACGCCUAUAAAAGGAAGGACCAGGGCCCUCUUACAGAGGGUUGGCCGCGCGGGGACGAGGACGAGACAGGCGCUCGCGUGAGGCCGCUCGCUCCCUCUCCCACGUGGACGCUUGUAACCCCCUACUGCAAGCGCACCCGACCUGGGCGUGGGACGAACACGAAGGCCGCGGGAUUUCCACCUCUCUCACGCCUGUCUCCGGCCACCUUUCUCCCCCCUUCGCGCUCGGCCUUGCGCCGACCCAUCUGGGCUGGGGCACGCGACAACAUUUCACUCGUCGGCCCAGGGACCCCCCGGUCUCGAAACGCCGACAGGUAUGUGGAGUGAUAAAAUGAGGCACCAUCUAACCUCACUCCACGAAAGCAUAUGGGAUAUUGUUGAGUUUGGAGCGCAGGCACCGAAGGUGGGGGACAAGGACUAUGACUCGGACGAGGUUGCCCAAAUUAGGCACUUUAACUCCCAAGCCACAUCUAUGCUCCCCGCCUCCUUGUGUCGAGAGGAGUAUAACAAGGUGCAAGGGUUAAAGAGCACCAAAGAAAUUUGGGACGUCCUCAAGACCGCACACAAAGGGGACAAGGUGACCAAGAUCACCAAGCGGGAAACGAUCGAGGGGGAGCUCGGUCGAUUCGUCAUCAACAAAGGAGAAGAGCCACAAGCAAUGUACAACCGACUAAAAACAAUGGUGAACCAAGUGCGCAACCUCGGGAUCACCAAAUGGGAUGACCAUGAGAUGGUCAAGGUUAUUCUUAGAUCCCUCGUAUUUCGUAAUCCUACUCAAGUUCAAUUAAUACGUGGGGAUCCUAGAUAUAGACUAAUGUCUCCCGAGCAAGUGAUUGGCAAGUUUGUGAGCUUUGAACUUAUGAUCAAAGACUCCAAACACAUUGUCAACUUAGAGCAAGGCGCCACCUCCACACCCGAGGUGCAACCCAUCGCAUUCAAAGUGACGGAAGAAGAGAAGGAGUCUACAUCAAGUAGGCUUCCAAUCGACGCCUCCAAGCUCGACAACGAGGAAAUGACACUCAUCGUCAAGAGCUUCCGCCAAAUCCUCAAGCAAAGGAGGGGAAAGAACUAUAAGUCCCACUCCAAGAAGGUGUGCUACCAGUGUGGUAAGUCCGGUCACUUCAUUGCUAAAUGUCCAAUUUCUAGUGAAAGUGACAGGGACGACGACAAGAAGGGGAAGAAGAAAGAAAAGAAGAGGUACUACAAGAAGAAGGGCAGUGAUGCCCACAUAUGUUGGGAAUGGGACUCCGAUGAGAGCUCCACCGACUCCUCCUCCGACGAGGACGCCACCAACAUCGCUGUCAACAAGGGCCUCCUCUUCCCCAACGUCGGCCACAAGUGUCUAAUGGCCAAGGACGGCAAGAAAAAGAAGGUACACUCUAGAGCCACCCCAAAAUAUACAACAUCUAGUGAUGAGGGUAGCUCAAGUGAUAGUGAAGACAAUUUAAUGUCUUUUUUUGCCAACCUUAGCAUGGACCAAAAGAAGAAAUUGAAUGAAUUAAUAGAAGCUAUUAAUGAGAAGGAUGAACUCUUGGAUAGCCAAGAGGACUUCCUCAUUAAAGAAAACAAAAAAAUUGUUAAGUUGAAAAAUGAUUAUGCUCAGGAAGUAGAAAAAUGUGAAAACCUAUCUAAAGAGCUUAGCAUUUGCUAUGAUUCAAUUUCUAGCCUUAGAAAUGAAAAUGCUAGUUUAAAUUCUAAGGUUAAAGAAUUAAAUGUUUGCAAUGAUUCUAUUUCCUGUCUUAGAAAUUGUUGGUCACUUGUUCUCAAAUGCUGAGUUAAGAACAAGGCAACACAAAUGUUAAUGGUUAAAGACCUUCGUCUUUCGAAGCAUUAUUUCCCUUAGGGUAUAAUGAUCUUCAGACGAAGGUCAUGAAGGGCAUAUCUUCGUCAUCUCAAUAUACAAAAAUAUAGGCAAGGACGUACAAAACAUAGAAAGACCAUGAUUAAUCAUAUUAAAUCAUUAAAUCAUGUAUAUAUUGACAUUAUAUAAUAAUGAACAAACAUUAAUGAUAUUAAGUUACAUUAGUACCUUCGGCUUGACAGAAGGUAAAAGUUCGAGGGUUACGUGCGAGCGAUUACAAGUCAGCGUGAACAGUACGGUGUUACUGUUCAUCUAUUUAUAGGCACAGGACGCAGCCUGGGUAAAAUUACAUUCAUAUCCCUAACACUUACUAUUAGCUAAAAGGUAAGCUGUCGAGGACUAAGUAGUCUUUUCCCUUUUAAGUCGGUUUCAUUCUCCAUCGUCAUCUUUGCGCUAAGCCGAAGCUUCUCCAUCCAUAGCUUCGGAACUGGUCCAUCCUUCUUCCAGGUCACGCCUUUCAUACUAUGUACACCUUCAUCUCAAAGCCAAAGCCUCAUGUGACAAUAUACUAUACUGGAAGAUAUGUUAGUCGUGUUUUUGAGGACCUUCGAAAGACGAAGGCCCCCAACAGUAGCCCCUCGCAGUAUUAAUUUGUUCUUGUAUCUUAACGAAUUCAGACUGUGACGUGAACGAAGGCCUUUAGCCGAAGGUCCGAAAAAACACUUUCCCUUCGCUAGAAUAGCGAAAGUCAAUGACAAAUGGGGCCCGCCAAGUUGCAAUGCACGAGGCAUAUAAAUAUAAACCCAUAACGAUAACAUCUGCUGCGCCAUUUCAAUUGUUUGUGUUGUUUUCUCAAGUUUUAGAUUUCUUGCUGUCACAUUUCACUUGUUUUGUGAGCUUCGGCAUUUGCACAAGUGUUCGCUAUACGUCUAAAGAGAAUAUGUCUGAGGAGAAGAAGAUUGACCCUGCUCUUACUGGGUUUUACGAAGCUAUGGAAAAAAUAAACAUAGAGAAGAUUACAAACGAAAUAAUGGCUGAUUUGUCUGAAGAUUCUAACGAUAGUGAUGACUAUGAUGUGGAAAGUGAAGACGAAGAUGCGGAAAAUCGGCCCUGGCGACCAAGCCACAGCAUCUUCGGAAAAUCAUCCAUUAAGCAGAGCCAAAUUGACGCUAUGAAAGGGAACUAUUUCUGAGAUAUUUCAAUUGUGAGAGCUGGAGGAGAUAGUGCUGCACCUGCUCUCGAAGAGAAUGAGGUGGUUGUUUAUAAGAGUUUUAUGAAGGCUGGGCUUCGGUUCCUAUUGAGCAAAUUUCUGGUUGAGGUGUUGAAGACCUUCGAGAUUUUCCUGCAUCAAAUUACUCCCGAAGCCAUUGUUAGGAUGGGGGUUUUUAUUUGGGCCGUGAGAAGCCAAGGGAUGGAACCAAGCGCAAAAUGCUUCUGCAAUAUGCACGAGCUGCUGUACGAGAUGAAGGCUACUGGCAAGGAUCAAUAUCACAACAAUUUUGGUUGCUACGGCUUCGUGCCCUGCGCUGAUGUAAGUUAUCCGGUCCCAACAUUCCGAAAAAGGUGGCCUGGGGCCUGGAUGGAAGAAUGGUUCUAUGUUGAAAAUAAUUUAACUGAGAGGGAAGAUAUAAAAGGAAUUAUUCAACGUCCCAUCUGGUCUCGCUUCGGCAUCAGGAGGCCAGCCACCACUCUUGGGAAUGAUAUAGAGGCAUGCUAGAGAAGCUUAAACACCGUGUGCACUUUUAUUGGUACAAGAGACCUGAUUCAAGAACAUAUCGCUUACAGAGUAUGGCCGCUCGUGAAUGAGUGGGAGAUGCCGAAGGAAGCUGCUGCCGGGUCUAGUCAGGGUGGCCUGGUCUAUCUAAAGUAUACAUUCAGAUACAGAGGCGAGUUUGAUGAGCCAAAUGAUGAAUGGUUGAGCAGUAUCACUACUAGAAAUAUGCUUAUUUAAGACAUACAUCUUAAGACAAAUAUCAGUGCAUUUUAUAGAAGCGUCUUUUAUCAUAUGGUGCUGAGUAAGGUAAGACAGUUUGUUGGACAUCCGUCUUUAAUGAAGAAGGUUUUUGAGACAGAUAUAUGGUUGGAAAUGUCUUAUAUUGAUUUAAUACAGUUUGAUUUUGAAAACCGUCUCAAAUAAAUAUACCUUUUGAGGCAUUAAGUUCACAAGAAGUGUCUUUUAUUUUGGUUAGUAUAUUAGACACUUAUGUAUAUGAAACUAUCUCAAAUAAAGAUAUUAUUAGAGUCAUCUAGACUAUACAAAAUUGUCUUAGAUGUUAGUAAGUAUACUAGAAACUUGUAAACAUAAAACCGUCCCGUACGAUAUUUCUGAUAAGACAUAUUGUGAAAAACAUAGUCAAUAGUAAAUUCUGAUUAGAUUGAACUAAACAUUUUUUGGAAUUUAAAAUGAACUAGUUAGCUGACUGUAUGUUCGUACGGUUUCUAUAUAUCAUAUAGGUAAAAAAUCUUGCUUAAAAUAAGAAACUUCUUCAAAUAAAAUUAUACGUUUGAAAUAUGAUUAUUUUUUAUUUUCUCAUUAACAUUAUGUUUAUAGUUAUAAUAUCAUCUCUUUGUACGGUAUAAGCAACCUGAUAAGCGGUGGUUAAUGCCACAGAUAUUUCUCUUUAUAUCCGUAUUGCACAUAUAUACAAUACAUUUUAUUAAUAUAGCGGUGGUUAAUGCCAUCUCCUGUGUCCGACGCCCAUCGCCGAGGCUGAGAGGCAAGAUCCGUCAUCUUCAGUGCCCCCAGCGCGGCGCCCCAAACUCCCAGGCUAUGCUUUUGUUUAUGUUUUAUUGUCAUUUCAUGAUUCAUGACAUGGCAGGCUUGUAACGCCCCGAAUUUUGGAGUUGAAUUUUUUCUUUUCUUCACUCGCCAAAUUCGGGCUUUACCCUUUUCUUUUCCUUUUCUCCUUGCUAAGCCUUGAUCUUUUCAAAAGUUAUAGCGAGGAUAAGCUCGACAACUGGUGUGAGUAAACCCUAAAAAUAUUUUCUUUGGUUGUUGCAUCAUGCUGAACCACGCAUCUUUUUCUUGUGAUACUUGCUUGGUUUCCAUAAAGAAUGCGCUUAGUAGAAGGUUAGAGGGAAAUAGAUAAUGGGAAAAUAGGAAAAAUAAAUAAAAAGAAGGGAAUUCCCCUCACUCUCCCCCUCUUGGGCCGUCGUCCCGCGGCCCAGCUCGGCCGCGCCCCCUCCCUCCCCCUUAGCCCAGCCGAGCCCCCUCUCCCUUGGGCCGGCUCUCAGCCAUGGCCCAGCCGGCUCCCAGCCGCGGCCCGCCCUGCCUCUCCCCCCGCCUUGGGCCGAAUUGGCGCUGCGGUGGCCCAACCGCCCCACCCCGCGUCCUGCGCGCGCGCCGCGCGCGUGGGCGCAACCGCCGCCGCCGCCAUCCCAGGUGGGCCCCGCCCGUCAGCCGCGCCCUCCCCCAAAACCGCCUCCCUCUUUCUCUCUCCCCUCUACCCCCUAGCGCACGACUCCCUCUUCCCCCUCCACCUCGUCGCCGAUCGGACCCGCCCCGCCGCCGUCCGCCCGCGCCGCCAUCGCCCCUUCCGUGGUGAGCCCUGGCCCCCUCCUUCUUCCUCCCCCUCUCUCCUUCUUCCCCUUCCCCUUCCCCUGCUCGUGCGGCCCAGCGCGGUGCGCGGCUCGGCACGCCGGCGCGCGGCCAUGGCGCCCCUGUCGCGUCCGCUCGGCCUCGCGCGCCACCCCCCUCGCGCCCUUCCCCUGCGCGCGGUCGCGGCGGCUCCGGCCAGCGCGCGGUCCCGUCCGGCCAGGACGCGACCCGUCCAUGGCGCGACCCUCUCUCCCUCCCCGCUCCGGCGCGCACGGCUUCCCCUGCCCCGACGUGCUCGUCCGCCGUCCCUGGCGUGCCCGCUCGGCCUCGCCGCCCCUGCCCGUGGUGCGGUUCCCCGCCCCGGCGUGGCCUCGCCUCGGCGCGGCCCGACCUCGCUCCCCCGGCCGCGGCGCGCGCGGUCCCGGCCCCCUCCCUACGCAGCCUCGCCUUGCCGGCCCCGGCGCGCUCGCCUGGCGCGGCCCGGCUCGCUCGCCCUGCGCGCGCGGCCCGGCUCGCUCGCCCUGCGCGCGCGGCCCCUCCCCGCGCAGCAGCCCGUGGCGACGCGGCGUGGCACGCCCGGCGUGCGCGUGCCCGCCUCGGCGUGCUCCGUCCCUCCCCUGUCCCGGCGUGGCCUUGAGCUCGGCUAGCUUCGCGGUCCCCCGCGUUUGGCCCCGGCGUGGCCCCGUUGCCGCUCGCGGCGCGCAACGCGCAGCUCGGCCCCGACGUGUGCGUGGCUCGUUCGCGUCACGUUAGCGUGGCUUUGCGCGCGCAUGUGCUUGUGUGGUGCGCACGGUGCUUUGGCACGGCUCGUCGUGCCCUCGGCGCGCUCGUCUACCCCCCCCCCCCCCGUGUAUUUUAUGCGCGCUAAGCACGUUAUUCAUAUCAAUAAAUGGAAACUCAAUUUAGAAAUUGGUUACGUUAGUUAUUUCAUGUAGCUAAUCUUGGAUCUCGUUUAAUGUUGAUCAAUUGAAAAUAGUUAUAAUUUUAUUAGUGCAUGUGGCUAAUAUUUGUUAGUGUAACUCGAGGGAAUUAGAUCACGUAAUGAUUAGUUAUGUAUCUACCCGUAAUAUGCUUCGACUAUAGCUUUAACCACUGUGAGACCUUCCUUCUUCUCUUUCUAGCCAUGGCGAAUGCAAUAUCGUAUGUCAUAUCUUAUGCAUAUUUGACUUAUCUGCUUUCUUGUGUGGUGUACUGUUUAUUUCCUAAUUCGAAUGGAUGGAUGUAUGUAUGUUUGCGCUCGCAUAGAGAACGAUCUGGUUGAGGAGCCCAAAGAACUCGCAGGAGAAGCCCCUGAGCAGCAGUCGGUUGGUGGAGGCAAAUGUCCUUUGACCUAUCUCUGUCCUAUACAUUCUUUAAUUCACCUCCUGCAUUUCACAUUUAUACCUAAGGAUUGACUAGCUUUUGCUAUCCAUGUCCUUGUUUACCUAUUUGGGUUGGAUUAUUAUUGUUUAGCUUUAUGCUAUUGCUCAACUCUAAUCAAUGAACAUGAUGAGAAUUAUCAAUGAUACACUGUUUUCCCCUCCUUUAUUAUGAUGUGAUACUUGUGGCAUUCAAGGGGGGCUUGAGCGGUUUCUCGAGUGCCUCUCCGUAAGGACCUGUUUGUUGGAUGACCGCCCGGGAAAACAGUGCAACCAUGAGGGUGGAAUGAGAUGCCCUUAGCUGAAUAAUUAGAGGAACCGGGGUGUAGUUCGCUUAGCCGUCGUGCCGUCAAUGGGGCUCGGUGUAUGCGGCUCGCUCUGCCAAGUUUGGGUUUGCCCCUUGGGGAGGAGUGCGGUGCAUUUAGGAAACCUAAUGGGCGGCUACAGCCCCGGGGAAUCUUUGUAAAGGCUACAUAGUGAUGCCCUGCUGGGUCACCUUGGUAGUGUUUAAUGGAGAGUCAUGAUCUCCGGGCAGAAUGGGAAUCACGACUUGUGGGUAAAGUGCACAACCUCUGCAGAGUGUAUGAAAACUGAUAUAUCAGCCGUGCUCGCGGUUAUGAGCGGCCAAGGGAGCUCCAGUGAUUAGUGGUACUUGAUCAGAGAUGUUCGGAUUGAAGGUGGCAAUGAGAUUGAUGGUUUUGGUUAUGACUAUGGUACUGGUAAGUGGUAUUCUUUCCGUUUGGAAAGGGUACAUCGGGUUAAUAACUUGGGUUAUUGCUAAAACCUGGCUUUCUACUAGUAAAUAAUAACCUGACCAACUAAAAGCAACUGCUUGACUUAACUCCACAUAAAGCUAGUCCACUACAGCCAAACAGGAUACUUGCUGAGUAUGUUGAUGUGUACUCACCCUUGCUCUACACACCAACCCCUCCCCCCAGGUUGUCAGCAUUGCAACCACUGCUUAGGAGAAGAUGAAGCCGUGGAAGGAGACUUCCAGGAGUUCCAAGAUUACGACGAGUUCUAGGCGUGGGUUAGCAGCAACCCCCAGUCGGCUGUCUGUGAAGGUCGCGUGUAUCUACGUUUCGUUUUCACACUUUGAUUAUUGUAAAGACUAUGUGGAUGUCUCAGACAUAUGAUGUAAUCGACUAUUAUUACCCUUUUAUGUUAUCAUUUGAGCAAUGUGUGAUGAUUUCCAGUUAUGUAACUGCUGUGUACGUGAAUUGCUGAUCCUGGCACGUACAUGGUUCACAUUCGGUUUGCCUUCUAAAACCGGGUGUGACAAGGCUCCAGGCUAUGCUUUAGACAUUUAAUAAGUAUAUUCAGCUCAAAUGAAACGAGAUCUAAACCAGAGGGUUAAAGGCAUGUUUGGUUUGUGGCUAAAUGUGCCACACUUUGCCUAAGUUUAGUCGUCCGAAUUGAGGGCCUGUUUGGUUUACUACCUAACUUGCCACACUUUGCCUAACUUUUCUGCCUAAGGUUAGUUCUUCAAUUCGGAUGAUUAACCUUAGACAAAGUGUGGCACAGUUAGCCGUGAACCAAACAGACCCUGAAUAAAUAACCUUAGGCGGAAAAGUUAGGCAAAGUAUGGCAACUUAGGUAGCGAACCAAACAUGUCUUAAGUCUCACAUCAUACCACCCGUUCCUAUUUUUCCUAAAGCAGGGGCAGGGCAAACCGUAUUGUUGGCUCUGCCUAGGGUUUUAGCACCUGCCGCCGCAGCCUCCCUUCUACUGCCGCCGCAACCUCCCCAUCCUUCGAAUCCCAUCCGACCUAGCCCUACAACCCACCGGACGACGAGCAGCGAGGCCCGCGGCCGAGAUGGACCAGUACCUGAGGGUGGAGUGGCCGUGGAACGAGUCAACCAUCAAGGAGAACGAGAUCCGCAUCACCGCGCAGGGCCUCAUCCGCAACUAUGUCUCCUACGCUACCUCCCUGCUCCAAGUGCCUGGGCUUGUCCUCGCCAUCGCCGUCGUAUCGUAUUGUACUUAGGAUGCGCUGUUUUGUUCGAGUCUCGUCCCUGUCGAUUCGAAGAGAUCCCCAGCAACAUGAGGGAGGUGUUCCUGACCGGCGCCACCUCCAAGCUCCAUCACGCUCUACCUCUGCAGGAAGAAGAUCAGAGUCUUGGUAAGUGCUACACAUAAUCUGCUCAGCAUCAUCGAUCCAUAGAUGAUGACCUGUGUCUUGCAUCUAACCUCUCUCUCUCUGUCUCUUAGAUGUUCACGGUGUUGUCGGAGAGGUUCCUGAAGAUCCAGAGGGAGGCGCCGCUGGAGUACCAGCAGUACCUCGUGCAGGUGACCAAGUACCAGGCCGCACAGAACUGCAAGGUACGUAUGCACGCAUGGUUACAUUUACUAUAGAACUGGAGUUAUUUUUUGAUGCAAAGGCUGCCAGGUCAUGGUGAUUUCACGUCCGUUAGGCUCGAGAGGUGGACUCAAACAUCCAAGUUUUGCAAGUUUUGAUGUUGGAUGUUAAAUUUCUAUGCUCACUCCUCGUUUGGUUAUUGAUGUACUAUUUCCAUCUCAUGUCACAAAUUUGGCAUAAGGAAUGGGUAUUGGUGGCUAUUGACUAUGUUUGUUUCCACGUAUUAUACAUGUACAAUGGAACAUUUGAUAAUAGUUUUGCAUGAACUAUUGGCGUUGGCUAUCUAAAAGGACAGAAAGGUAGACAUGAGCAACAGAUCUCGCUCCAUGGGCUGAAACUGGGAUUCGUGAUGGUCAGCUAAGCAUACCUUCGCCUUCAAAUUUGCGUAGCUUCUUUUUUAUUCUGCAAGUUGUUUGGUCUGCCGUUCAAAUGCCUUAUUAUUCUGCGAGCUGUUUUAAGAUUGGGCCUCAAUUUUUUUUCCAGGCAGAAAGUGCUACUGCCGCUCUCAACUGUAGCGGUGUGGUACUGGGAUCCUUGCCAAUAAGGUAAAACUCUGACUGAUCUUCUUACGCUUUGCAUUGAGGAAGGAGCUCUUCUGGGCGGUUGGAUAUCAGAGUCGUUCUAGUGUGUUUUCAGGGUGAGCCCGUCCAAAACGCCCGUGCGUCCCCGCGCCCCUCGCCAGCUGAUGUCGUCCUAGGUAUACAUACAGGAGGUGCUGACGAUGACACUGCUCAUAUAUAAGUAAUAGAGAUAGACAUGUAUGAAAAGGGUCUUUUGUUUUCAAGUAGUGUGUAGUUGCUGUUACUUUUAACAGCUAAUGCAAUCUGAAUGAGUCACCUAUGAAUGCCAUACUGGAAUUUGUUGCGCUUUUGUUGAUCAUUAUUAUUUUACAAUCUAGGCUAGGGGAUUGAAGAAGCACUUGAAGAGGCUCAAUGCGCCCAAGCAUUGGAUGCUCAACAAGCUUGGCAGAGCUUUUGUAAGUAAACAAUAUUUUCUAGCUUUGGUACCUACAAUCUUCUGUACUUCCCCAUUUGUCUGAUGCUUCAGGUUGGUCUUUUUUUCUGUAGGCUCCCAAGCCAUCUUCUGGACCUCACAAGUCCAGGGAGUGCCUGCCUUUGAUCCUCAUCAUCAGGAACAGGCUCAAGUAUGCACUGACGUACCGUGAGGUCAUUUCUAUCCUGAUGCAACGCCAUGUACUUGUUGAUGGCAAGAUCAGGACUAACAAGACCUACCCUACUGGGUUCAUGGGUAUGCCUAUAUCUCUAUUAAUGCAUAAAGAUACCUAUACACAUAUUUUGGUUGCUGAUUUGUGGUGUCAUUUUUUUGGCAGAUGUCAUUUCCAUCCCUAAGACAAACGAGAACUAUAGGCUGCUUCCGUCUUCACCCAAUCAGGGAUGAGGAUGCCAAGGUUAGGCCAAUUCUCUUACACAUCAUCUCUCAUUGUUCUAGUUGAGCAUGAUGAUCUUGGUAGCUAUGUGAGGUUGCUGUUUUUCAUUUAGAUCUGUGUACCUUAACCUUGCUAUACUGUCCAUAUGUGUUGUGUGCAUGAAAGUCUUGCAUUGAAAAUGUCAUGUGCUACAAUCAUUAGGACUAUUAAUAGAUGUUGCUCUGUCUAUCUAUCCAUUUACAUCGCUGGAAAUUCCCAUGCCCUUUCAUAGUACGCCUGUGAAAUGUUCACUGUUUUUCUAUUGGUUUUAUGUGCAGUUCAUGCUCUGUAAGGUGGGGUCUGUUCAGUUUGGCCAGAAAGGCAUCCCCUACCUGAACACCUAUGGCGACCGCACCAUCCGCUACCCCGACCCGCUCAUCAAGGCCAACGACACCAACAAGAUCGAUCUAGAGACCAACAAGAUCAUGGACUUCAUCAAGUUUGACGUCGGCAACGUGGUCAUGGUGACCGGCGGGAGGAACACCGGGCGUGUAGGAGUGAUCAAGAACAGGGAGAAGCACAAGGGCAACUUCGAGACCAUUCACGUGCUGCUUGGAGCUUUUUGCUAUGUCUAGUUUUCUCCUAUUUGUUGUACAGGAAAACAUAGAAUGGAAUUCAAAUUUGGUGGCCGCAAAAGAGUAGAGACUUGUUUCAUAUAAAGUUAGGCUUAACAUUAGUGCAAACAGUUGUAUUUUAGUUUAGAUUUAGAGUACACUUAUGUAUGCGUUGUUUGACAAUGCUUAUUUAUGAUAUAUUGAAUGGUACUUAUUUAUAUUAUAUUAAUUAUAAUGUUGUUCAAUAUAUGUGUAUGUAUAUUUCUCUUUCAAAUUAUUAUAACGUGAUAUCUGAUACUGCCGUGUAAGUCAUUUUGUUUAAAUCUUAAUAAGACGGUCACCAAAAUGUCUAAUAUCAGUCUCCUAAAUAAGACGAUUUCUAAAACGUCCAUUAUUAGUCACCUAAAUAAGAUGGUUUUCUAUUGUAAUCAUCUAUUAUUGUAGGAUAUUCGAGACAGUUUGAUAAAUACUUUAUGACUUAUAAUGUUUGUAUUCUCUACGGUCCUUUAGAAGCAGUGUCUUAAACAAAAACCUAAUUCAAGACGGUUUAUCGGACAAAAUGACUUAAACAAAUACCUUUUUCAGACGGUUAUAAAUUAAAAAUUGUCUUAUAUAAUAUCUUUUAAGACGGUUUAUAACCAUCUUAAAAGUGGGACAUCUUUUACGACUCCAUCAAAUUUGGACACUUCAUAAGCGUCUUAAGAACUAAAAAUUAACCGUCUCAUAUAACAUGUUUUGUAGUAGUGUAUUGAGGCAACUAGCGAUGAAUUGCUUGGGGCUUACACUAGAGCCGAAGAUGAUGCUUUGACCUCAGCCUUUGGAGGUCGAGGCAAGAAUAGGCUGAACAGAGUUUUCGACGUGAUUAGCUUCAUAUACCCUGAUUAUUGCUAUCCCUCGCGAAAGCAGGGAAAGAAGAGAAAAACCACCGCUUCGUCAUUCCCUAUUGUGCCGAAGGGCAAAGAUCAAGGUCUUGAUGCACCGGCCGAGAUACAUUGAGAUGACCACAUUGCCGAAGCUAAGUGAAGGGACAUCUUCCACUGCCGAAACAGAACAACCUGCUUCUGCCAUUCCCAGGGAAGACCUGACUGAAUUACCGAAGGUUCCUACAGUCGGACCAGCCGAAACGCCGAAACUUGAUGCCGAAGCGAAAGAAGAGGCGGCCAAAGAGCUAGAGCUAGGGGAAAAGGUAGAGCUGCCAAAAAUCUUGAGCCCACCAGCAGAGUCAGAAUUGCCGAAGAUAACAAGAGCUCCUGCAACAACUCCUAAGAGGAGGAGAAUGGCUAGCGUGCUAGACACUGUCAUGGAGACAACAAGGGCAUUAACUCCUGCCCCUGCAAAGAAAAUUGUCGAAGCUGCUAUAAGUCGCGCUGAAACUGAAGAUGGGCCCUCAGUGCCUGCUGAGACGGAGCCUACCGCAACUGAGAUAGGGCUAAGCAAGAAUCUCUAGAUGUUGGCAUGGCUAUGGAGAAGGAUGUGGCCGAAAAAGCUAAAUCUCCUGCUCCUGAAGCACCGUCCGAAGAUCUUGACUUUAUUAUUCGACAUGCUUCGGGAAAAGACUAUCUAAAGGAGAAAUUGCAGAAGCCAAACACUAUGCCCGAGAACUGAAAUACCUGAAGGGGCCUUAGUGUUCAACGACACUGACGAUGAUGAUUUCCUAUACUUUCUCCCGGACAAUAAAGAAAUAUCCGUCUACCGGGAGAUGGCCAAAAAUAUGGGAUUUCCGAAGCUCGAAGCUGGCCUCUCCGCUAUGUCAAAAGAUGACCUUGCGGAUAGCCUUGCAUACAACAGUCUGAAGGUAUGAAAGUGAUGAACUUAAAAAUAGAUUAUCUUGUCUUGUAUACUCGUGCUGAUUCUAUCUUUUUGCAGGGCUUAAUUCUUAGCAACACUUUGAGGGCGCAAAAGAAUGCAGAAGAUGAAAGCUGCGUGAUAGCCCUUGGCAACCUUCGGUCAGAAGUUAUCAAACUAAGAAAUGAAGCCUUGGAGAAGGAUAAAAUUCUACUUUCAUUGGUGGAUAAAGUGAAGGAUGAUGAAGCGAAAUUUAAUGCUCAAUCCGAAGCUCCUAAAGUCGAAAUUGAAGACCUUCGGAAAAACUUGCCGAAGCUAAUGAAAAUUUUGCACUUGCAAAAUCUAGUCAAGAAAUAAGUGAAUGGUCGAACGCUAGGCUGGAGAAAAAUGUUGAGGAGCUUCACGAAUCCAAGGAAAGGUGCUUUAAGAAAUCCUUGGAUUGCGUAAGAAAAUUGAAAACAGCUUUGCCAAAGUAGGUGCUUAUUCUUCCGAAGAGAAUUUUAUUCGAGGUGACCCCAAUGGCGUUAUUGAUUGGAUAAGCGGGGAAGCCGAAGCUUUUGAAGAGAUCUUGAGCGAUCGUGGGGAUAUCUGUGCUUUCACUGGCGCUAGAGGUAUUGUGGCAAUUAUGGAGAAGGCUGGUUGCGACCACGUUAAAGCUGCGGCCCAGACUGAAGCCGCCUUCUCUACUGACAACACGAGAGACCCUUCGGCCAAAGCUACUUUGGUGGGUGGAAAGUUUUACUCCGAUGUUUGGGUGAACGGUGGCCGAGAAUUGGCAAACAAAAUUAUAAAAAAGAAUAAAAAGAAACCCAUGAUCCCCAAGAAGAAGCUAGGCGAGCCGAAGAAGCUGCUGCGCGCGCAAGGCGUAUAGGUAUUGUUUUUGAAUUUUAGCUUCGGCGUUUAUUUUCUAGCUUCGAACUAACAGUUUGCCUAUUACAGCUGAAUUAUCACCGUUGCCCGAGCCAUACAACCCCCUAGCCGAUCUGGUCAUGAAAGAAGCACUGGAUAUAAUGAGCCUUGCUAACUCCAUCGUCGACGGAGUUGUCGACAAGCUGCUGAACGAAGCCACCGAAAAAAUACUUAAGGAAGAUUAGACUUUUUUUUGUAAUGAUACUAUGUAACAUUUGGUGUAUGGAACAAUUAAUCAGACAUGUAAAUUAUUGUAAUAUAUUUCUUUACGAUGCAUGAAAUUUAUGCACAUACCGUUUUUGAGCCUUCGGCGAAAAAACACCUUCUCUUCUUUUCAUGCUUCGUAAAGAAAGAAGCCCCUUUUUAUGUCAAAUCUGUUAUGAUGAAAUUGUGUUUGCCGAUGGUUUGCUUCGUGCCUCAGCACAUUUUCAUUCAACAAAGUAUUGCCGAAGAUCUGCUUCGUAUCCAAUCUUUUUGUCGUUGAUGCGAUAUGAUGUAUGAUGUAAUGUUAUGCGGAAUAAUGUGAUGCUUAUAUGAUGGUGAUGCCGAACACACACACACACACGCCCAGACUAGAACACACAAGACUCUGCAUCCCCUUAGGGACGUCUUUGGAGACUUUAAGCUCUACAUCCCCUUAGGAACGACUUUGGAGCUUCUUCACCUUAUAUUUCGGUGGUAUUUAAGCUCUGCAUCCCCUUAGGAACGACUUUGGAGCUUCUUCACCUUCUAUUUUGGUGGUAUUUAAGCUCUGCAUCCCCUUAGGAACGAUUUUGGAGUUCUUCACCUUCUAUUUCAAUGGUAUUUUGGCUCUGCAUUCCCUUAGGAACGACUUUUGAGCUUCGUAACUUACUUUGUGCUCCCUUAGGAACGACUUUUGUAGCUUCAAAACUUACUCUAUGCUCCCUUAGGAAUGACUUUUGUAGCUUCGAAAUUUAUUCUGUGCUCCCUUAGGAACGACUUUUGUAGCUUCGGAAGUCUGUUAGAAAGAAGCAUUUUUUCUUAAUGAUACAUGCACAAUUAUUACAUGAGACCAAAAUUAAGUCUUUCGUGACUUGUUUUUCACACAAGAAAAAUAAGAUGACAGAAAAGAAAAAAAAUACAUCAGGGGUAGGAUAUUCUUUUAGUAGAUAUGCUUGGAUUCAGGCAUAGUGCUGUUGACUGUGCGAGCUUCGGACUCCUCCCAAAAAUCACGCUGUUGUUGUGCGUGUUGGUGCCCUUCUGGUUGCUGUCUUCGAGUCUGAGUAGGUGGUAAUGGUGGUGGUAAUGGGAGCUGGGCCUAGGAAGCUUGAGAGUGACUUGCCGAAGCGACAGAAGCUACAGGUUGUUGAUUACCUACGUAUUCUGGUACAUAGGAAGAGUAGCAUGAAGCACUAUGUAGGACCUGCUUCGGCUGAUUCUACCGUGCCUUAGCUUCGGCAAUCUCCUUUUGCUUCUGAAUUGUAACUUGGCAUGUUCUUGUGGUGUGGCCCUUGUCUUCACCACAGAAUAAACAAUAUAGCCUUCUAGGCUGAUCCCCGUAUCUUCCUCCGAAGCCUCUGCCCCUUGGAACUGGUGCCUGAAAGAGCUUUGCUGUUGCCCUAAAGAUUGGGAGUUGUGUUGUGGCCUUUGAGGUUGGCUUCCUCUGUCAUCACUUAGGUUGGAAUUAUGGAUCGAUCUGACAUGCCUAGGGUGGAUUCUUCCUCCAAAGCCCCUGGUCAUCUCAGAAAACCUGUAUGCUUCUUCCCUUCUUUGGCGGAAAUCAUUAUUAGCCCGGAUGUACUCAUCCAUCUUCUGAAGAAGCUUUUCCAGGGUUUGUGAGGGUUUCCUGGCAAAAUAAUGAGCCAUAGGCCCUGGACGAAGCCCCUUGAUCAUGGCCUCAAUGACAAUUUCAUUAGGCACUAUAAGCGCUUGUGCUCUUAGAUGCAUGAACCUUCGGACAUACACCUGAAGGUACUCCUCAUGGUCCUGCGUGCACUGAAACAAAGCCUGAGCAGUGUCUGGCUUCGUCUGAAAGCCUUGGAAGCUAGUGAUUAGCAUAUCCUUGAGCUUCUGCCAUGAUGUGAUUGUUCCUGGCCUGAGAGACGAAUACCAAGUUUGAGCUACACUUUUGACUGCCAUGACGAAGGAUUUCGCCAUGAUUGCAGUAUUGCCCCCAUAUGAAGAUAUGGUUGCCUCGUAGCUCAUUAGGAACUGCUUUGGGUCUGAGUGCCCAUCAUACAUAGGAAGAUAAGGUGGCUUGUAUGAUGGGGGCCAUGGGGUAGCCUACAACUCUGCUGCUAGAGGAGAAGCAUCGUCAAAAGCAAAAUUACCAUGAUGGAAAUCAUCAUGCCAUUCAUCAUCGUUGUACGAAUUGUCUUGACAAAGCUCUCUAUGUUGAGGCCUUCGGUCUUGGUCAUCUUGAGUGAGAUGACGCAUUUCCUCAGCAGCUUCAUCAAUCUUCCUCUGAAGAUUGGCAAGACGAAGCAUCUUUUCUUUCUUCUUCUGGACCUGUUGAUGAAUGGCUUCAAGGUCCCUGAUUUCUUGGUCCAACUCCUCCUAAGGUGUUAGACUAGUAGCCUUCCUUUUCUGGCUCCUGACUUCGCGUAAUGUAUCUUGAUUAACGUCCAGUGGCUGCAAUGCAGCCCCUGGCCCUGAUGACUUCUUCGGUGGCAUGACGAAGGUUAGAGCUUGCCAAAGGUGGUCAAGUGAGUUCACCGGAGGUGGGCACCAAUGUUGGUCACUUGUUCUUAAAUGCUGAGUUAAGAACAAGGCAACACAAAUGUUAAUGGUUAAAGGCCUUCGUCCUUCAAAGCAUUAUUUCCCUUAGGGUAUAAUGAUCUUCAGACGAAGGUCAUGAAGGGCAUACCUUCAUCAUCUCAAUAUACAAAAAUAUAGGCAAGGACGUACAAAACAUAGAAAGACCAUGAUUAAUCAUAUUAAAUCAUUAAAUCAUGUAUAUAUUGACAUUAUAUAAUCAUGAACAAACAUUGAUGAUAUUAAGUUUGAAAGCACAUUCAUCCCUUUUGUGAGUUUUGGUGAUUUGGAUAACAACACAUUUAAAGGUCUAACGAGUUUGCUAAGUGUUGAACAGGAAAUUCAGUAUGAUGAACAUACUUGAAUAGUGUAUAAUGAUCAGUGAACAAAGGUUCAACACGAGGUUAAAUAACCAAUGAGACAAUGCAAAUGGAUAUAAUAUGAUCUCUAUAUUGGUUUGAAUAUAUGGACAAGACCUGAGAAAUCACUACAUACAUAUGACCAGAAUAGAGGACAAAGUGAUUUAGAGGAUUGGUCAAGCCAAAGAGAAUAAGAUAUGAGGAAUCGUGAAUUGGCUUGACCAUAUUACUAUCAGUCCAUAUAUGCUUCUAUGAGAAUCAAACUAGAGCUUGAUUAAUCUUAACAGUUAUAUCUAGAAGACAUUCAAGCAAGGUUCACAAUAUUGAAGAAAUGAUUCUCUCAAUGGAUGCUCAAUAUGAUGUGACUCAAGAAUGGCUUGAUAGGGUGAAGAUAGCAAGGAAAGGGCUUCGAGGAACUAGGCGAAGGUGAAGGCCAAGCGACGGCUUAUAGACCGAGGUACCAUGGCUAAGGUGAAGAAGAGAGUACUUGCACUAAGUCGAUGAACUAAUCAGCUAUGAAGAGUUAUAACAUGUUGAUGCAUCAGUAAGGUGACUUGAAGCAAUGAUUUGAACUCAUAUAAGGUGAUAUGGUACAAGUCACAGGGUUUGGUUUGAGUUUGCUUCAAAAGGUGAGACAAAGAUGUUUGUGAUCCUUAUGAAGCAAUGCCAUGGAGAAAUCACACAUGAGACACCAAUGACUCAAGGAGUUUACUUCAUUUUAUUUUAUUUAACUUGAGUAUAGGAAUCGUCGUACUAUAAAGGGGGAUCCAAAAAGAAUGUUGGUGUUUGCCAAAGCUCAAACCUCUCUAUUCAAAAGCUAUUUUUGAAAAGCAAAAAUCUCUUUAACGUUCUAUGGUUGACCGUGGUUAGGGUUGAGAAACCUAGAGUGCUCUUGCUGAAAAGCAGCUGAACUUCUUCAACUGCAGCUGAGCUUUCCAGCUGAACUUGACUUCAGCUCAGUUGAGCUUCUUCAGCUGCAGCUGAGCUUUUCAGCUGAGCUGAACUUCAGCUGAGUUGAGCUUUCUCAACUUCAGCUGUGAACCUCUUUGACCAUACACCAGCUGAACUUGCCUCCGGGCAGUUGAGCUGGGAUUUUCUCUCCUAAACUCACUGGUCAAGACCGGUUGAACUGGUCCUAAGGGGCAGUUCAGCUGGUCUCUGACCCCUCUGACCUCUGAUCUGCAGUCUGCCAGUCAGACUGGCAAACAGGUCGCCAGGAGCUGUUAGGGGCGGUUCAACCGCCCCGCCUGGGCGGUUCAACCGAUGUUGGUCAACUUUGACCAGUCUGCGGUCAGUCUGCGCGUCAGUCUGCCAGGCCUGCCAGGGGCGGUUCAACCGCCCUAGGGGGCGGUUCAACCGGUCUCAGGCAGAAAAAUCUGCCCAAACGGCUAGUUUUAAGCUCCACCUAUAUAUACUCACUCCUACCUCUCACCCCACAGCAGGGAGCACGAUUUGAACUCCAUUUCUAACCCAAGAAACACCUCCCUCUCUCUCUCACACAUCUCUUGCCUCUCCCAUUUCAAAUCUUUGGAGAGAAAUCUUUGAGUGAGCUUGAGAGCUGCGGUUUUGUGCUUCAUCUCUAAAUCUCUCUUGCUCUUCUUCUUGAUUCGAGCUUUGGUACUACAUUGAGUUCUUUGUGGAUUCAUUACUCUUGGAGCUUCUAGCUCCUAGACGACUAGGUGUCUCUUGUGAGUCUCCAAAUCUUGUGGAAGACCACAAGAAAGUUUGUAUUACCCGCUCGUUUGAGCAAAGAUUAGUGUGUGAGCUUGACCUUUGUGGUCGGCAAAGGGAGGAUUAGGGUUGAAAGAGACCCGGCUCUUUGUGGGCGCCUCAACGAGGAAGUAGGGCACCUUGGUGGUGUGACCAAACCUCGGGAUAAAUCUUGUGUCUUUUGUGUUCUUGUUCAUUGUGCUUAUUCGUGUUCUUCGUUCUCUCACCAUUGCGUGGAAGAUUUGUUCAUAUCUUUUUGGUGUGUGGAUUUUGAGAAGUGCCCUUCUCAGAUCUACUACUUUGAACCCUGUGGAUCAUUUAGAACAUCUCAUUUCCAAAGUUAACUGGGUGAAUUUUGAGAUCAAUUCAGUUUUAUAUCUCAUUGUUUAGUUAAGCUCGUUCAAACCAGUUGCACCGGUUUUGACACUCGACGGUUUUACCUAGUUUGUUUCUAGUUUUUGUUGAAAAAGUUUUAACUUGCCUAUUCACCCCCCCACUAGACAACUUUUAAUUGGUAUCAGAGUCUAAUCCUCGUUUUAACGCUUAACCGCGUGAGGAAAGAUCAUGUCGGGGGGACUAAGAAACGAAAGUUCUUCUAAGCUUGAAAAAGUUGAGGUUGCCUCGACUUCAUCUUUUGGUGCAGAUGUUGAUCCUAGGGCAAUAGACCUUGCCAUGAGAAUCGCCGAAAGGAUGUUCCUCAAAAUGAAGGAAGAUGAGGCGAAGAACAUUAUUGAAGAAGAAGAAAAUGAUCGAUGGAGACCAAACGACGAAUCCACCUCUUCACAAGGUUCAUCUUUCAAAUCCACUUCUCAUAUGUGCUUUGUUGCUAAUGAGAGUGACAGUGAAAGCGAAAGUGAGGAUGAGGAGAAGCAUGAAAGUGAUAGUGAAGAUGAGGAUGAUCUUCAAAAAUUCUUCGCUCAACUAAGUAAGAAGAACUGGAUGAGCUUGCUCAAACUCAUGAAAAGAGCGGAAGAACAAAAGGAAAUGCUUCAUAAGCAAGAAGAUAUCCUCAUCGAAAAAAUCAAAGACUUGGAGAAGUUGACCAAAGAGCAUGAGAAGCUAAAGUGCUCUCAUGAUGAUUUGGUCCAAAGGUAUGAAGUCAUUUCAAUUGAGCAAAUUAAAGCUAUUAAUCAUUCAUCAUAUAUUGCUCAAUUAGAAAAUAAAAAUGCUAUGCUCAAGAACACAGUAGAAAAGCUAAACAUUGAAAAUCUAGCUUUGCAAGAAAAACAUGAUAUACUUGUAUGCUCUCAUAAUAAAUUUAUGGAUUCACAUAUCAUGUUAGAAAUGGCUCAUGAGGUUGUGUUAACUAAUUUGAAAUCAUACCAACCUCACAUGUGCACAUGUGUUGAAAUUGAAACUAUAUUACCAUGUGCUAACAAUUAUUGUUAUCAAGCAAGCCAAUCUUCCAUUGAGCUAGAAAUUUCAGGAAUUAGUGAUAUUUCUAUCACACAAGAAAAUAAAGAGCUCAUGGAAGAAGUUGGAAGGCUAAGAAGGAGCUUAACUCUUUUGAAGGGAAAGUGUCAUGCUCAACCUUCUCACGAUAACCGUGAUAACAUGGUGAAGAAGCUUGAGAAGGGGACAAACGUAGCAUGCACAAUCCCGCUUCAAAAUAAUGCUAAGUUCCCUAAGAAAGGCAUGAGCAAACAUCAAUAGAAGAAAGCCAAAGCUCAUGACAAGUGCCUCAACCAUGCCUCCACAUGCUCCACACAAGGUAACAAACAAGCCACUCUUCCAAAUAAGAGAAGAUGCACUAGAAAGUGUUAUCAAUGUCAUGAGAAGGGACAUGAGAUUAAGUCAUGUCCUUACAUAAAAGAUAGUGGUUUACCUUUGGAAAGAAAGAGGCUCACUAACCAUGUAGCAAACAAGAAGCAAGGCAAGAAGGAGUCUUGCAAAAUUAAAAAUCAUAUUUGCUACACUUGCCGAAGAAAGGGACACCUUUGCAAGGAUUGUCCCAUGAGUAAGUAUCCUAAGUCUACCAUGUCAAUUCAUUCAUAUUCGCUUAGGAGACCCAAAAAUGACACUUGUGCUAGAAAGGUAAUUAGUUCACCUAAAACUAGCACAAAGGCCAUUUGGGUGCCUAAGUACUUGUUAGCUAACCUUGGUGGACCCAUCCAAAGAUGGGUACCAAAAUGUACUUGAUAAGUUUUGCAGGUACCCACAUAUGAUAUGAAGCUUUGGGGUGCUUGAGCGGUUUAACUCAAUUCUUAUCUCAAGCUAUCAAUCUUACAUUGUCUAUCCUUUAAGAUUGACCCAAAGAUGAAUUGAGUUGUUAUAUCACUAACUUCAUAUUCAUCUCUAGCAAGAACUUGUGUUGUAGGGAAUAAGGAUUAACCUUUGUGGGAAUCAAGCAAAAGGCCUACAACCAAGUGAUAUCCAAAGGAUGGUAACAAUUAAUUCUUAAGUGCACAUUGCUUUUAACGAAUAAUGAAGCACUUGAGAAUGAACUUAAAAGAUUUUACCUUGCUUUGGAAAGGAUCUAAUUAUAUGGUAGAUUGCAAGUUCAUAUUUUUAUAUUAUGACAAUCUACAUGCUUUAAAUUGGUUGUAUAUAUCUUGUGGCAUAUUUCAAAUUGAUUAUCGUAUUAUUGCCAUGACCUAGACAUAAAGAGGAUUAUCCCAUGUUCUUAAAUGAAUAGAGUGCUAAGUAAGAAAUUCAAAUUCUUAAAGCACUUACCAAAAGGGAAUUCUCUAUAUGGCUAGAGUUGUGAGACUAAUGUUUCUAUCCAAGUGUUUAUGUAGUCUCACAACAUGAGAAUGUGUUUCCCAAAUGGAGUGUGCCAUUCAACAUUCAAAGAAGAUCGAACCAAUACUAUGUGAUGUAUUCAUUCUUGUUUAAAUUGGUUUUGAGUCUUCUACAUUAAUCACUCAUCAUGUUAUAAAUUAAACUUGCCCUAUAAACUUAACUAAAUAAUCAUGCUAUUUUCACCAUGUUUAAAUCAGUGUUAUGCAUGAUGCUUGUAAGGGUAAUUUAGUUCAUAUCAUGAGGUUUCCUUAUUUUAGUAACCUUCUUGUCAUACAUAUACUAAAGGUUGCUAAAUAGGAAGUUAUUGCUUGUGUUUUAAAUGCAGUCUCUUUUAAGAUAUUUCAUGGAAAUUCAUAAGUAGAGAUUGUGCUCUUUCAAUUGGUAAAAUCACAAGCAUUAAAGGUUAAUCUUCACCCAAAAGAAAGAUUAGGAAUGCUCAAGGCAAAGGUAUGGAACUAAUUGCUUUAAUUGGUUGUUGAUCAAUGGUAGUUCCUUUCAAGUGUCAUUCUUUCAAUUGGUAAUAAUAUAUUCUAUGGAAAUAAAUGCCAAUAUGAAGGUUAAAUUCCUUUUGACUUAAAUUUGUAAAUUGGUGCAUAUUAUUAAUUCUCUCAUCCAUGUGCAUUAAUUUAAAAGGAAUUUAAUUUAUGCCUGUAUGCCCAUAAAUGAUGAUUUGCUUGCCAUUCAUAUAUAGAUAUCAUCAUUCAUUAAAUACUUCCUUGUACUACUAAUACCUCUUUUCAAAGUGUUUUAUCGACUAGUUUUAAAAGGAAAAGAGAUAACAAAGAAGGAAGUCUCCACAAAUGAUGAAAAGAAGAAUAAUAAGGUGACACCACCAUAGAUAGUAAGAUCUGUCAAAUUGGUAUAACAAAUGGUACAUUCUAUAUGGUGGUAAGUAUUCUUAGGCAUAAGUUAAUUCAUUGUAAAUUUGUCAUGCCUCGACAAUGAUAUGUAAUGUACUCCUCAUGAGACCCUUAUCUGAAUUGAAAGUGCAUGUGGUAAGUCAUUCAAAUACUUUAUGCACAUAUCUAGUGGGAGAACAUUAUAUAUCUUGUGUCAUAGAGAAUAAGUUUCACUUGAGUAAGCUAUACUAAGACAAUCCAAAAUGGUAAAUUUGUAUCUCAUUCAUAUGGAUUGUAAUCUUUGUUUUCUAAAUAGCUACUCUUGAUGCAGUUUAAAAUUCCCUUAUCGUUAAUUCUAAAAGUGCAUAAGAAUCUUUUUGUUGAUAUUCAUCACAUACAUAUGCACUAACAUGGAUAUGAUUUUUAAACUGUAAAAGGUACAAUUAGUGAUCCAUACUCUCUAAAUUUUGGAAACCCAUAUUUUGAUAUCUUAGAAAUCUACUUCAAUCAAUAUCCAUAUGCUUCACAUUGAAUUGGAUCACUAAGUUGUAAAUUCCAUGCAUAACUUGUCUUCAUGAUAUGAAUGCUUGUGCGAUUAACCUUGAUAAGCUAGGUGCACCCAAGGUCAAUCUAGGUUCAUCAUCAAGAAGGCAACACAAUGAUGUAUCAAGAAAAGGAGAAAAGGCUCCUAUUCUUAACUCUAACUUUUAUCUGUGUGAUUAAAUAUUGACUUGAAAUCGUGUAAGAUGGUUGUCAAGUAUAUGUGGGUGCCUACACAAAGAGAAAGGCCACAAUAAGGAUUGUGUGGGUACUCAAGGCUCUUACUACUAAUCUCAAAGGACCCAAUUCAAAUUGGGUACCAAGAUAUGAAGCUUAAACUUGUUUUGCAGGAUCACUCCUUCAAUGGAUCAAGUUGGGUGCUUGAUAAUGAAUGUAUAAUUCACAUUUGGAGAUAGUAGCAAGGGUGUGGUAACAACUGAAUCUCAAGUGCAUAUUAUUUUCAAAUCUUAUCUCUUUUGUGACUUGUGUAGCCACUAAAGAAAAAGAAGCACUUGAGGAUAUACAUCAGUUGUUGAUUAUGAAAUAAAGGUCCAAUUGGAAGAUGAAUGAAUAUUAUCAUAUGGUCAACAAUCCAAAAUUGUGUGACAUAUUCUCUAUCUAGUUAAUUUGGAUUUGAUUCUUCUAUAUUAGACACUCACCAUAAUAUGGAUUAAGCCAUCCCUUUAGACUUUAUUGAAUAACUAUGCAUAUUAUACAUGUCAUUCAAAAUAUAUUGUGCAUGAGGGCUCAAGGGAAAUUCAGUCCAUAUUAUGAGGUUUCUUUAUUUUAGCAACUCGCUUGCCUUCCACAUAUAAAGGGUUGCAAAAUAAGAAACUAGUGCUUGUGCUACUAAUGCCAUCUCUUGUGUUGAGUUUAUCCAUAGAAAAUCUAUGUUAAGAGAUGGUGCUUGUUUUAAAUUGGGUAAAUCACAAGCUUAAAGGACACUAUUCAACUAAAGUAAGAUGAAGUUGAUAAGAUGCCAAGGUAUGGAAACUUCCUCUCCUUCAGUUGUUUUAGUAUUCUAUCCUUAGUGGGAUGUACCAUAGUAUAGGUUAAAUUCCUUGCAAUGUAAAAUGUUCAAUAGUGCAUAUAACUUUGACAUUAACUAUAUGUGUGCACUAAUUUAAAGGAAUUUAGUCUAUCCUUUUCGGUUUCAAUAAUGAUGAUUCAUUUGCCAUCCACAUAUAAGGAUCAUCAUUUGUGAAACCCUCCCUUGUGUUUCUAAUGCUCUCUUUUCUAAGUGUUUCAAUAAGGUCCUUCCAAGUGCUUUCAAGAUGGAUUCAAAAUCUAUGGAUAAGAGUCUUGGUUCUUUCAAUCAUUGAGUUUCAAUGAAUCUCAUAUCAAGUAUGAUCGAAUCAAGAAAAGAUGAAAGAAGUUCAUGAUCACUUGGUUGGAUGAAAUCGUAAAAAGAAAAGAGAUCACAGUGAUUCAAGAAGGGAGUUAUAUUUUUUGUCAACCAAAUAAUGAAGAUGCAGUGACAUAUUUAUAUGAUAUCCUUCAUUAUGAGGUUUGAGGUUCAUAUUAGCAUGCUUUACCCUUCAAGAUUUCAAUUGAUAUACUUUUAGUUCUUAAAUCUUCAAUUGGUUUAAUUUUCGUCCUCUAUAUAAAGCAUGUUAUGUUAAGCCAAGAUAUAGUACAAACAUCUCCUUUAACCUCACAUUGUUAAUGUGCAUAAGUGUACUUUGUGUACUCUUGCAUGCACAAAUUGAGGGAGAGUUUAGCCUAUAUCUUGUGAGACUAAUGAUUUCUUUCAAGUUCAUGUUGUGUAGUCUCACACCUUGGAGAACAUCAAAUGAGGUUGAAUGGUUCCAUAGAAAUGAAAAUGAGUUUCUCUUGAACCUAUCAAGAAAAUGAGUUUCUCUUGAUCGUUUGAAGAGGAUGAGUUUCUCUUUGAAAUGUCAAGCCUAUCAAAAGCUAAAAUAGAAAUUCAUGAUUAUAAUGAAGACCAUAUGGCAUGGAACAAAGGUGUGUCACUCCAUGAACUAUUGUAUUAUAUGUGUAUCUAGGCUCUUACAAGUUAGUGUAUGCAUGUAAAUGCAAUAUCUUAAGUCACAUCAUAAGGUUGCACUUGAAUCUUGGCUUAAAAUAUUGCAUAUCAUGCCUAUUAGUAUACCUUUUUUAUUAUGAGUAAUUCCUUAAAUUGGUGCAAUUUCAUAUUUUCAUACUUUAUUUGUACCAAGGUUCAAAUUGUAGAACUUAAUCCCCUGGCCUCACAAGUCCAAGUGCAUAAGCUAAACAAGUAUUCAUCACUUGUAUGCAUACAUUUAGGGGGAGAAUGGUCUAUAAUUUGAAUCUUUGAGACUAACUUCAUUUUCAAGUCUAUUAUGUGUGUAGUCUCAAAUUAGAAAGGGAUCUUCAAGCAAAGACAAUCGCUUCCACUGCAAAAUUUGAUGGGCAUCAAAGAUUCUUUGCUCCAAUAAAUGUAUCUUUUAUACAUUUCAUAAGAGAAUGAGUUUCUCUUUUAUAUGCUACUCCAACAUCAUCUAAAACUGGUAAACAUGUAUCACAUCCUUUUGGAUUGCAAAUGUCUGAAGUAGCAUAGCUUAUAAAUUCUCCUGUCUAGAACUUAAUUGAUUAAAUAGUGCACAUGUUUCUUAUGUUGCAUGAUUAUGUUCAAUUGAUACUCCUUUUAUGCCAAUGGUACUUUAAGUUGCAAAUAAGUACUCUCAACAGAUAUCAAUUGAAUUCAUAUAUGUGUGUGCACUAAAACUUGAGGAGAACUUAGUGUAAUAUGCUAUUAGUGAUCUAUUUAUCUAUCAAAUUGUAUCAAUUGGUGUUUUUCAAUUGAUAUUUUUCAUACAUGAUCACUAGUUGCAUAAUCCAUACUUGUGCAAUUUUCAUGUUGCCUCUUGUUGUGAUAAGAAAAUGCUAGGUGACAUCUAGACUCCAGGUAUCAAGAUUUAUCUUUCAGUUAGUAUGACAAUCUUCAUUUGAUAUCUUGGACCUAUGUCACAAAUUAUGCCAACAAGAGCUUGCAAAUGAAUUCUAAAUCCAACACAAGUCUGGAAACCCCUUGAAAAGGUAAAACGCAAAGGUACAUCACUUAUGACACUUAUCCAUUACCUUUGUGCCAUCUAAGGAUCCCUUUCAUGAUAGUGUGUUCACAUCUCGCUUAAUCAUAAUUUCUAUCCUUUAUAUUCUUUGUAUCCUUUUUGGAGAUUUAUGUCAAAGGGGGAGAAAUUGUGCAUUAAAGCUUACCUUUAGUCUUAUGUAACUAAGUGUUAGAAGACUUUUAAAAAGGGGAGAAAUAAUUAACAAAAAGGGGAAGUCAUAAGAAAAACAUAAGAUGAAGAGAGUUGAUAAGUGCAUUCCAUGUCAUGAGCAUCACGUUUAUUUUAUGACACACUGCACCCUAUGAAUAGUAUGAUAUAAGUUGUCUAUACUUUGACCUAAAUAUGUGCUUUUGGCAUUUGAGUACAUAAGUGUCAUUUUCUGAAAUGCACAUAUUUAGGGGGAGGAAACUAUAUCAUAGGAUUUAAAAUCUUAUUUAUCAAAUCUUAUGUAAGCUUUAAAUGUGUUGUCAUCAAUCACCAAAAAGGGGGAGAUUGAAAGUGCAUUCAUCCCUUUUGUGAGUUUUGGUGAUUUGGAUAACAACACAUUUAAAGGUCUAACGAGUUUGCUAAGUGUUGAACAGGAAAUUCAGUAUGAUGAACAUACUUGAAUAGUGUAUAAUGAUCAGUGAACAAAGGUUCAACACGAGGUUAAAUAACCAAUGAGACAAUGCAAAUGGAUAUAAUAUGAUCUCUAUAUUGGUUUGAAUAUAUGGACAAGACCUAAGAAAUCACUACAUACAUAUGAUCAGAAUAGAGGACAAAGUGAUUUAGAGGAUUGGUCAAGCCAAAGAGAAUAAGAUAUGAGAAAUCGUGAAUUGGCUUGACCAUAUUACUAUCAGUCCAUAUAUGCUUCUAUGAGAAUCAAACUAGAGCUUGAUUAAUCUUAACAGUUAUAUCUAGAAGACAUUCAAGCAAGGUUUACAAUAUUGAAGAAAUGAUUCUCUCAAUGGAUGCUCAAUAUGAUGUGACUCAAGAAUGGCUUGAUAGGGUGAAGAUAGCAAGGAAAGGGCUUCGAGGAACUAGGCGAAGGUGAAGGCCAAGCGACGGCUUGUAGACCGAGGUACCAUGGCUAAGGUGAAGAAGAGAGUACUUGCACUAAGUCGAUGAACUAAUCAGCUAUGAAGAGUUAUAACAUGUUGAUGCAUCAGUAAGGUGACUUGAAGCCAUGAUUUGAACUCAUAUAAGGUGAUAUGGUACAAGUCACAGGGUUUGGUUUGAGUUUGCUUCAAAAGGUGAGACAAAGAUGUUUGUGAUCCUUAUGAAGCAAUGCCAUGGAGAAAUCACACAUGAGACACCAAUGACUCAAGGAGUUUACUUCAUUUUAUUUUAUUUAACUUGAGUACAGGAAUCAUCGUACUAUAAAGGGGGAUCCAAAAAGAAGGUUGGUGUUUGCCAAAGCUCAAACCUCUCUAUUCAAAAGCUAUUUUUGAAAAGCAAAAAUCUCUUUAACGUUCUAUGGUUGACCGUGGUUAGGGUUGAGAAACCUAGAGUGUUCUUGCUGAAAAGCAGCUGAACUUCUUCAACUGCAGCUGAGCUUUCCAGCUGAACUUGACGAGCUUCUUCAGCUGCAGCUGAGCUUUUCAGCUGAGCUCAACUUCAGCUGAGUUGAGCUUUCUCAACUUCAGCUGAACUCAACUUCAGCUGUGAACCUCUUUGACCAUACACCAGCUGAACUUGCCUCCGGGCAGUUGAGCUGGGGUUUUCUCUCCUAAACUCACUGGUCAAGACCGGUUGAACUAGUCCUGAGGGGCAGUUCAGCUGGUCUCUGACCCCUCUGACCUCUGAUCUGCAGUCUGCCAGUCAGACUGGCAAACAGGUCGCCAGGAGCUGUCAGGGGCGGUUCAACCGCCCCCCCUAGGCGGUUCAACCGGUGUUGGUCAACUUUGACCAGUCUGCGGUCAGUCUGCGCGUCAGUCUGCCAGUCAGACUGGCAGACAGGCUGCCAGGCCUGGCAGGGGCGGUUCAACCGGUCUCAGGCAGAAAAAUCUGCCCAAACGGCUAGUUUUGAGCUCCACCUAUAUAUACUCACUCCUACCUCUCACCCCACAGCAGGGAGCACGAUUUGAACUCCAUUUCUAACCCAAGAAACACCUCCCUCUCUCUCACACACAUCUCUUGCCUCUCCCAUUUCAAAUCUUUGGAGAGAAAUCUUUGAGUGAGCUUGAGAGCUGCGGUUUUGUGCUUCAUCUCUAAAUCUCUCUUGCUCUUCUUCUUGAUUCGAGCUUUGGUACUACAUUGAGUUCUUUGUGGAUUCAUUACUCUUGGAGCUUCUAGCUCCUAGACGACUAGGUGUCUCUUGUGAGUCUCCAAAUCUUGUGGAAGACCACAAGAAAGUUUGUAUUACCCGCUCGUUUGAGCAAAGAUUAGUGUGUGAGCUUGACCUUUGUGGUCGGCAAAGGAAGGAUUAGGGUUGAAAGAGACCCGGCUCUUUGUGGGCGCCUCAACGAGGAAGUAGGGCACCUUGCACUACACCAAAAUAGUAAACUUCCUAGAGCCUAAACUCUAGGAAGUUAGGCCUAAACUCUAGGAAGUUAGCUAAACUCUCGGAAGUUAAGCCAUCCCGUCGGAAGUUUGGCUCUCGGAAAUUUUUUGUCGGAAGUUAGCUUAACUUCCUAGAGGCCUCUAGGAAGUUAGCUAACUUCCUACAGCCAAAAAAGCCUCUCGGAAGUUAGUAGAUUCUCGGAAGUUAGUAGCUUCACGCCGUCAGCGCCGUCAGCUGACUAACUUCCUAUGGCUGACUGUAGCCCCUAGGAAGUUAGCUGGCUAACUUCCUACGGCUUAAUAAGCCUCUAGGAAGUUAAUUUGACCAGCAUUACAAAUGUUGUUUAUUUUUAUUUUACACCACAUUCCACAACAUAACAAAUAUAUCAACAGCUAUAUAGCACAACAUAUUUUCUCAUAAAACAUCUCACACACAAUCACAUAACCAUAUUUAAAUCCAUAGUCUCAUCAAUUACAUCACAAAAGUCUCAUCCAUAGUCUCAUCAAUUACAUCAUAAAAGUCUUAUCCAUAGUCUCAUCAAUUACAUCACAAAAGUCUCAUCCAUAGUCAUAAUAGGACACAUCUCAUCAUCCAGUACUAAUAAGAGACAAUAUCUCAUACAUAGUCAUAAAAGUCUCAUUACAAAUGCAGUUUGUACCAGGAUUCACCUUCAGAGUAUCUCCCUACAAAGCAGGAUGAGCGCUAACGUCAGUGGAACCAAACUAAAAUGAAAGAGAGGAUUGGAACUAGAGUAUAAACCUUUUAAAAAUUUCAGAACAUAGUACCUUUGAAAAGAUUCAUUCUUGCAUCUGGUGGACCACAGUUAUCAGAUAAGUGAUACUUUCCUGAAAGUAUACCCAUUGCCAUUGGGUUGUAAGGCAGCAAGCUGAUUCUGCAAAUGCCAUAGUUCGACAAUGGAAGUUCAGAAGAAAAACAAUUGUAUAAAUUGAGUCAAAACAGAAUACAAUUUGGAAAAUAUCUUAACCAAGAGCAAAUACGAUAUGACAAUGCCAUUCUUCUUUAAACUAAACAGAUGUCAAUAUUUUUUCGAACAUGCAGGAGAGCUAUGUAUCGUUGUAUCAUAGUCAUAGAGAGUAAAAAAAGCCAAUAUGCAUUACCAACUCAUGCCAGGACCAUACAUGAGAAGAUUAGAGACACUGAAGACAACAGUCAGGGCUUCUGACCAUGUCAAGCAUACCUCUCAUGAUGGCAGCAUUCUGCCAAUCCAGAAUCAAAAUUUUGGCACAACAAAUUAUACAAGUUCUACAAAAACAUAGGUGAAGAAAUAUGGAGAGCGAUUACAGUACUACAGAUUAGAUCAAACUAUGCUACUUACCUGCAUUGUCAGUAGCUUUGGAAGCAACUGAGAAUCCUUACUGAACUAAAGAAAUUUCAUCAAACCAUAUGGUGUAUCAUUGGAACAGACGUGUACUGGCAGUUCGGAUCAUACUCUGUCUCCCCAAACAUUGGAACAUACCUGCAAGUAGAAAAAAACAGUGGAUCAUACUCUGUCUCCUCAUAGCCGAAGCUAAGUAUGCAACAACAAUUAUUCGAGGAAAAACUCUACUAACAUCUAUGUAUCGUCACUAAGGGUGACUAUUUAUGCAAUUUGUAUUACAAAAACUUAGAUCAUGCCUAGAGCAGAAGUAACAAGCGUUCGAAUUAAACAAUCAAUUCCUAAAGACACAACCACACUAGCGAGCAUCUGAGCACAAGAGCAAAUAUGAGGUUUUGCAGAGUGAACACAGAACAAAAAGGUCUACCAAUUGACCACCUGCCAUCGAUUGCCGCUGCGAUGUUCCGUGAAUCGAGAGAUGACGGCCUGCCGCGAAUCCACGUCAUCUGCCAUGAAGGCCCCGCGACCUGUUCUCCCAGCAUAGCGUCACCAAACAAAGCACCAAGUUGAGUUCACCGCUCCGUCACAAAAUUCACAAUACAUACAAGCAACUGAAGUACGGGCAGGAUCUGAGGGCUGUUGCUCCCUUUGGUUGCGACAACGAUGCUGUCCGGUGGGGCCCGGCGGGCCCGCAACCAGCGGCCGAGGAGCUCCUCACUACGCCCGUGCGUCUUGCUGCGUUGUGGAACCGAGUACCUGACGAGUAUCUGGAUUCGGGGCCGGGGGCGGCGGGCGGGGCCGAAGGUGGGCCGAGGUGGGGGCGGCCGCGGUGGAUGGGGCUGGUGGUGGCUGCGUCCGCGGUGGGUGGGGUCGGGGCGAGGGCGUCCGCGGCGGACGGGGUCGGGGGCGGCCGUGGCGAGGGCGGGCAGGGGCGGCCGCGACGUGGGCGGUCGGUGGCGUGGGCGGUGAGGGCGACUGGCGACUGGCGGCUGGCGGGGCCGGAGGCGGGCCUUGGCGGGGGCGGCCACGGUGGAUGGAGCCGAGGGCGGUGGCGUCCGUGGUGGACGGGGCUGGGCCAGGGGCGUCCGCAGCGUACGGGGCCGGGGGUGGCCGCGGCGGGGGCAGGGGCGGGCGGGGGCGGCCGGUGGCGUGGGCAGCGGGGGCGGCGGGCGGCGGGCGGCUCCAUGGAAGAGACAAAGGCGAGAGAGAUGGGGUUGAGAAAUGUGAGAGAAGAGAUAAGGUUGAGGAGAGGUUUAAAAUAAAAAAUAACUUCCUAGAGUAAAGCCGUAGGAAGUUACGUAACUUCCUAGAGUUUGUACAUUUACUCUAGGAAGUUAAAUAACUUCCUAGAGCCGACCGUAGGAAGUUAGCUUUUCGUUUGACUGGUCAAAAGCUGAAAUCUAACUUCCUAGAGCUGGUCGUAGGAAGUUAGCUUUUCGUUUGACUGGUCAACAGCUAAAACCUAACUUCCUAGAAGAGGCCGUAGGAAGUUAGCUGGGCAGCUAACUUCCUAGAGCCAGCCGUAGGAAGUUAGCUUUUCUUUUGGCUGGUCAAUAGCUAAAACCUAACUUCCUAGAGCAGGCCGUAGGAAGUUAGCUAACUUCCUACGGUUUUUUAACUUCCGACAGCUUUUAUAAAAGACCGUAGGAAGUUAGGUUUAUUUCCUAGAGCUACCAGUUGCCUCUCGGAAGUUAUUUAUUUCCUACGGUUUGUUACAAAAGCUGUAGGAAGUUAAAAAACCGUAGGAAGUGUAUGAUUUUGGUGUAGUGUUGGUGGUGUGACCGAACCUCGGGAUAAAUCUUGUGUCUUUUGUGUUCUUGUUCAUUGUGCUUAUUCGUGUUCUUCGUUCUCUCACCAUUGCGUGGAAGAUUUGUUCAUAUCUUUUUGGUGUGUGGAUUUUGAGAAGUGCCCUUCUCAGAUCUACUACUUUGAACCCUGUGGAUCAUUUAGAACAUCUCAUUUCCAAAGUUAACUGGGUGAAUUUCGAGAUCAAUUCAGUUUUAUAUCUCAUUCUUUAGUUAAGCUCGUUCAAACCAGUUGCACCGGUUUUGACACUGGACGGUUUUACCUAGUUUGUUUCUAGUUUUUUGUUGAAAAAGUUUUAACUUGCCUAUUCACCCCCCCUCUAGACAACUUUCAAAGUUACAUUAGUACCUUCGACUUGACAGAAGGUAAAAGUCCGAGGGUUACGUGCGAGCGAUUACAAGUCAGCGUGAACAGUAUGGUGUUACUGUUCAUCUAUUUAUAGGCACAAGACGUAGCCUGGGUAAAAUUACAUUCAUGUCCCUGACACUUACUAUUAGCUAAAAGGUAAGAUGUCGAGGACUAAGCAGUCUUUUCCCUUUUAAGUCGGUUUCAUUCUCCAUCGUCAUCUUUGCGCUAAGCCGAAGCUUUUCCAUCCACAGCUUCGGAACUGGUCCAUCCUUCUUCCAGGUCGCGCCUUUCAUACUAUGUACACCUUCAUCUCAAAGCCAAAGCCUCCUGUGACAGUAUACUAUACUGGAAGACAUGUUAGUCAUGUUUUUGAGGACCAUCGAAAGACAAAGGCCCCCAAUAGAGAUGAGAAUGUUAGAUUAAGUGCUACGAUAGAGGAAUUAAAUGUUUGCAAACCCUCUACAUCUAAUGUUGAUCAUGUUUCUAUUUGCACUAGAUGUAUAGAGAUUAAUGUAGAAGCUAUUGAUGAUCACCUUGCUAUGAUUAAACAACAAAAUGAUCACAUAGCUAAAUUAACUGCUAAAAUUGUCGAGCAUGAGCUAGAAAAUGAAAAAUUUAAAUUUGCUCGUAGUAUGCUCUAUAACGGGAGAUGCCCUAGCAUUAAGGAUGGCAUUGGUUUCCAACAGGGGAGCAAUGUCAAGCUUAAUGCCCCUAAAAAAUUAUCUAACUUUGUAAAGGGCAAGGCUCCCAAGGUUCAGGAUAGUGAAGGCUACAUUUUAUAUCCUGCUAACUAUCCUAAGCAGAAAAUUAGGAGAAUUCAUGCUAGAAAACCUCACACUGUUUCUCAUCAUGCAUUUAUGUAUAAAAAUGAGGCUUCUAGCUCUAGGCAAUCAACUCAUGUUAAAUUGCCUAAAACGAAAACUCCCACUGCAUCAAAUGAACACAACAUUUCAUUUAAGACUUUUGAUGCUUCAUAUGUUUUAACUAACAAAUUAGGCAAAGUAGUUGCCAAAUAUGUUGAGGGCAAACACAAGAGCUCCAAAACUUGUGUUUGGGUACCCAAGGUGCUUGUUUCUAAUGUGAAAGGACCCAAGACCGUUUGGGUACCUAAGAACAAGGCCUAAAAUUGUUUUGUAGGUUUAUGCAUCUGGUGGUUCAAGUUGGAUAAUCGAUAGCGGGUGCACAAACCACAUGACAGGGAGAAGAGAAUGUUCUCCUCCUAUGAGAAAAAUGAAGAUCCCCAAAGAGCUAUCACAUUCGGGGAUAGAAAUCAAGGAUUGGUCAAAGGUUUGGGUAAAAUAGCUACAUCUCCUGACCAUUCUAUUUCCAAUGUUUUUCUUGUAAAUUCUUUAGAUUACAAUUUGCUUUCUGUUUCUCAAUUAUGCAAAAUGGGCUACAACUGUCUAUUUACAGAUGUAGGUGUUACUGUCUUUAGAAGAUGUGAUGAUUCAAUAGCAUUUAAGGGAGUGUUAGAGGGUCAGCUAUAUUUAGUUGAUUUUAAUGAGAACAAAGCUGAACUUAACACUUGCUUAAUUGCUAUGACUAAUAUGGGUUGGCUCUAGCAUCGUCGACUAGCCCAUGUUGGAAUGAAGAAUCUUCAUAAGCUUCUAAAGGGAGAGCACAUUUUAGGACUAACAAAUGUUCAUUUUGAGAAAGACAGGGUUUGUAGUUCAUGCCAAGCAGGAAAGCAAGUUGGCGCUCAUCAUCCACACAAGAACAUAAUGACGACUGACAGACCGCUCGAGCUACUCCACAUGGAUUUAUUUGGCCUGAUAGCUUACAUAAGCAUCGGUGGGAGUAAGUACUGUCUAGUUAUAGUGGAUGAUUAUUCUCGCUUCACUUGGGUAUUCUUUUUGCAAGAAAAAUCACAAACCCAAGAGACCUUAAAAGAAUUCUUAAGAUGGGCUCAAAAUGAGUUUGGAUUAAGGAUAAAAAAUAUAAGAAGCGACAAUGGGACAGAGUUCAAGAAUUCACAAAUAGAAGGAUUUCAUGAGGAUGAGGGCAUCAAGCAUGAGUUCUCUUCUCCCUACACACCUCAACAAAAUGGUGUAGCGGAGAGGAAUAAUAGAACUCUACUGGACAUGGCAAGAACCAUGCUUGAUUAGUACAAGACACCGGACCGGUUUUGGGCUGAGGCGAUUAACACCGCCUGCUACUCCAUCAACCGACUCUACCUUCACCGAAUCCUCAAGAAGACAUCAUAUGAACUCCUCACUGCUAAAAAGCCAAAUGUUUCAUAUUUUAGAGUCUUUGGGAGUAAAUGCUUUAUUCUUGUUAAGAGAGGUAGAAAAUCUAAAUUUGCUCCUAAAGCUGUAGAAGGCUUUUUACUUGGUUAUGACUCAAACACAAGGGCAUAUAGAGUCUUCAACAAAUCCACUCGAUUGGUUGAGGUUUCUUGUGACAUUGUGUUUGAUGAGACUAAUGGCUCCCAAGUGGAGCAAGUUUAUCUUGAUGAACUAGAUGAUGAAGAGGCUCCAUGCGUCGCGCUAAGGAACAUGUCCAUUGGGGAUGUGUGUCCUAAGGAAUCCAAAGAGCCCACACAAGCACAAGAUCAACCGUCAUCUUCCAUGCAAGCAUCUCCACCAACUCAAGAUGAGGAUCAGGCUCAAGUUGAUGAAAAUGAAGAUCAAGAGGAUGAGCCACCUCAAGAGGAGGACAAUGAUCAAGGGGGAGAUGAAGAGAAUAAAGACAAGGAAGAUGAUCAAGAAAUUCAGGGACAAAGACCGCCACAUCCAAGAGUCCACCAAGCAAUUCAACGAGAUCACCUCGCCAACUCCAUCCUCGGUGACAUUCAUAAGGGGGUAACCACUAGAUCUCGAGUUGCUCAUUUCUGUGAACAUUACUCUUUUGUUUCCUCUAUUGAGCCAUACAUGGUAGAGGAUGCACUAAGAGAUCUAGAUUGGGUGCUGGCAAUGCAAGAGGAGCUCAAUAACUUCACGAGGAAUGAGGUAUGGCAUUUAGUUCUAGGUCCUAAUCAAAAUGUUGUAUGUACCAAGUGGGUAUUCCGCAACAAGCAAGAUGAGCAUGGUGUGGUGACAAGGAACAAAGCUCGACUUGUGGCCAAAGGUUAUUCACAAGUCGAAGGUUUGGAUUUCGAUGAAGCUUAUGCACCCGUAGCUAGGCUUGAGUCAAUUCGAAUAUUACUUGCCUAUGCUACUUACCAUGGCUUUAAGCUUUAUCAAAUGGAUGUAAAAAGUGCCUUCCUUAAUGGACCUAUCAAGGAAGAGGUCUAUGUUGAGCAACCUCCCAGCUUUGAAGAUAGUGAGUACCCUAACCAUGUGUAUAAACUCUCAAAGGUGCUUUAUGGGCUCAAGCAAGCCCCAAGAGAAUGGUAUGAAUGCCUGCGACAUUUUCUUAUCACUAAUGGCUUCAAAGUCGAAAAAGACGAUCCUACUCUCUUUACUAAAACUGUUGCAAAAGAUUUGUUCGUAUGCCAAAUUUAUGUUGAUGAUAUUAUAUUUGGGUCUACUAACAAAUCAACUUGUGAAGAGUUUAGUAGGAUCAUGAUACAAAAAUUUGAGAUGUCAAUGAUGGGGAGUUGAAGUAUUUUCUAGGAUUUCAAAUCAAACAACUCCAAGAUGGUACCUUCAUCAACCAAACAAAGUACAUUCAAGACAUACUUAAGAAGUUUGGGAUGAAGGAUAGCAAACCCAUCAAAACACCCAUGGGAACCAAUGGGCAUCUCGACCUCGACAUGGGAGGUAAAUCCGUAGAUCAAAAGGUAUACCGGUCGAUGAUAGGAUCUUUACUCUAUUUAUGUGCAUCUCGACCGGAUAUUAUGCUUUCAGUAUGCAUGUGUGCAAGGUUCCAGGCAGAUCCUAAGGAAAAUCACCUUAGGGUCGUGAAGAGAAUCAUGAGAUACUUAGUUUACACUCCUAAGUUUGGGCUUUGGUACCCCAAGGGAUCCACUUUUGAUUUAAUAGGAUAUUCCUAUGCCGACUGGGCAGGGUGUAAAAUUGAUAGGAAGAGCACAUCAGGGACUUGUCAGUUUCUGGGGAGAUCCCUGGUGUCUUGGGCUUCAAAGAAACAAAACUCAGUAGCUCUUUCUACCGCCGAAGUCGAGUACAUUGCCGCAUGUCACUGUUGCACGCAAUUACUUUGGAUGAGGCAAACCCUUAGGGACUAUGGCUACAAAUUGAGCAAAGUCCCUCUCCUAUGUGAUAAUGAGAAUGCAAUCCGCAUGGCGGAUAAUCCCAUUGAACACAGCCACACUAAGCACACAGACAUUCGGUAUCACUUUCUGAGGGAUCACCAACAAAAGGGAGAUAUCGAGAUUGCUUAUGUGAACGCUCAAAACCAAUUAGCCGAUAUCUUUACCAAGCCAUUAGAUGAGAAAACCUUUAGCAAACUUAGGAAUGAGCUAAAUAUACUUGAUUCUCGGAUUUUUGAUUGAAACAUUGCACACAUAGCUCAUUUAUAUACCUUUGAUCAUGUCUCUUUCAUUCUGGUACAAAUGCAUAUUUCUUAUUAUGUACCAAGGCUACGACUAAUAUGUUUUCAAGUGUAUUUCUAUACUAAGUCGUAGAUUGAAAGGGAAAUGGAGUCUUCGGCAAAGAACAAGGCUUCCACUCCACAACUCUGACGGUAUUAUCUACCCUUUGCCGUUGUUCCUCCACUCUCAAUUGGUAUAACCAUUCACUCAUAUUUAUAUUACCAUUUGGGAGAAAGAUGCACAAAGGACUCUCAACGUCUCCGUUUUUGGUGAUUAAUGCCAAAGGGGAGAGAAUAUUAAGCCCAAAGCAAAAGGACCGCACCACCACCAAUUUCAAAAUUUUCAAAAUAAGGUUUUAAUUGAUUUUUUUCACAUUGGUAUCUAUGUGAUGGAAAUUUCUUCAAUUGGUAUUCAGGAGGGAGUUUUUAUUCAGGAGGUCAAUUUUCAAAUUAGUAUCUAUUUCAAAAACCCUCUUGAAAGCUAAGAGGAGAAUUUUAUUCAGGAGGGAGUUUUUAUUUAGUCAAAGGAAAAGCAUUUGAAACAGGGGGAGAAAUUUCAAAUCUUGAAAAUGCUUCUUGCAAUAUUAUUCAUAUACCUUUGACUAUUUGCAAAAAGACUUUCCAAAAAGAUUUGUAAAAACAAAACAAGUGGUGCAAAUGUGGUCCAAAAUGUUAAAUAAAAGAAAAAGCAAUCCAUUCAUAUCUAGUGAGAUUUCCAAAUGGUUUAACUUCAUGUAACCUAUGCACAAUCCAAAUGCAAACUAUUUACAUUUCUGCACUUAUUAUUUGCUUUGGUUUGUGUUGGCAUCAAUCACCAAAAAGGGGGAGAUUGAAAGGGAAAUAGGGUAAACCUUUUCCCAUAAUUAAUUUUGGUGGUUGAUCGUCAACACAAACACAUGGACUAACUAGUUUGUCUAGAACUCAUGUGUUACAGGUGCAUAAGGUUCAACAUAAACCAAUAAAAGAUUCAAGUUAGGGACUAAAUUUGAAACACAACAAAGAACUUGAGUGUGCUGUGGACUGGCGCACCGGACAGUGUCCGGUGCACCAGGGUCGUACGUACAAGUUCCAACCAGCCACUCUCGGGAAUUUAACAGCGCCCCUCCGCUAUAAUUCACCAGACUGUCCGGUGUGCCACAGGACUGUCCGGUGUGCUAGCGGAGCAACGGCUAACUCGCGCAACGGUUGACUCUGAUAGAAGCUACAAUGAGCAACAGUGCCGCGCAGAAGUUAGAACAGUGAAGUCAGAGGGGCACCGGACUGUCCGGUGUGGCACCAGACUGUUCGGUGCCGCAAGAGAACAAAGCUCCAACGGUCGCCCGAGCUCCAAACCCUAACGGUUGGGUGAUGUGGCGGUGCACCGGAUAGCGCACAGUACCUGUCUGGUGGCGCACCGUUCUCUCCGGUGCGCCCAUCGCCAGCAGCCUCCCCAACGGCUACCAAAGUGGUUGGGGGCUAUAAAUACCCCCAACCACCACAACUUCAAGCAUCCAAGUUUUCUGAAGAUCACAUUCAAUACAAGAGCUCUAGCAUUCACUCCAAGACAUAAUACAAAAGAUCAAAUCCUCUCCGAGUCCCAAAUUCAUUCCAAACACUUAGUGGCUUGUGAGAGAGAAUUUUGUGUUUAUUUGAGUUCUUGUCGCUUGGAUUGCCUUUCUUCUUUUCCAAUUCUUACUCUCAAGUGCUUUGUAAGCGAGGCAAGAGACACCAAGUGUGUGGUGGUCCUUGCGGGGGUCUUAGUGACCCAUGAGAUUAAGGAAGAAGGCUCACUCGGUCUAAGUGACCGUUUGAGAGAGAGAAAGGGUUGAAAUAGACCCGGUCUUUAUGACCUCCUCAACGGGGACUAGGUUCUUUGGAACCGAACCUCGGUAAAACAAAUCAUCGUGUCAUUCGCUUUAUUUUUUUGGUUGAUUUGUUUUCCCCUCUCUCCCGGACUCAGAUUUUAUUCUAACGCUAACCCCGGCUUGUAGUGUGUUUAAAGUUGUAAAUUUCAGUUUCCGUCUAUCCACCCCCCCUCUAGGCGACUUUCAAUUGGUAUCAAAGCUGGUACUUCAUUAGAGUCUAACCACUCGAAGUGAUGUCGGGAGGAUCCGCCAAGAGGGAGAUGGAAACGGGCACAAGCCACGGGAAGGCUCCAUCAAAGGAGUCCAGUGCCAAAGGAAGGGAGGAAUAACCUCCAUGAGUCAAGUCGCAUCGGAGUGGCGACAAGAAGAAGAAGAUGAAGAAAGUGGUCUACUACGAGACCGAUUCUUCGUUGCCAUCCACCUCCGGCUCCGAUGCGGCAUCCAUCACUUCUAAGCGCCAUGAGUGCAAGAAGUUUAGUAAGAUACCCCUACGCUAUCCCCGUAUUUCUAAAUGUGCUCCUUUACUUUCUGUUCCAUUAGGCAGACCACCAGUUUUUUAUGGUGAAGAUUAUUCUAUGUGGAGUGUUAAAAUGAAAGGUCAUCUAACCUCACUCCACGAAAGCAUAUGGGAUGUUGUUUAGUAUGGAGCGCAGGUACCACAGGUGGGGGAUAAGGACUAUGACUCGGACGAAGUCACCCAAAUAAGGCACUUUAAGUCCCAAGCAACUACUAUACUCCUUGCCUCUUUAAGUCGAGAGGAGUAUAACAAAGUACAUGGGUUAGAGACCGCCAAAGAAAUUUGGGACGUCCUCAAGACCGCACAUGAAGGGGACAAUGUGACGAAGAUCACCAAAAGGGAGACGAUCGAGGGAGAGCUCGGUCGAUUCGUCCUCAACCAUGGGGAAGAGCCGCAAGCCAUGUACAACCGGCUAAAGACCAUGGUGAACCAAGUGCGCAACCUCGGGAGCACCAAAUGGGAUGACCAUGAAAUGGUCAAGGUUAUUCUAAGAUCCCUCAUUUUUCACAAUCCUACGCAAGUUCAAUUAAUACGUGGUGAUCCUAGAUAUAAGCUAAUGUCUCCCGAGGAGGUUAUAGAAAAGUUUGUGAGCUUUGAAUUGAUGAUCAAAGGCUCCAAACAAAUCAUCAACUUGGAGCAAGGCGGCACCUCCACACCCGAGGUGCAACUCGUCGCAUUCAAAGCGACGGAGGAGAAGAAAGAAGAGUCUACAUCAAGUAGGCUCCCCAUCGACUCCUCCAAGCUUGACAACGAGGAGAUGGCACUCAUCAUUAAGAGCUUUCGCCAAAUCCUCAAGCAAAGGAAGGGGAAAGACUACAAGCCCUGUUCCAAAAGGGUGUGCUACAAGUGUGGUAAGCCCGGUCAUUUUAUUGCAAAAUGUCCUAUAUCUAGUGAUAGUGAUAGGGGCGACGACAAGAGGGGGGAGAAGGAGAAGAAGAGAUAUUACCAGAAGAAGGGCGGCGAUGCCCAUGUGUGUCAGGAAUGGGACUCCGACAUGAGCUCCACCGACUCCUCCUCCGACGAGGAUGUCACCAACAUCGCCGUCAACAAAGGUCUCCUCUUCCCCAACAUCGGCCACAAGUGCCUCAUGGCAAAGGACGGCAAAAGGAAGAAGGUAAAAUCUAGAGCCUCCACUAAAUAUACAACAUCUAGUGAUGAGAGUAGCUCUAGUGAAGAUGAGGAUAAUUUGCUUACCCUUUUUGCCAACCUUAACAUGCAACAAAAGGAAAAAUUAAAUGAAUUGAUAGUAGCCAUUCAUGAGAAGGAUGAACUCUUGGACAGCCAAGAGGAAUUCCUUAUUAAGGAAAAUGAAAAGCAUGUUAAGGUGAAAAAUGCUUAUGCUCAAGAAGUAGAGAAAAAUGAAAGCUUGACUAAGGAGCUUAGCAUUUGCCAUGACACUAUUUCUAACCUUAGAACUGAGAAUGUUAGUUUAAAUGCUAAGGUUGAGAAAUUAAAUGCUUGUAAUGAUUCAAUUGCCAAUCUUAGAAAUGAGAAUGCUAGUUUAAUUGCUAAGAUUGAUAAAUUGAACGAAUCAAUUUCUAGCCUUAAGACUGAGAAUGCUAAUUUAAUUUCCAAGGCUAGAGACUUAAAUGGUUGUAAUGAUUCCAUUUCCUGUCUUAGAGAUGAAAAUGCAAUAUUACAUGCUAAGAUAGAUGAAUUAAAUGCUUGCAAACCCUCUACAUCUACAAUAGAACAUGUCGCCAUUUGUACUAGAUGUAGAGAUGUUAAUAUUGAUGCUAUUCAUGAUCACCUUGCUUUAAUUAAACAACAAAAUGAUCAUAUAGCUCAAUUAGCUAGUAAAAUCAAUGAGCAUGAGAUAGAAAAUGAAAAAUUUAAAUUUGCUAGAAGCAUGCUCUAUAAUGGGAGAUGCCCUGGCAUCAAGGAUGGCAUUGGUUUCCAACAGGGAAGCAAUGUCAAACUUAAUGCCCCUAAAAGAUUGUCUAAUUUUGUUAAGGGCAAGGCUCCCAUGGUUCAGGAUAACGAGGGCUAUAUUUUAUAUCCUGCUGGUUAUCCCGAACACAAAAUUAGGAGAAUUCAUGCUAGGAAAACUCAUUCUGUUUCUCAUCAUGCACUUAUGUAUAAGAAUGAGGCUUCUAGCUCUAGGCAAUCAACUCAUGUUAAAUUGCCUAAAAAGAAAACUCCUACCGCAUCAAAUAAACCUAAUAUUUCAUUUAAGACUUUUGAUGCUUCAUAUGUUUUGACUAACAAAUCAGGCAAAGUAGUUGCCAAAUAUGUUGGGGGCAAACACAAGGGGUCAAAGACUUGUGUUUGGGUAUCCAAGGUGCUUGUUUAUAACAUCAAAGGACCCAAUAUUGUUUGGGUACCUAAGAACAAGGCCUAAAUUGUUUUGCAGGUUUAUGCAUCCAGGGGCUCAAGUUGGAUUAUUGAUAGCGGAUGCACAAACCACAUGACAGGGGAGAAAAUGAUGUUCUCCUUCUACGAGAAAAACGAAGAUCCCCAAAGAGCUAUCACAUUUAGGGAUGGAAAUCAAGGUUUGGUCAAAGGACUUGGUAAAAUUGCUAUAUCACCUGACCACUCUAUUUUCAAUGUUUUUCUUGUAGAUUCUUUAGAUUACAAUUUGCUUUCUGUUUCUCAAUUAUGUAAAAUGGGCUACAACUGACUUUUUACGGAUAUAUGUGUUACUGUCUUUAGAAGAAGUGAUUAUUCAGUAGCAUUUAAGGGAGUAUUAGAGGGUCAGCUAUACUUAGUUGAUUUUAAUAGAGCUGAACUCGUACUUGCUUAAUUGCUAAGACUAAUAUGGGUUGGCUCUGGCAUCGCCGACUAGCCCAUGUUGGGAUGAAGAAUCUUCACAAGCUUCUAAAGGGAGAGCACAUUUUGGGACUAACCAAUGUUAAUUUUGAGAAAGACAGGGUUUGUAGCGCAUGUCAAGCAGGAAAGCAAGUUGGCGCCCAUCAUCCACACAAGAACAUCAUGACGACUGACAGGCCGCUUGAGCUACUCCACAUGGAUCUAUUUGGCCCGAUAGCUUACAUAAGCAUCGGCAGGAGUAAGUACUAUCUAGUAAUUGUGGAUGAUUAUUCUCGCUUCACUUGGGUAUUCUUUUUGCUGGAAAAAUCUCAAACCCAAGAAACUUUAAAGGGAUUCUUGAGACGAGCUCAAAAUAAGUUCGGAUUAAGGAUCAAUAAAAUAAGAAGCGACAAUGGGAUGAAGUUCAAGAACUCUCAAAUUGAAGGCUGUCUUGAGGAGGAGGGCAUCAAGCAUGAGUUCUCUUCUCCCUACACACCUCAACAAAAUGGUGUAGUGGAGAGGAAGAAUAGAACUCUACUGGACAUGGCAAGGACCAUUCUUGAUGAGUAUAAGACACCGGACCGGUUUUGGGCGGAAGCAAUCAACAUUGCUUGCUACUCCAUCAACCGGUUCUACCUUCACCGAAUCAUCAAGAAGACAUCAUAUGAACUCCUCACCAGUAAAAAGCCUAAUGUUUCAUAUUUUAGAGUCUUUGGUAGCAAAUGUUUUAUUCUUGUUAAAAGAGAUAGAAAAUCUAAAUUUGAUCCUAAGGUUGUAGAAGGCUUUUUACUUGAUUAUGACUCAAACACAAGGGCAUAUAGAGUCUUCAACAAAUCCACUGGAUUAGUUGAGGUUUCUUGUGACAUUGUGUUUGAUGAGACUAAUGGCUCCCAAGUGGAGCAACUUGAUCUUGAUGAGCUAGAUGAUGAAGAGGCUCUAUGCAUCGCGCUAAGGAACAUGUCCAUUGGGGAUGUGUGUCCUAAGGAAUCCGAAGAGCCCACUCAUGCACAAGAUCAACCGUCAUCUUCCAAUCAAGCAUCUCCACCAACUCAAGAUGAGGAUCAGGCUCAAGACAAUGAAAAAGAAGAUCAAGAGGAUGAGUCACCUUAAGAGGAGGACAAUGAUCAAGGGGGAGAUGACCAUGACAAGGACAAGGAAGAUGAGCAAGAGAUUUAGGGUCAAAGACCGCCACACCCAAGAGUCCACCAAGCGAUUCAAAGAGAUCACCUCGUGAACUCCAUUCUCGGUGAUAUUCAUAAGGGGGUAACCACUCAAUCUCGAGUCACUCAUUUUUCUGAACAUUACUCUUUUGUGUCCUCUAUUGAGCCAUACCGGGUGGAGAAUGCACUAAGAGAUUCGGAUUGGGUGCUGGCAAUGCAAGAGGAGCUCAACAACUUCACGAGGAAUGAGGUAUGGCAUUUAGUUCCACGUCCUAACCAAAUUGUUGUAGGUACCAAGUGGGUAUUCCGCAACAAGCAAGAUGAGCAUGGUGUGGUGAUAAGGAACAAAGCCCAACUUGUGGCCAGGGGAUAUUCACAAGUCAAAGGUUUGGAUUUCGGUGAAACAUAUGCACCCGUAGCUAGGCUUGAGUCAAUUCGUAUAUUACUUGCCUAUGCUACUUACCAUGGCUUUAAGCUUUAUCAAAUGGACGUGAAAAGUGCCUUCCUCAAUGGACCAAUCAAGGAAGAGGUCUAUGUUGAUCAACCUCCCGGCUUUGAAGAUAGUGAGUACCCUAACCAUGUUUAUAAACUCUCAAAGGCGCUUUAUGGGCUCAAGCAAGCCCUAAGAGCAUGGUAUGAAUGCCUGCGAGAUUUUCUUAUCACUAAUGGCUUCAAAGUCGGAAAAGCCGAUCCUACACUCUUUACUAAAACUAUUGCAAAAGAUUUGUUUGUAUGCCAAAUUUAUGUUGAUGAUAUCAUAUUUGGGUCUACUAACAAAUCUACAUGUGAAGAGUUUAGUAGGAUCAUGAUUCAAAAAUUCAAGAUGUCUAUGAUGGGGGAGUUGAAGUAUUUUCUAGAAUUUCAAGUCAACCAACUCCAAGAUGGCACCUUCAUCAGCUAAACAAAGUACAUGCAAGACAUACUUAACAAGUUUGGAAUGAAGGAUGCCAAGCCCAUCAAGACACCCAUGGGAACAAAUGGGCAUCUCGACCUCGACACGGGAGGUAAAUCCGUAGAUCAAAACGUAUACCAGUCGAUGAUAGGAUCUUUACUCUACUUAUGUGCAUCUUGACCGGAUAUUAUGCUUUCUGUAUGCAUGUGUGCAAGGUUCCAAGCCGAUCCUAAGGAUUCACCUUAGGGUCGUGAAAAGAAUCAUAAGAUAUUUAGUAUACACUCCUAAGUUUGGACUUUGGUACCCCAAGAGAUCCACUUUUGAUUUAAUAGGUUAUUCAGAUGCUGAUUGGGCAGGGUGUAAAAUUGAUAGGAAGAGCACAUCAGGGACUUGUCAGUUUUUAGGGAGAUCCCUCGUGUCUUGGGCUUCAAAGAAACAAAUCUCAGUAGCUCUUUCUACCGCCGAAGCCGAGUAUAUUGCCGCAGGUCAUUGUUGUGUGCAAUUACUUUGGAUGAGGCAAACCCUUAGGGACUAUGGCUACAAAUUGAGCAAAGUCACUCUCCUAUGUGAUAAUGAGAGUGCAAUCCACAUGGCGGAUAAUCCCGUUGAACACAGCCACACUAAGCACAUAGACAUUCGGUAUCACUUUUUGAGGGAUCACCAACAAAGGGGGGAUAUCGAGAUCGCUUAUGUUAGCACCAAAGAACAAUUAGCCGAUAUCUUCACUAAGCCAUUAGAUGAGAAAACCUUUAGCAAACUUAGGAAUGAGCUAAAUAUACUUGAUUCUCGGAAUUUUGAUUGAAACAUUGCACACAUAGCUCAUUUAUAUACCUUUGAUCAUAUCUCUUUUAUGUCUACGACUAAUGUGUUUUCAAGUGUAUUUCUAUGCUAAGUCGUAGAUUGAAAGGGAAAUGGAGUCUUCGGCGAAGACAAGGCUUCCACUCCACUCUAUCGGUAUCAUCUACCCUUCGUCGUCACUCCACAUCACUCUUCGAUUGGUAUAAUCUUCACUCAUAUUUACUUGUACCAAUGGGAGAGAAAGUAACAAAGGGCUCUCAAAGUCUCCGUUUUUGGCGAUUAAUGCCAAAGGGGGAGAAAUAUUAAGCCCAAAGCAAAAGGACCGCACCACCACCAAUUUCAAAAUUUUCAAGAAUUUUUCAAAUUGGUAUCUAAAUGUAUUUGAUCUUAUUCAAUUUGGUAUUUACAAAAAUUGGUAAAACCCUCUUGAACACUAAGAGGAGCAUUUGGUUCAGGGGGAGUUUUGUUUAGUCAAGGAAAAGCAUUUGAAACAGGGGGAGAAAUUUCAAAUCUUCAAAAUGCUUCUUGCAAUCUUAUUCAUAUACCUUUGACUAUUUGCAAAAGACUUUAAAAAAAUUCAAAAAAGAUUUGCAAAAACAAAACAAGUGGUGCAAAUGUGGUCCAAAAUAUUAAAUAGAAGAAAGCAAUCCAUUCAUAUCUAGUGAAAUUAUAAAUUGGUUUAAUUCCAAGUAACCUAUGCACUUACCCUAUGCAAACUAGUUCAAUUCUGCACUUAUAUAUUUUCUUUGGUUUGUGUUGGCAUCAAUCACCAAAAAGGGGGAGAUUGAAAGGGAAAUAGGGUUAACCUUUUCCCAAUAUUAAUUUUGGUGGUUGAAUGCCCAACACAAAUAAUGGACUAACUAGUUUUCUCUAGAGUAUAUGAUCUACAGGUGCAUAAAGGAUCAACACAAAUCAAUAAAAGAUUGAAGAUAGGGUUCGAAUACAAAGGAGCAAAGAAACCGAGUGUGCCCUGGUCUGGCGCAUCAGACUGUCCGGUGUGCCACCGGACAGUGUCUGGUGCACCAGGACCAUACAGAGUCUAAACAGCCACUCUCGGGUUUCAACCAGCGCGCUCCGCUAUAAUUCACCGGACUGUCCGAUGCACCAGCGGAGCAAUGGCUACUUCGCGCAACGGUCGCCUGCAAAAGCUGAAGAACAGAGGAACAGUACACAAACAGUGCGCGGCAGAGGCGCACCGGACAUUGAACAGUGUCUGUCCGGUGCGGCACCGGACUGUCCGGUGUCACUAGAGGACAAAGCCUCCAACGGUCAAAAGUUCUAGAACCCUAACGGUUGGGUGACGUGGCUGGCGCACUGGACAGUGUUCGGUGCGCCCAUCGACAACAGCCUACCCCAAUGGUUGUUUUGGUGGGUGAGGGCUAUAAAUACCCCUCAACCACCUGCACUCCAACCAUCCAAGCAUUCAACACUCUCCAUUCAAUACAAGAGAAAAGUGCAACACUCCACGACACAAAUCAAAGCCAUCGAUCCAAUCAAAGUCCCUAAUUCAAUUCUAGUGCAUUAGGACUUGUGAGAGGAUCAAUCGUGUUUCUUUGUUGCUCUUGUUUGCUUGGCUUGGCUUUCUUUUCUUUCUCACUUCUUACUCUCAAGUGCUUUGUAAGCGAGGCAAGAUACACCAAUUGUAUGGUGGUCCUUGCGGGGUCUAAGUGACCCGUGAGAUUAAGGAAGAAGCCUCACUCGGUCUAGGUGACCGUUUGAGAGAGGGAAAGGGUUGAAAGAGACCCGGUCUUUGUGACCACCUCAACGGGGACUAGGUUCUUUAGAACCAAACCUCGGUAAAACAAAUCACCGUGUCACCCGCUUUAUUUUCUUGGUUGAUUUGUUUUCCCCUCUCUCCCAGACUCGGAUUUUAUCCUAACGCUAACUCCGGCUUGUAGUGUGUUUAAAGUUGUAAAUUUCAGUUUCCGCCUAUCCACCCCCCCUCUAGGCGACUUUUAGAAAGUUCGAUUGAAAAAUAUAAAGCCAGACCAUUUGGUGCUUUGGAGGAUAGCCAACCCAGAUACAGUGGGCAAGCUACAGCUGAAAUGGAAGGGUCCUUUUCUGGUAGUAUCUUCGUCAAGACCUGGUUCUUACAGAUUGAAGGAUAUGGACGGCAACGACAUACCUAGAUCUUGGAAUGCGGAUGAGCUUUGGCGGUAUUAUGUGUAAUUGAUGUAAUCUUUUUUAUUUUUUCCUAUGGCACCCUUUUCCUUUUAGGAGGGGAGAAAGGUUUUUAAUGGGGCCAUAGUUUGUAAUUUUCAUUCUUAUUUGGCCCUAUGCAAUACAAGGGCCAAAAUCCCCCAAAAAUGUAACAUGUAAUAUCAGAACAUGCACCAUCGAGUGCAAAAGAAAACAGGGAAAAGCUCAAAAGUCGUCCCUAAGGGGAUGCAGAGCUGUAAUUACCCCAAGGAUGAUGAAGCUGCAAAAGUCGUUCCUAAGGGAGCACAGAGUAAGUUCCGAAGCUGCAAAAGUCGUUCCUAAGAGGGCGCAGAGUAAGUUCCGAAGCUCAAAAGUCGUUCCUAAGGGAAUGCAGAGCCAAAAUACCACCAAAAUAAAAGAAGAAGCUCCAAAUUCAGUCCUAAGGGGAUGUAGAGCUUAAAUGCCACCGAAAUAAAAGGUGAAGAAGCUCCAAAGUCGUUCCUAAGGGGAUGUAGAGCUUAAAUGACACCGAAAUAAAAGGUGAAGAAGCUCCAAAGUCGUUCCUAAGGGAAUGCAGAGCUUAAAGACUCUGAAUUCGUUCCUAAGGGGAUGCAGAGUCUGGGUGCGGCUUCGUGUGUGUAUGGAUCAUACAUUUGCAUAUUACAUUACAUCAUUCAUUGCAUUCAUACAGACAUUCAUUAGACAUUCGUAGGAUCAUCAUCAUCAUGACAUGAAGCACGAACAGAAAUAGUCCGGCUUCGGCGACAAAGUGUUUUGUUGAACACGAAGAAGCUUUGUUUCAAAUAUGAAUACAUGCAUUUUAUGCAAGGGAAUGCUUCAAUGUGUACGAAAAGAAGGGAAGGUGUUUUUCGCCUUCGGCUCAAAAGACGCGAAUUUCGUCCACAGCAAAGCAAUUCGUACAUGGACGGAAAGGUAAAAUUAUAUUACAAGGUAUGGACAAAUAUAUACAGUAUUGAGUUUAACUCUUGAUUACAAUUUUUGCAAAAAUAAUGCAAAACAUUUCCUAAGUUCUAUACAGGAAGGCACAAAAGGAAGCUUCAUCUCGGUAACCUUCGGAAUGUGCUUUGGGUUAUUAACCUUCGACACCUCCAUCCUGCAGACAAACAAUGGUAUAAGGUAAAAGUGAUUUAAAAAUCAAGGCAAGCAACAGGUAUAAGUUUCGUACUGGUUUAAGCAGACUUCGAGCUUCGUCUCCAGCCAACUCUCGUCCGCCUUUAGCCCAAAUCUGAGUGAUGAAUCUAUUUCCGAUGCUUCGGGCUUCACCGGGGAUGUUAAUAAGGUCUGAUAGUGAUAAGCUGAAGGUUGACUUGUUCAUUGUUUUUGCAUGCAUGCAUCCGGCCUUCAAGAAUGCAGCAGUUGUGCCGCGAGAAGCUAACAAAGCACAGAAGUCACCGUGCCCAGUUAUCACUUCAUCGAGCGCAUCAACUUCAUUUUCAAUGUGCUUGAAGGUAUCUAAUAUGUCUUCAGCCGAAGGGGUAAUAUCUUUAGAGCUAGCCCCGACCGAGCUGAAGACUCCUUUUAACCGUUGCACGCAGCGGCUGCCAAAUUCCAAGCAUGUGUUCCGAAUGUCCCUCAGAGAUUCUUGUAGCUUUGAGUUUUUAUCAGCUUUGGCUUCAUAUUUUGCUUGCAGUUCCUUCUUCUCUUGUUCGAAGCACUCUGAUUUUCCUUUUAAGAUUGUUUGAGUUCGGAGAAGCUCUUUGCUUAACCUAGCAUUUUCAGCUUGAAUCUCUGCAAGUGAACCUUCUGUUGCUUGAAGCAGGAAGUCCUUCUUUUCAAGAGAAGCUUUGUAAUCUUUAAUCUUGCUUUCCAAGCCCUCAAUUAUAAUUUCAUUUUUCUUAUCUUCAAGGUCUUGUUGCAUUCUUAAUGCUUUACUUAGCAGCAUACUCUAUGAAAAUAAGUUGACUUCAGAAAAUUUUAAUUCAUCACAAAGAUAACAAAAAUCUAGGCAAAAGAAUUUUACCUUAAAAUUGGAGUAAAAGAGACUGCGGACGAUAUGUUGCCGCCGGUAGCCGCUUAUAUCACACUCAAGCUUCGAAAAACCGACACUCUUUGAUAGAGUGCCGAUUAUUUUUGACCCGGCACGAUCGCGAAUACAUCCCAAGGCUUCUUCGUCAAUUCCACCAAAAAGCAUAACUCCUCGCUGGUAGCCACAGGAUAUCCCAUAUUCCAUUAGCUCCUUUUUCUCAGCCUCGGACAAUUCUUGACCCACCAGGUUCCGAAGGUCAAAAUCUUUUUCUUCUAAAGCAGCAUCAGCAAUUUUUUCCUUUGUCAGGCACUGCGGCCAUGAUCUUCUCUGCAGUUGCAGACGUCUCUUCUGCAGCCAUAUCCGAAAGAAGUUUAUCAAUUCCUAAUAGUGUACUUGCUAGAUUGGUAGCUUCGGCAGCAGCUGUAGCUUCGGUAGAGGUUUCAGCUUCGGCAGUGGCCUCGGCACUUGCGACAGGUACUAUUCUGGACGUCGAGGCCAGAUGUGGUGUCCGCUCAACAGCUUGCAUAACAUUAACAUUUCUUCACUUUUUCUGACCCUUAGUCUUCUCCUUUACGGCCAAGGGUUGAUCCUUCUUCUGUAAAAGUUUCGUCAGUUCUGGUCCCAGAGGACUUAGCAGCUUGAUGGGUAAGGAUUCAGUCAUUACCUUUAAAAUUAUUUUUAUUUCAGCAGCAGGAGGUGUUGAAGGAGUCUCUUCUGUUGCCUCAGUUACCUUCGGCUCUGGAGCUUCAGCCUUCCUCUUUUUUGAAACUGCCGCCUUCGGCUCAGGAGUGGAUUUUGUCUUCUUAGAAAUUUUCUCAUCUUCCUUAACCAUUCUGACAGCUUGCCUGCUUAGAAUGCUGACAACCUUUUUUUUCUUUUUACCCCUUCGACCCCCUUGUCAAGUUUUUCAUAAUCAGGGUAGUCAAAAUUUAAGGCGUCCAUUACCCGGUUCAAUCUUCGUUUCAGGCGGGUACCGAAGGCUAUGGUCAUCAGCUGAUCUUCGUUCUUGGUAUAAUUCCCAAGUAUCUCAUUGCACAUGGUCUCAAUCAUGUCUAGCCAUUCUUUGCAAGGCUUCUUGAAUUGUUUUUCAAACUUAAAACGGUAAGCAAGUCGAACAAGUCCAUGCUUCUUCCCCACUUCUUUCCUCUUCGGCAUUCCCCAGCCACUUGACGUUGGAUAUGUUCUGUUUGCAAAGUAUUCUUGCACCAAGUCCCUAGUACUGAUCUGCUCAGCUACCACUCUAAAUUCUACUUCAGCCAACUGACAGGGUGACCCCAGUUGCAUAUUGCAUAAGGGUCUGGUUAUUUCGAAGCUUAAAGUCAGUGGACUCAUGACCAUGGUCGUCAGCUUCUCCCUCUUUUUCUCGUUAGCCUUCAUAUAGAACCACUCACUUUUCCAGCCAGUUGGCCACUUCGUGUGGUAGCUAAGAACUGGUGCCUUUGUAUCCUUUUGAUAUGCAAAAUUGUAACAGCCAAAAUUUUCAUGAAGGCCAUCUACCCUGGCCUUCGUCUGGUAAUGCAGUUCGUGCACUCGGCAGAAAGCUUCGGCAUCUGGACUCAUCCCUUGGCUUCGGAGGGCCCAGAUAUAGACACUGAGUCUAACAAUAGUGUUGGGAGUCAGCUGAUGAAGAUAUAUCUCAAAGUUCAAUAAAACUUCUCCAAUCAUAACAUUUAGGGGGGACCGAAGCCCUGCUCUAAAGAAGCUCUUAAAAACGACAACUUCAUCCUCUUUCGGCUCCAGAAUUACCUCUUCCCCGGCAAAUCGAACAAGUUUGCUCUCAGCCUCUCCAAAAUACCCCAAUUUCAUCAUCAUAGGCAUGUCAUCUUCUGUUACAGUGGAUUUUUCAAAUUCAAGAUGACUAGGCUUUGUCGGGUUCAGAAUGUUGUAGUCUUAUUCACUCUCAUCAUCAUUCUCACCAACCACAGCUUGUUCAGCUUCGGCAUUGGAAGCACCUUCGGUAAUAGGCCCUUCUGGCACAAUUGGUGUUGUUUCAGUUACGUCGACUUCGUCUCCCUCGCGAGACACUCUAGCAGUUGAUCGUACUCUGGUCAUUUCAAUGAUUUCACCUUUUGACGAAGCUAACCUUAAACGAUGAAGCGUUUGCUCAAGAGCGCAAUGCAGAAAGCUUCGGUUAUGGUCAAAAAUUUUAACAGCACAACAGUGCAAUGACAAUGAAUGUUGUGGUAACUCCUCACCAACCCGUCUGUUUAUAUAGUGCUGCAGGGGGGGAGGUGAACCGUCAGGCCGCUCGCACUCGCUGAACGGUGGACCGUCCGACGCCUGGAAUAUUAUAAUCGUUUCUCUGCAACGAGCUCAGGGAAGGUGUUUUCGGACCUUCGGCAUUCCGAAGCCUUCGGGUUUUUCACGGAUCGAGCUCGUUACGAAAAACGAUCUAACAUCGCGAAGGGGCUACUGUUGGGGGCCUUCUUCUCCGCCGAAGGUCCUCUAAGCAAAAACACCUUCGGCAGAACAAUACACAAGGAGGUGUGACAUGAAGAUGUAAGCCGAAGCUACCAUUGAAGGAGCUUCGGCAUGGUGACGCGCUAAAGACGAAGGAUGUUAUCGACUUAAAGAGGAAAAGACUGUAUAGCCCUUGAUAGUUUGUAUUGUAAUUAUAAUCAGCCAUCAGGGUCAUGGAUGUAAUUUUGUCGGGGCUGUGUCCCGAGCCUAUAAAUAGAUGAACAGUACACUCGUACUAUUCACGCUGACUUGUAAUCACUCUCGCGUGACUCUCGCUUUUUCACCUUCUGUCAAGCCGAAGGUACAAAUGUAAUAUAAAUAUCGUUGAUGUUUAUUCAUGUUUAUAUAAAAUAAGAAUAAGAAUAGUCUAAUGAUUUGAAAUGAUUACUCAUAUUCCCUUUGUGCUUCGUAUGUUUCUGUUUACAUUUUUGCUUACUGAAAUGAUGAAGCUAUGUCCUUCAUGACCUUCGUCUGAAGAUCAUUAUAUCCUAAGGGAAAUAAUGCUUCGAAGGACGAAGGUCACUAAUCAUUAACAAUUGUGUUGCUUUGUUCUUGGUAUUUAGCAUCUGAGAACAAGGACCAAUAUGUAUUAAUAAAUAUUUUUAAGAACUACAAAUACCAAACAAAUUCACAGGUCAUUCUCUUCCUCAUCCCCACAUAAUGCAGCGGAAAAUCUUGCUUUUAUUCCCGUCAUAGGUUCCGCGCAAUAGCUUGCUAGUGGUCGCACUCUUGGUCGGCAUUCACGAGCGGGUAGAGACAUCGACACUAGAUUUACCUGACCUCCACUAUCAUAGAGGACCAUGUAGUGUUCCUUGCUGGAUAGAUAAAGGAGGGAGAACUCUAGCGUAGCGAACGCUUAGACUAUCUACACUCAUACUACUCUAAAUUAGUACUUUAAAACAAAUAUUUUAGGGGUAUCUGCUAGUCAUAUAGUGUAAAUGUGCAACGAAUCUUCUAGGGGAUGCAAACGAGACCUCUCUCAUCCAUAUAUUAUUGUAUAUUGUAGGACGGUAGUUAGGAGGCUUCACAAAAAAAUGGAGGAGUGAUCUAACUGAUGUAACAUCUUAAAUAUAUAAUACUACAAAAUAUGUCAUUGCAACAAAACACGUCCUGAAUUGAAUCGAGGUUCACAACCGAAUAACCUGAAUUGAAUCGAGGUUCACAACCGAACAAGACCUUACUUUGUAUUUAACUUUGUGUUGAUGAAGUACUCUUUACACCUUCUCGAUAUGGAUAGCCUUAGACUGUUCAAGCAACGUCCUCUAUAUCUACUAUUUAUAUGACUAUAUCUGUCCUUCACAACUCUAAAAAAUUAUCCUCUAUAUUUACUUCAUCUCCAACAACGUUCUCUAAUUCACGUCCUAUGUAUAUAAAUACCUAUCUUAAAUAGAUAGAUAAAAUGAGAGAGAAACCCUAUAUAUAGAGAAUUUAGAUUAGAAAUUAGAGGACAAAAAAUAUUAUCUAUAAUUUAGAAUUUAGAGUACAUGAACUAAAGGUCUAUUGGAGCGCCUUAGAUAGCCUUAGCACAAUAGUGUACCCUAAAACUCUAUCCAUUUUAAUAUACGUAUGUAGCAAAUUAGAAGUAAUAUUGUCUCUGUAUUUACAUUGUAUUUACAUGUAGCACGAGAUUAACGUAUAGGACGAGAUUUAAAAAACGCUACUGGACAAGAAAAAAAGAAGAGUUUCUCUUGCUAAUGGAUAGAGAAAAUUGUAGUAGAUAAAUGAUUCAGAAACCAAUCCAAACGACCCUACAAAACUUCCAAAACAGACAAAACUAAGGGGGGAAAGAAACAUACUGAAGAAAACUAACUAUACGACUUCCUAAAAUCAAUUUAACAAUGCCAAAAGGUUAACAUAUAGGUCUUAGAGCAUUCUUGUAUUGCAAAAGGUGAAAUAGCAAGAUGGUACCAAAUAAAUAGAUAAAAGUGCACAUGCUAACAGAUCUCAACAGUUCACACGAUAACAGCAACGAUCACAAACAAAACUUGUGAUGAUGAAAACUAGGUAUUGCUAAAGCAGGCGCAGGAUCGCAUCAUUUCUUCUUGGCAGCCGCCUUGGUCACCUUGGCGCCGGUCGGGUCCUUCUUCUCCACACUCUUGAUAACUCCAACAGCAACCGUCUGCCUCAUGUCACGGACAGCAAACCUACCAAGGGGAGGAUACGCUGAGAACGUCUCCACCACCAUGGGCUUGGUCGGUAUCAUCUUCACCAUACCAGCAUCACCGUUCUUCAGGAACUUUGGCUCCUUCUCAAGCUCCUUGCCAGACCGCCUGUCGAUCUUGGUAAUGAGCUCAGCAAACUUGACAGCAAUGUGGGAGGUGUGGCAGUCCAGCACUGGGGCAUAGCCGUUGCCAAUCUGCCCAGGGUGGUUCAUGAUGAUGACCUGGGAGGUGAAGCUGGCAGCCUCCUUGGCAGGGUCAUCCUUGGAGUUGGAGGCCACAAACCCACGCUUGAGAUCCUUGACAGCAACGUUCUUCACGUUGAAGCCAACAUUGUCACCCGGAAGAGCCUCCUGAAGCGCCUCGUGGUGCAUCUCAACAGACUUCACCUCGGUAGUCAGGCCAGUUGGACCAAAGGUGACAACCAUACCAGGCUUGAUGACACCAGUCUCCACACGACCAACCGGUACAGUUCCAAUACCACCAAUCUUGUACACAUCCUGGAGGGGCAGACGCAGGGGCUUGUCUGAAGGCCUCUUGGGCUCGGUGAUCUGGUCAAGAGCCUCAAGCAGGGUUGGGCCUUUGUACCAGUCAAGGUUGGUGGACCUCUCAAUCAUGUUGUCACCCUCAAAACCAGAAAUGGGAACAAAGGCAAUCUUAUCAGGGUUGUACCCAACUUUCUUGAG
rnacentral:lncRNA from 1 species